GUCGGAGAAAAUAGACAUCAUGCAUCUUUGAAAUGACGCUGGUGCAUUGCACAACCCGAACGACAUUCUUUGUGGACACACCGAGUAUUAUACCAUCCAGUGUCCAACGCGACCACCACAUACUAUUGGAGAAGUGGGAUCCAUACACGCAUGAAUAGCCACUCGUCCUCAAUGUGUCCAUGAUCGCGGUUGACAACCUUCUGUUAUAAUAACCAAAAUGCCGAGUAGUGAGCGCAAGACAUAAUCGUAAGAUAGUUUGCCAGUCCACCACAUCAUAUGCUCGUCAACCACUCGAAGGUGGCAACCAAAAGCAUACCCCAGUGACUCGAUCCAAAGCGCUAUCCCCAAUUAUCUCAAGCGAUCAAAACCCGUUACUCAUGCUUAGCUAGUCCCCAGGAAUGCGUCUAGCCUCACACUUUCAUCGCAAGCAAUUAAUAAACAUAGCAAGUACCAUAAUAGGGUCAAAGAGCAGCGAGAUACAUGACACAUAAUAGGGUCCGAGGUCCCAACAUACAACACAUAAAUAUAGCAGUGGAAGUCUCAAAUAUAGUUCAUAAGCAAAAGAUAAAAUCAGUGGUGCCUCAACCCCACUAGGGCAAACCAAACGGGCAAGAGCCAAGCUGCAAGAGAUCACUCAUUGCCCUCGCCGCCCUCGGUAGAGCAAUGACCACACAAGAAGCAUAACUCAUAACCGGAAUCCUCUCCUGAAAUUGCAGACACCGGGUUAAGUACAAGAUUGUACUCGCAAGUCUUACCCAAAAUUAUAUAUACAUAAGAGAGAGAGAAGUAUGCAAGCUUUUUAGCCUAUAGUGGGUCUCUAGGUUCAACAUUUGCAUAAAGCUAAUUUUAUCGAGAAAUUAAUGAGUAAAAUAAGCAAGGACAAGUAAAUCUAGCAUUAUUUUAAUUUAUGGACAGCAAGUAUAUAAUUCUGAAAUGUAUAAGCAAAUGAGCCCAAACGGCGCUCUCAUCAUCAUCCAUGGACUACCAAAGUCCAUACCAACAUGGCACAACAUGCCAACACCACCAUCAAACAUAAUCCCAUCCAUAAUAACCCACAUUUGAUGCUAACAUAACUGACUAACACAUCAAGCAUUGUCAUAACCGAGGACGCGGCUAUUCGAAUAGAUUAUACUCUGAUCAGAGGUGUACAACUGGACCCACACAAAAUGAACAAAGAUCAAAUGCUACACACCCCGUCGAGUGCGGUACACAAGUGAUUCAAGCUCAUUACAUGCCCUUUCUUAACCCCACCCCAACCACCUAUACCACUCUGGGGUUCCCGACGACUCAGUCACGUGUGUGCGUGAUGUGAGCAAGGCGGGCGCGCCACGCGGGAUGCACCCCCGGCCAAACCUAGGCACCCGAGGCCUUCCAAAGGCUACCUACCUCACGACUCUCCAACGUGGUAUAAAUGAUCACAGUAGAACUAGUAAGAACAAGCCGGUCCCAAAUAAGGCAUGUGGUAAGUACGAAGGGUGCUUGAAUAGAUGUCAAAAUGUUCGGUCCUUAACGACCUAGACGGGGCUACUUGCAUUAGGGGAAACCCACCUCCCAUCAUCGCCCUAUCACCCGUCCAAGUCCACCAUAUUUCAUCAACCAUUAUUCAGUGUAAGUGCUCAAGUUUUAUACCCAAUAAUACAAGUUGUCUAUAUACCACAAUUAAUAGCACUGUCCAUCCCUAUAGUUCUAUUAGCACUAAGCAUGGCUAAGCAUUAAUGAAUAAGACAUCCCAAGUAAUCCCAACCAGUGGUAAUAGUGUAUAAGGACAGCAAUAUCACAAGAACUAAAUGCAUAAAUAGGUCCUACCCAUACAUCAUAAACCAACAAUAUUAAUAUCUAGGCAAUGCAUGCAUAUACAUAUAUAUAUAUAUAUAUACAUAUAUAUAUAUAUACAUAUAGAUUGCAACCAAAUCAUUUUUAGAGAAAGCAUAGGUUCUAUAUGCUUAGGUGCUUGCCUUGCUGCUGAGGGUAGUCACUAUCCUCCUCGGGAUAUGGCUCGUUACUCUCCGGAAUCUCCGAAUCUACCGAAAAGAAGCAAUAUGCGAAUAAGAGCCAAAUAAACAUACACAUGUAAAAUGAUCAAUAAAUCAUGAAAUAAAUACAGUGGGUAUAGCACAUGCUAACUUGAAUUUAGGUGAAAGAAUCACUAGAUUAUCACUUAUAGUUUGGGAGAUAUGAAAAUGACAAGCUCUCAGGUGCUGAAAAUGGCAGUUCUGUAAAUAUUAAUGUUUCCUUCAGUACAUUACAGGUAACAUGCAUUACAAACCAAGAUUUCAUGGUAAAGAUUAUUUUUAGAGUAAAGUACAUCACUCACAGAUCCUAAGAAAAUUUAUUUCACAACCAUAAGUUUUGUCAUUAUUUAUUUAUGGAUUUUAGAAGUGAAAUCGUAGGAAUGCUAAAUAAACUUCUAAGCAUGAUUUAAGAGGUAGUUUUGCCAACAACAACACCACAACAGCAAAGAGUACUAAAAUAUAAGCUCAACAAAAUUGGUUUCGGUUUCACAAUUUUAGCUUUUACCAAUAAUUUCUUACGAAUUUAUUAAGAGCUAGACCACACGAGGGAUAUAUAUAGCUAUUUAUAUUUUUACUGGGAAAACGAGUACAAAAGUUGGUCAUUUUUAUUUUACAACAUUGAAGACCACAUUUUUCUUAAUCCACAGAAAUUUGGUUCACUGAAUUCGGAGUUCAUAUGAAUUAGUUAUGAAUUUUUAAAACGCAUACAUCUUUCAGCUCAAUAGCUAUCUCAGAAAUCGAUUUCUAUUUUCACUCCCCUUUUCUCCAACUUCCACCGGACUUCGCUCACAUGGCAGCAACCUGGACGUAGGGUCGUGUGAGGCUAAGGCCUCGGGCUGAUGGCAAGAGACGGAGCAAGGCCUCGGGCUGACGAUAAGAGACGUUACCUAAGGCUGCUUCAACCGAAAUGAGCUGCAGCCACAUCCUAGCUGCAAUAAUGGAGAUGGAUGACCUGUUGAAUGUUGCUGUAGAUGUUCAACAUGAAGGGAACUAAAAAAAAGGCACCAUGGAUGGCAAGGAAGCUCACCAAAUGGAGGGAAACAAAGUCAUGUUGCUGCUGCAACCAUGCAGGCUGAAACCACCACUCUCUUCUCCUAUUUCGAUCUCUCUCAACUCUCCAUGCAUGUGCAAGAUGUUCGGAUGGAUGGAAAGCUUGGAUGAUGGGGAUUGUUGUGAUCUAACAUGCAGGGAUUGAUCUUGGGCUAUUGGAUGGGAUUUGGGGAGGAGAAGUGAGAUGAGAGCUCAGCUUGAGGAAGAAAAGAAAGAACAAGCAGUGAAGAUGAAAGGGGAGGAAGAAGAAGGGGUUUUCUCUGCCCCCUUAAGUCCUGAGGUGGGAGCACGCCCAUGGGUGUGUUGUGGGGCUAAAGAGGCACCCAAGGUCAGUGACAAGUGGGCCCAAGUCGUGGCUGUUAAUGAGGGUGAGAGAGGUGGGUGAAAAACUGAGUACAGAUUCGUUUUUGCAAUUUCCAGGAUUUAUUUUCUUUCCCUCUCUUGGUAAAUUCAAUUUGACUAGGUAAAACUAGUUCAAAAAUUAAGGGAUUUGGUGUGGUGAUAGGUGUUGGUUUCUAGGUUCCAUUUUUCAAAGUUUCACUCAAAAAUUCGAAAUAUUUUAAUUCUGGUGAAAAGAUGAAAUUGGUUAGGCUGAAAGUUGGUUUGAAUUUUCAGGAGGCCUAAACAGAGAGUAAAAAUUCCAAAAAAUUUAUAUUUGUUUGUGAUAAAUAAACUAGUAUUUGAAUAAAUUAUUACACAUGUACACUUCUGUUCAAAUUAUUGUUCAAAUAGAAGUGGUUUCAAUUUUACCGAUUAGAGUUAAUUUUGUUAUCGCCUAUGAUCAAAUUGCAAUAUAGUAAAUAUGAAAUCUAAAGGACAACAAAUGCACUUCUAAAUACCUGGUUAUGAAUGUAGGGCUGUUACAUUCUUCGAUAUGCAUAUGUUCCGUAUGAGCAUGUGAACGUGGUCUUACUUUGAUCAUCGGGAUGGAUGGGGAUUUGGUGAUAACCAUAAUACCCAUCAAAGAAACAAAAGAAGGAAUGGUUCGCCAACCAAUGAAAGGCAGCGGAAAGUGAUCCUUCUUUAUAGCCUUGUUGAGUUUCCUAUAGUCAAUACGCAUCCUCCAUCUUGUGAAGGUUCGUUGUGGGAUCAACUCAUUGUUCGAGUUUUCAAUGACCGUCAUGCCUCCCUUCUUAGGCACUACUUGAACAGGGCUAACCCACUCAUUAUAUGGCACGGGAUAGAUAAUCCCGGCAUGUAGGAGUUUCAAGACUUCCUUUUUGACAACCUCCCUCAUCCUAUUAUUUAACCUCCUCUGAGGUUCCCUAGAUGGAGUGCAAGAUGGGUUUAAGGGAAUGCGAUGAGUGCAAAGGGUCGGACUGAUGCCUUUUAAGUCUUGGAGGGAACAGCCAAAAAUAGCAUGAUGCUUUUCUAAAACAGCGAUAAGUCGUGUCAUCUCCCUCUCAGAGAGUUUGUCACUUAUAAUUACUAGAGACUCCGAAUCGCCGUUCAAAAAGGCAUAGCGUAGGACUGAAGGUAAGGGCUUUAACUCAAUUGGGGCUCGUGACGGCUGAUCCGUUUUUGGCAAAUCAAUCGUUUCUCCAGAUUCAUCCUCCCCUUCAUUGAAUUCUUCGAUGAAUUCAUCGAGAUUAGACUCUGGGGGCUCGAAUGGAGAAAUGGCCAUCACUUCCUCAAUUGGCUCGGGAACAGGAAGAGCUCCGUCGAAGAAUUGGUUGAUUGCAACAUAGGGACGGAGGUGGCGAUUCUUCCUAUUUUCAGGUUGAGGACAUCGGUUUCGGGCGCAUCCAAGAGUUUCUCUAUAGGAUGGCCUAUGAGUAUGUCGAAAUCAGAGAUAUCGAACACAUGAAAAUCUAAGAUGACCUCAACGUUAUUGUGCCAUACGGGCACUCCAGAGAUAAUCCCUAAACCUUCGAUAGUAGACUUUGUUGAAAUUCGGAAGGUUUUGACGGUUGGUUCCAACAGUCCAUCCCCUAAGCAAUCGAAUGUAAUGGUUGCGGACAUAAUAUUGACACCAACAGAGGGAUUAUACAGAGUACAAACCAAAUUACCUCCAAUGAGACAUGUAAUGGUUGAGGAGGGGCAUCGGAUCUGAAUCGAUUCAGAUGAGAGCUCUCCUUCCCUUAACCAUUCGUUACUCAUGAUGGUGGUCAACUUCUUCACCGUCUCUUUAAGCAUAGCUUUAUCGAGAGGAUCAUUAGAGUUGACCUUGGUCGGUGGUCUCUUCUCGCAAGAAUAAUUCAAGGUGUUUCCAUAAUCUUCAAGAAGAUCCUCCUCGAAUUGGAAUGGAUUUUCCGUAGGAUGAAUUUCUUCUUCCUCUAGCUCCUGCAACUGGGAUGGGGAUUUGGCAGAUGAGUCGGGUUCCGAAUCCACGUGCAGAAGUUCCUCACGGAUAAUCUUGACCUCCGGGACAGCUUCGCUUCGGCCAAAAGAAUCGUUCUCUAAGAUCAGAUCUAAGAGUUCUCUUCCUUCGGCGGUUGUCUUGUGUGCGAACGAUCCUCUGGCGGAAAUAUCGAGAUUUUUCAGCAGACUCCUUGUCUAACCCGUACCGAAAAUGUUGUAACCACACAUGAUUGGGGAAAGACAAGUCUGGGCCAAACUGAGUUAACAGUGAGAACCUGGCCCAGGCUGCACCGAGAGAUUUCUUCUCAUUAUGUCGGAAAGAAAGGAUGUCUAAUCGAAGAUUGAUUACACGGGUUAACGGAAAGAAAGUAAGGAAGAAAUGCACUUAAGCUCCUCCCAUUCACCGUGGAAUUUCUUGACAGACAGAGUGUACCAUUGCUUCGCUUCAUCUCUAAGAGAAAAAGGAAACAAUUUUCACUUAAGAGUUUCAUGUGUCAUGCCUACGAUGGAUAGACAUGAACAUACUAGCUCAAAAUCCCGAAGAUGGAGGUAUGGGUUUUCACCGGUACUACUAGAGAAAGUUUUCUCUCGAACCAUGGCUAUAAAGCCAGGACUGAUUUCUUAGCCAUCUGAAAGAAUUGGUUUUGAAGAACAGCAUGGCUCACAAAGAUCAGCCUGAGGAGCAGAAAGCUUUUGAAUUGUGGGUUGCUCCAUCAAGGAAUGGUAUAAAAGAAGAAAAAAAAAUAAAAAUAAGGAUACGAGGAUGACCUAGACUCGGAUAAAUUAGCAACCGUUCCCCGGCAACGGCGCCAGAAAUGCUUGUUGGUAAUUCUUACGACCACAGAUAAAUCCGCAAGCGCACGGAAUACCGCUGUAGCACUUCACCUUCGGGUGACCCCAAAAGGAUAUCGAUCUCAGGAAACGUGUGUAAUCUACCUAAGGCUAAGAUGAUCCAAGAACAACAACUGAUGAUAGGUAGGCUAGGCUAGAGAGGUUUUUUUAUGGGUUUUAAUUAUCUAAGAUAAGUUGAAGGUAAUUCCCUAUCUGUUGCUUCGGGCACCGACCCCUGCUGGUCUGCUAGCAUGGUUCCGGCUAUAGCUCUAUGAUGUAUCCGAAUGUGGAGGAUUACUUGGAUGGGAUUCAGGGCUGUCGCCACCUGCCGCCUACCUCUGACAAAUCCGUGGGAUACACAACAAACAAAGGUAAUCUCUAACCUAGACACCACGCCUAAGUUAUUAAUUACUACUCUAAUACUUGCGCAGGAACUUCCUUCUCUAUCCAGAGUCCUAGUACUAGAGCACUUAGUAUAAAUACUAAACAAUGAACCCGCAAAGAUGGAAAUCUAUCUUACUUAGACUAAAUAUAAAUAACAAAAGAAAGGAACACGAAUGCUUACUUUAUAGAAGAAGUUCUCCGAACCCGGAGCAGAGUGUAUCGACAGCUCCGGUACUCCUCCCGAAUUCCUCCUAGGAAGCUACACUCAUCGAGGUAGAAGUCGGAUGAGCGCCAAACUUCCGGGCACUCCUCCAGAGCUUCCCCUCACUCUCUACCUUAUUCUAAUGUACAAAAGAUACAAUAAAGCCUUUUGUAAUUCAGCUCAAAGUUGUGUGUUGUGAAUGAAUGAGAGGAGCUCUAUUUAUAGCCUCCAUAUGACGGUUACAGGUAUGGGAAACGACCAAACUACCCCGCAACCGUCAUUGGGAUGAAAUCAGGACUGUCCAUGUAAAAGAUGGUGAUGAACGGACACCAAAGUGGUUUGGCCGAACUGAAGGUUCGGCCGAACCCGAGACGGCUCCGUUCGGCCCGUUUUUCGUCGUGGACACUAAUUUUGAGGCCCUCAGCCCAUUGGCAUGAUAGUUGGGCCCAUUUGGAGUUGUUUAAUUGACUUAUGGGGCCUCCAAUCCGUGUAAAUGUGCCCUGAAUGCGCAGAGGUGCAGUUUGUCGCUUGACAGAUGUGUUUUCUUCUCAAAAUACUUGCAUACACAUAUUUCACCAACACUAGUGGAAAUGAUUAGUAAUAAUACCUACUACUAAGUUGGAUACCAUUUUUUAUUUCAUUAUAUGCAGGUAUUGACGGUCAGAUAUUAUGAUUUAAGGAAGGUCAACACCCCCCCCUUUUGCUGACAUCACCAGGGUCAAUAAUUGCGCAAUAAAUCGAUUAAGGCUUUUGUUUUUAAAGUAAAAACACAAUGAAUCUUCUAAAAUUCUUAGAAAAUUCAUCCGUGCUCCGUUUAAGCCCAUUCAACUCUCAGUAAAUCAAGAAAAAUACAAAGAAUCCAUUAAAAAUGGUUUUGUUCUCUGUUUCAGUAGUCUUAUAGCCUAUUUGCAUUGUAUGUCGCAUAGAUUCAGGCUUUCCCGACGCUCCGGUGUACUUCGAAAUAGUCGUCGAAGUUCCUCCAGCCGCAGAGCAAGGCAAGUCAUGCUUGUCUCUUGAACAUAUUUAUCCCAUAUUGCAAAUGCUCUAUUGUUUUCCUUUAAAUAUUGCAUUGGUUUAUAAUGUUACUAUGGGUUGAUUACCUACUGUCUUAGCCAUAUGAUUUGAUACCUUGUUCCUUUGCUAGCCUGGGUUGUAACAUGACUAGAUGUUGGAUUAGGGAUUGCUUAGCCAUGCUUAGUUCAACUAGUACACAAUGAGGGAAUUAAAUUAAUGUAUAGACUUCAGAUCCUAGUAUUGAUGUUGGAUUAGUGCCACCGUUUCGGUGUUGGUUAAUUAAAAUAUAUUAAAUGGUGGGCUGUGGGUGCAUGGUUUUGAUGGUUGCACCCAUGGCGAUUAAGGACCGGUUCGCGGGAUGCCCUAGAAGAACUUAUUGUACUUACCACAAGCCAGCAUGGGCAACGGCUGGGCUUGUAGUGUAGCUUUCCUAUAGCUAACGCAUCCAGGCAAGGGUGGGCGUGAUGGAGCGGGAUGGGCCCUGCGACGGUCUUUGUCACUCCCGAAUUCACCUGGGCACGAGAGGGGACUACCCGCUGCCUUGCGAGGAGUGGGGGUGAAACCUGAGACGUGGUGUGCUUGGUUAGAGAGGGUUAUGCGAAGGGUCCUGUCACGGCCUCUUUCCGAUAUGUCGUGGUGGCAUGCCGGCGCACAGGAACGUGUCGUGGGGCUGUGUCUUGUGGGUAUAGUUGUACAUCUCUGGUCAGAGUAAAACUAUUCGAAUAACUAUGCCCGCGGUUAUGGGCGGUCAAUCAGAUUCACCGUGAUUAAUCUCACCCUAGUUUAGCUUAAUGGAACUGAUUACUUCAGGUGGUGGUUUGGGCCUCUCUCAACGUGGUGUAGCGUUGAGCAAUGAUUAGUUUAAUAUUGAUUGAUUAUUACAACUGUUUUACUACUUUUAUUUACUGUUUAUAAAUGCUAGCUUUAUGCAAAUGAACCCCCCCUUAGCCUUCUUUGGUUAUAUCCUGCAUCAUACCCUUCGUUCCGGUAUGACUUGCUGAGUACAGUGGGUAGUACUCAGUCUUGCUCUAUCUCCCAACCCUUAGAGUUCGAGUUUGCAUCCGAUGGUGGUUUCUCCGAGGAGUAGGUUUCAUCCGUGCCGUCGAGGAUGCCUGUGGAGUGGUGUCCCCGCUACUAUCCAAGUCAAGGUUUAGCUCCAGUUAUCUUUUAUUUUUCCACUGCAUCUGUGUAAGACUUUUAUAAUGUUUGUACACUACAAGAAAUAUGACCUUCUUUGACGAAUUCCUCAUGACGUCGGAGCUAUUCGUCACUAGCACAUUCUGUCAGGGUUACGGAUAAGGUAUACCCUCUAUCCUUGGAUAUACGAUGGAUACCGAUACGGUAUACCCGCGCGUCUACAAAUGGUUUCCGUAUACAUUAAGGAAAUCUAUCCCAUGAUAGAAACAGAAUCUACGGAUGUAAGGGGUCCUACUUGGAUGAGGUUGGGUUUUUACCAUAUCGUGAGGGGUCCGAUAUCUUCGAGUCCUACCUAGAGAUCAACAGACCCGCGGUAUAUAAGGGACCCACUGGGCAGGACCUAAGACAUCGAAUAUUACUGCCAACACACCCCCCACAGCCUCCGGAGCCGGAGCCUAUAGGAGCCAAGUCGCCAGGAGAUCUAGUCGGUUCAACUCGACUAUGGUCUCGUCGAUAUCAUCGAGUUCUGUUACUCCCUUUGUAACCUGCGUUUUCCAUUUUAUAAUCCCAUACCAACUGGAUUAGGGCUAUUACCUGCCAAGGGGCCUGAACCAGUAUAAUCCUUGUCUUUUAUUUGCUCGAUGUCGUACUAUAUAGAUCCUCGUACCAACGGACCCCAAUACCCUCUAUAUCCAGUCUACAGGUAUCCCCCGUCGACAGUGGCACGCCAGGUAGGUGGACUUGGUGCUCAAGGUUGUACUACUAUGACUUCAAGCCUCCUUGACGAUAGCGUCAACCCCAGCAUCAACCAAGGAGAUUCAACUUCAACGAUGCUGGUGUGGACUCAAGUCGGCGAAAUCGUCUUCCUAGUCUACACCACAAUGCCGAUCUCGACUGGCCCAGCAAUUAUCGGGAGCGAGAACGCGUGGUCAUGACCCCGGUCGACUCUAUGUCGAAAGAUCCUCCCGCAGAAGCGGAGAACGGAAUAUCGACAACAUCUGAGCCUGAGAAGGAUCCUAAUGCGGCCAAAUCUUGUCCUUCCGACAAGAAACACGAGCCGACAAGGACAACUUCCGAGGUGACAAGGACCUGGUGUCCUAUCCACAAGACCAGAAGGCACAUCUUGCAAACUUGUUCGGUUUUCCUCGACGUACAAGCUGAAAUCCGUGCCAGCAAAGAGCGUGGAAUUCAACGUACUUCUCCACCACGUGAUGUCUACUGUCCCAUUCACAAGGCAAAGACUCACGACCUCUCAAGCUGCAAGGUCCAUCUCAGCGCCAUGAGGACGUCACCUCCUAAGGUCCAGCAGUCACAAAUCUAUCCUAGAGAUGCGGACAAGGAACAAGGAGCGACGACUAUUUCAGAUCGAUUCGUCAGGGUAAUCGAUAUCGAUCCCCAUGAGCCAUCUAUUCUACAUCUGCUCGAAGACCAAGCCUCAUCAUCAACAAGUACACCAUGUGACGUGUACGCCAUCGAUGGGACUAGCACGUCUAGAGACGGCGACGCGGAAACGGCGGAUCAAUCAGUUACGCCGACGCCGGCCCAACAUAUCAGAAUCCUCAAUGCGAUAUUGAGCGAAAGCCCUUUCGAUCCCGUCCUGAACGCUGAUCUCGAUCAAUGGACAGAACGACUACGGGAAUCAGUGGCCAACCUCAGUAACGCAUUCGCAGAGGCUGCCGCUAGGGCACCACUGGAACAACCGCCGACCGGCGGCGCUAAUGGGGAACAGCCGGAAGAGCGGACGCCACAUCGUCAAGCUACCCCUCCACCUCGCGGCAACAGUGAUCUCCGCGACCAUCUAAAUGGCCGCCGAGAAGCACGACGCACUCAAGAUAAUGAAAACCGUUCCUAACAUCGCGUCUCUUCACGACAUCGUGAGAACGAAGAGCAAGGAGGACAUCCAAGCGAGAACCGAGACCGUGAUGAUCACCACAACCGCCGCGACCACGCUAAUCGCGAGCAGCGGCCGCUGGGCGAUACCAGUCGAGGUCAACGCCGCGACGACGAUGACAAUGGAGAUCAAUGCCGAGAAAACAACUAUGGACGACGACGAGAAGCGUGAGAACCCGAGCGUCGUCCUCGGAACCUUGCCCCGGAACCAAGUGACUCGUCAUCAUCCUCGUCAUCUUCGUCAUCUUCAUCAUCGGACAGACAUCCACGACGAGCACACGAUCGCCGACAACCCACCGCCCCUGGCGGUGGGUGCAGGGCUUUCACUCGUUCUCUACGAGAUGUUCGAUGGCCUGAGAAAUUUCUACUAGGAACAAUAGAGAAAUACGACGGAAGCACCGACCCUGAGGAGUUUCUUCAGGUCUAUUCCAGAGUACUCUAUGUUGCCGGAGCAGACGACAACGCAUUGGCAAAUUAUUUGCCGACGGCGAUGAAGGAAUCUGCACAAUCAUGGCUAGUUCACCUCCCACCCUACUCAAUUUCUUCAUGGGCAGAUCUGUGGCAGCAGUUCGUCACUAACUUCCAAGGAACAUACAAGCGCCACGCGAUCGAGGACGACCUACACACAUUGACGUAGAAUCCGGGCGAAUCAUUGAGGGACUAUAUUCAACGCUUUAACGAGUGCAGAAAUAUGAUCCCCGAGAUCACCGAUGCUUCUGUAAUCCGCGCUCUCAAGUCUGGUGUCCGAGAUCACUACACAACCCAGGAACUGGCGACAAGACGGAUCACAACUGCUCACAAGCUAUUCGAGAUUGUCGAUCGAUGCGCUCACACCGACGACGCCUUGAGACACAAGAACGACAAGCCGAGGACAGGGGGAGAGAAGAAACCAGCCAAGGACGCGCGCCUGAGUCAAGCAAGAAAAAGAGUCGCAGGAGUGGGAAACGGAAGGCUCAAACGGAGGUCCUCACAGCAGAAUAUGCUAACCUACCCAAGCAGCCGGACCCACAAGGCGACGACACGAAGAAAAUAUGGUGUCCUGUAAUGUCCCGCCUCUCCCAGGCCUUGCCCGCUUACGUCACACUUUGUCCUCACUCAUGUGCACUCGGGAAGAAUUUCCCGAUCAGUCACCCAUUUUGCUCCAGGCCAAGCACGCUUAACCUCAGAGUUUUUUCGAGAUCGGCUUCCGGAAAAGAAGUUGCAACUUGUUGAUAUGAGUAUUCUAUUAAUCCUAUUAAGCCCUAGGCCGGAAUGUUACACUAUACACAAGUCGGACAAGCACCCUUUGGAGACUUGUUUCGUCUUCAAAAAGGCACUCACGAAGCAACUGGCGUUGGAGAAGGGCAAGCGAGUACGUGUAGUCGAGAAGGCCGCAGAAGCGGCUACUUAGGACUCAGACUCAGCAUACCCAAACUCCGACCUCCAUGUUUCGCACAUCUUCGGAGGUUCCACGGUGUACUCCUCAAAGCGAGAGUACAAGAGAGUGGAGCGCGAAGUUUGUUCGGCAUGGCAGGGGGCUGCAUCCAAGAUGAAGUGGUCAGAGCAGAAGAUCGAAUUCUCAGAGGCAGACCACCUCAAGACUGCUGUCACUCCAGGGCGAUAUCCGAUCGUGGUUGAGCCCACUAUUCAGAAUAUCAAGGUUGCACGGGUUCUCAUCGACGACGGCAGCUCCAUCAACUUACUCUUCGCCAGCACCUUGGACGCGAUGGGGAUCCCACGAAGUGAGUUGACGCCCACUGAUCAACCCUUCCAUGGAAUUACCCCUCAGUCGUCGUCCAAGCCAUUGGGCAAGAUUACGCUACUUUCGGGCAAACAAACAACUUCUGAAUAGAGCAGAUAACCUUUGAUGUCGCCGAGUUUGACGCAGCAUAUAACGCCAUCAUCGGGAGGACUGCACUCACGAAGUUCAUAGCCGCAUCUCACUACGCGUAUCAAGUACUCAAGAUGCCUGGGCCAAAGGGAACAAUCACCAUCCAGGGAAAUGAGAAGCUAGCGGUGCAGUGCGACAAGAGGAGCCUCGAUAUGGUCGAGCACACUCCCAACACGCCCGCCACAGCUGAGCCGCCCAAGAAAGUGAGCAAAACCAACAAGACGCCAAAGCCAGACGGCGCAAUCAAGAUCGUUCCGCUCUCUAGUGUCAACCCUGAUAAGACUGUCAAGAUCGGGGCGUCACUGGAUGAGAAAUAGGAACUCGCGCUGAUCACCUUCCUCCACGACAAUGCAGACGUGUUUGCUUGGCAGCCGUUCGACAUGCCAGGAGUCCCCCGGGAGGUGAUCAAGCACAAACUCAUAGUGCGACCCAAUGCCAAGCCAGUAAAGCAAAAACUGCGGAGAUUUGCACCAGACCGGAAACAAGCCAUACGAGAAGCCAUACGGAAGUGGAGGAUGUGCAUCGAUUUCACCGGUCUUAACAAGGCAUGUCCUAAGGAUCACUUCCCUCUUCCUCGAAUAGACCAAUUGGUGGACUCAACAGCCGGUUGUGAGUUGUUAAGCUUUCUUGACGCUUACUCCGACUACCACCAGAUCAGCAUGGCAUAAGUGGACGAGGAGAAGACAACAUUUAUCACGCCGUUCGGUGUAUUCUGCUACGUUAAGAUGCUGUUUGGACUGAUAACUGAGGGAAACACUUUCCAGCGUAUAGUUCAAGGGGCACUUAAUGACCAGCUCGGACACAAUGUCGAGGCCUACGUCGACGACAUUGUUGUCAAAAAAAAGACAAGCGACUCAUUGAUCGAUGACCUCCGGGAAACGUUCGACAACCUCCGACGAUAUCGCCUCAUGCUCAACCCAAAGAAGUGCACGUUCGGAGUACCAUCGGGCAAGCUCCUCGGAUCCCUCGUCUCCGAAAGAGGGAUCGAAGUAAAUCCCGAGAAGAUUGUUGGUAUUUAAUAACAAUAUUACUAGAAAUAUAAUUUCCAGCAAUGGCGCAGAAAUACUUCUGGUAUAUUAUAGUUACAGAGUUCAUCCGCAAGCGCACGGAUAUACCAUUGUAGCAUUUCACCCGAGAGUAUUCCAAGGGUAUCGUAUUUAUUUUAUCCCGUGGGAAGAUCAUGUAGCGAGAACUUGACUAAUAAUUUAUAUAUUAGUUGUGAUAAUCAUAUUUUGAGCAGGGGUUAAGAUAAUCCAAGGGUAGAGUGACACACAAGCAUUAACUACUCAUUCUCAUAAUAUAUUAUCUAAGCUAAGUGGAUAGAAAAGAGAAAGAUAAUCUAUUCCUAUACUUCUAAUAUACAUAGUAUACAUACAUUCUACUUAACCGAUAUACUAGCUAAUACCCUCUAUCUGAUGCCCUUCUGGUACUUCGAGAAGCCACCCCUGACUGCUGAGUUCCUUACGACAGCCCGUCAUGACCAUACAACCAGGGCUAAAUAUGGAGGAAUACCCUCCCCAGCGAAUUAACUUAGGAUUAUAUACUGGCGCGGAGGAAUACCCGUACUGAGCUGUCACCAUCAGUGGCCCACCUCUCAUCCGCAAUAUAUAACCCUAAAUAAUGAUAUCCCGUAAUCUAGACACCACGCCUAAACUACCAGAUACUACUCUAAUAUCAUCGUUAUGACAUAGAAUAAUUGCAUAAGCAAACAUUAUACCCGCACCAAAGCAUGUCCCAGAUAAGCUAGCCGUAUAUUCAGUAUAACAUGAACAUAAUGUAAAGUAGGUACUCAUGGCCAAGGCCAUGUGUUCAAGACCCUUAGAAGAUUCUUUUGCCCUACCCCUCUCAGAUGAGGCUUAUUCUGAAUUUUUGCAGCUUCAGGAGGUUCUGGACACUUUGAAUUUACAAUCAGGGAUGGGGGAUGCUUGGAAUUUUAUCUGGGGUUCAGAUAAGUACACAGCUAAGAAAUUUUAUAAAUUAAAUUAUUCCGCAUUGCAACCCCCUAGGCCCAUGAUUUGGCUAUGAAAAACAAAAUGUGUCAUGAAUAUCAAAGUCUUUGCCUGGCUAAUGUUCUGUGAUAGGCUCAAUACAAGAGAUAUGCUGGAUAGAAGACAUUGUGCCAAAGAAAAUGAUGAUCUCACAUGUGUUUUGUGCAAUGCGAACUACGGAGAGACAAGGCUACACCUCUUCUUCUUAUGUCCUUUCAGCAUCAGGUGUUGGAAAUACCUGGGAAUUGAGUGGAAUAAUAAUUUGGAGUUUUUCCAAAUGAUCACCCUAGCAAGACUCAUAUUUGCUCAUAAGGAUUUCUUGGAAAUUUUCUUUUUGGCAGCUUGGCACAUCUGGAAGCAAAGGAAUGGCUUCAUAUUUCAGAACAUUCAGCCCUCCUUCUAGGCAUGGAGAUCUCUUUUCGUCAAAGAAGUUCUUCUGCAUAUGUGCAGAAUAAAUGAUCCUUUAAAGCAAAUUGUUUUUAAUUGGGUACAAACAUUAUAGUCUUUCUGUGUGACCCGCAUGUAAUCUCUGUAACCUUGUAAAUAUUUUAUUUAUUUACAAAAUUACACUGUUGGGCAAAGCCCUAGCAGUUUUCAUGGUAAAAAAAAGUAGGUACUCAUAUACUCAAAAAGUAUUUCAAUACCAUAAAUGUAUAUAGAAGAGUAUUCUAACAAAAGUACAAAGCUUACAAAAGAGAAGAGAAGCUACUAGAGCCAUACCCGAACUCUUCCGAAGGUUUCCGGACUCCUGAUUUCUACUCUAUUCCUAUUCCACUAGCUAGAUACUACUAAGCUAAACUUGAGAGAAAUGAGAGAGCUAUUGCUUGAGGUGUGUGAGUGAAGUGAGGAUGAGAGUUCCUUUUAUAGCCUCCCAAUGACGGUUGUGACGGUUGGAAUGGUCCGUAAUACCCUCCAACCGUCAUUGGGGAGCAAUCUCAGCCGUCCAGGGGAACCCUGGAUCAAACGGAGCUGCGGGGGGUUUGGCCAAACCAUGGGCUGGGCCAACCUAGCCCAAUUUCGGCAGGCAGCCUCCCCUUUUGCUUCACUUCGUAGACUUGUGAAUUUUGGCUCAAUUCGUCGUGUCAAUUUUGAGUUCUUGGCCCAUUCAUACAUAAGUCUGAUUCUCGAUAUCGUCCGAUUGAUUUAUCGUCUGUGUUGAUGUCGAUUCUCCUCCACUUUAUUGUCAUUCUCUGCAAAAGGUUAGUAUACCUACUACUAGUGGAAUAUUAUUAUUCUAACAUAUUUAUGCAUUGCAAGCAUCACUAGUUCUUCUCUAUUUUGGUAAUAUUGACGGUCGAAACUGAUCGAUAACGACCGUCAACAAAAAUCAAGGCCAUCGAGAACGUGAAAUUGCCCACAAGACUCAAGGAAGUCCAGAAGCUAACUGGAUGCAUGGCGGCACUAAGCAGGUUCGUCGCUAGGAUGGGAGAGCGAGGACAACCUUUCUUCGCCUUGCUGAAGAAACAAGACAAAUUUGUGUGGACACAGGAAGCCGAAGAUGCGUUCAUUGCGCUCAAGCACUACCUGUCAAAUCCCCAUGUACUUGUUGCUCCCCAACCUAAUGAAGAAUUAUUCCUCUAUAUCGCUGCCACGCCGUAUUCUGUGAGUACUAUCAUCGUUGUCGAGAGAGAGAAGGUGCAAAGACUGGUUUAUUACAUCAGCGAAGCUCUCCACGACGCGAAAACAAGAUACCCACAGAUCCAAAAGCUGCUCUAUGCAGUAAUCAUGACAUCAAGAAAGCUACGCCACUACUUCCAAGCCCACUGUCACAGCUGUUUCCUCCUUCCCUCUUGGAGAAGUCGUGAGAAACAAAGACGUUGUCGGCCGCAUUGCGAAAUGGGUACUCGAGCUAAGCCAGUUUAAUGUCCACUUUGUGCCACAAAUAGCUAUUAAGUCUCAGGUCCUUGCUGAUUUUGUAGCCGACUGGACUAUGCCUGAGAACAAGUCGGACAGUCAAACAGACAGCGAAACAUGGACAAUGGCGUUCGACGGCGCACUCAACAGCCAAGGACCAGGGGCAGGGUCCAUCUUGACGUCACCUUCGGGAGAUCAGUUCAAGCAUGAAAUCCACCUCAACUUCAGGGCAACCAACAACACAGCCGAGUACGAAGGACUACUCGCCGGGAUAAGAGCAGCAGCCGCACUGGGAGUCAAGCGACUAAUCGUGAAAGGGGACUCAGAACUAGUCGCGAACCAGGUGCACAAAGACUACAAGUGCUCUAGCCCCGAGUUAUCCAAGUACCUCGCAGAAGUCAGGAAGCUAGAGAAAAGGUUCGAUGGGAUUGAGGUCAGAGACAUAUACUGUAAGGACAACAUCGAACCAGAUGACCUGGCAUGGCGUGCAUCCAGACGAGAGCCACUCGAACCUAGUACUUUUCUAGACGUCCUGACAAAGCCAUCGGUGAAAGAGGCGAACAACGAAGGUAGCACGGUCGUCCCCGACAUCAGCUCGGGGGCUACAAAAGAGGAACACGUUGUUGCCGAUAUCGAGACCACAGACGACUGGCGGACCGUAGUGAUGAGUUGCCCGAGGAUGACGCAGAAGCUGAGAAGAUAACCCGUCAAGCCAAGAUCUAUUGUAUGAUUGGCAACGAUCUAUACAAAAAGGCGUCAAAUGGAGUACUUCUCAAAUGCCUCUGGUCCGACGACGGCAAACAUCUCCUCCUGGACAUACAUGAAGGGAUCUGCGAGUCACACGCCGGCGGACGGAAGCUGGUAGGAAAAGCUUUUCGACAAGGGUUUUUUGGCCGACCGCACUCAAAGACGCCUGCGAUAUGGUGCAGCGGUGUGAAGCCUGUCAAUUUCACAGCAAACACACAAAACUGCCAGCGCAAGUGCUCCAGACUAUCCCCCUUACUUGGCCGUUCUCGUGCUGGGGGCUCGAUAUACUCGGACCAUUCCCACGAGGACAGGGCGGCUACAAAUUCCUAUUCGUGGCGAUCGACAAAUUCACCAAGUGGACCGAAGUGACGCCCACAGGGGAAAUCAAGGCCAACAAUGCCAUCAAUUUUAUCAAAGGGAUAUUCUGCAAAUAUGGAUUGCCUCACCGCAUCAUAACAGACAACUGCUCCCAGUUUAUUAGUGCUGACUUCCAGGAUUACUGCAUCAAAUUGGGAGUCAAGAUUUGCUUCGCCUCGGUUUCUCACCCUCAGAGCAAUGGACAAGUUGAAAGGGAAAAUGGCAUAGUACUACAAGGGAUCGAGACCCGCGUCUAUGACAGACUCAUGUCUUAUGACAAGAAAUGGAUCGAAGAACUCCCCUCUAUUUUAUGGGCCGUGUGUACCACACCGACAACAUCCAAUAAGGAGACAUCCUUCUUCCUCGUGUAUGGCUCAGAGGCCAUGCUCCCCACGGAGCUACGACAUUAGAGCACACGAGUACAAAGGUACUCCGACGACGAGCAGGAGCAGCAGCGAAGCGACGAUGUGAAUCUACUCGAGGAACAUCGAGAAAGAGUUGCCGUUAGAGCAGCCAGCUACCAGCAGGCCCUUCGCCGAUAUCACGAGAAGCGCAUCAGAGCACGCACGCUUUCGAUCGGCGAUUACGUCCUCCGACGGGUUCAAAGUCAAGCAGGGCGCAACAAGCUCUCACCCAAAUGGGAACAACCAUAUACGAUCACGCAAGUUUUGUGGCCGGGUGCAUUCAAGAUUGCAGAUGGCGAUGGUCGCGAGUUAGCAAAUUCCUGGAACAUUGACCAAUUACGUAAAUUUUAUGUAUAAAUCAAUAGUAUCCAUAUUUGUAAGACAUCUCACGAUUUCAAUAAAGUUGAUUUCAGGUAAAGAAUAUUGUCAAAGUAUUCCUUCCCGACGAUCCCUUACCAUGACGACACCUAGAGUUGAAACCUAUACUCAUGUCCCUUUACGCCGUCUUGACAAGGCCUCUGAGGAACCUUAGGGAACUUCGGCUGGGGACGCCCAGAGCGGAUAAGGCCUUGUCAGAUCAUGCAGAGACAAACAACCAUGUAAGAUCUAGUCAUGUAAGAGUUCUCACUGUGCGUAUUAACCAAGUCGUGUAAUCGGAAAUUGAGUUUUCCAACUUCACGGCUGGGGGCUAGGGUCAGUGCUUUUUCAACCAAGGCAGGUCAAGGGUCCAAGUGCCUUAUCCUCCAAGAACGAUUCUCCGACGACAAGGCUGGGGGCUAGGGAGAGUGUAUGGCUCAAGCGACUGAUCGAAGUCGCAAAGCGAGAAAACACUCAUACACAACAUACCCAGAGUAAGAAAACUUAGUUAGAUAGAUUCUCUUUAUAUUUUACAAGUAUUUCUUACAAGUCAUAAAUACUUCAAAGUAUAUUACAUGCUUCCUUGAGAUAUUCUUCUACAGGAUACCAAAUCUACCUGGACGGCCAACGCCAUUCCAUGGAGCGGAAAACCUUCUCAGCAAGCGGCGCCAUCGACUGCGCAAGACCGUCGAUCUCCGCAGGUGUCCUCCGACAACGCGAGAACCCUUCGCGAAGGAACUCGAGGUGCAGCUGCGGGCGGUGAUCUCGGAUGCAGGCUAGCACAUGUCCUCCGGCGUAGCAGCUCGCUCGACGACACUCCUGCUUCAUGACAUCAUCGAUGCGAUGGCCAAUCCCUUCAAGCUGUGCGCAGGCCCCAUUCAACCACGAGAUAUAACCGGCCGUCGACUCCUCGGGAUCUUCGCGGGGUACUCGGAGCUCCUUGCAAACCCUCGCCAUCGCCAUGCAGCAGCUCUUGAGGUACGAAUUGAACCACACCUCGCGACCCUGGAGAGCUUCCACAGCCUGGUCCUUCUUCACCGCCACCAUGGUUUUUUCGAGUUCGGCCACCUCGAGCUUCGUCUUCCAAUAUCAUAUUCGACGAUCUCGUUCAGCCAACAUGUUCUCGAAAUCUGCCAACACGGAAAAGACUAAGUCAAGCUAUUCUUCUCUUCCGAGAGCACAGCUAAUUAAGUCAAUCCGAACACAGGGAGUGAAGGAGGGCAAGACACAAACCUAGGGACGUCAUCGCCACGUUCGCCUCCGUGCAUGAACGGCUCGAGUAUGAGCGCCAGAACGAUCACCGGCAUAUUGGGCUGCCCGCGCUGCUGGACAUCCUCGACAUCAACAUAUCUACAACGACAACAAAGUACUCGGAAUCACAUGCUAAGGAAACAGGGGAGACAGCUGUUCAGAUAAGAGCAGUUUGGAUCCACAUAAAAGUUUUACAGCAUGAAGGUUAAGGGGUACAAGGGAAAACAAAUAUCUUACUCUUUAAAAAGGGGGAGGACGGACUCCCCCAAGUCACCGACUUCUUCCAUCGUAGCCUUGCGCGCAUCAUCGGCGGCCCCCUGAUCCAAAGCCUUCAUAAGGCCCAGAUCGGGAUGUGCCAGCCUCAUGCACGCAAGGACAUGGCACGCCCCGGUGUAGAUGCCGUUGGACGUCUCCUUGUAGAUCCUGGUCGCAUGCUUGGAGGGGAUCUCCAUCGCCGUAGCCAGUUCCGCAAGCGACAACAUCAGCGAGAACUCAUUGGGGUGUGCCGGGAUGGUAGUCGUGACACCACACUCCCCGGCGAGUUAGUGCAGGCUGGUGAACGACGUUCGCAGCGAACCUCGGAUGUCGAUCAUGUGGCCCUCGAGCUCCAACAUCCGGUGCUCGAGUCCGCGCCGCUGCAUCUCAUUGUUGGCCACUGUCACGCCCGGAAAUUCACUAGUAAUUUCCGAACUUAUUUGUGCAUAAAACCUUCGUCCAGGAAUUAGCCGAGGUACACAAAAUAACAAUUUAAUAUACAAAUCCAUCAUAAUAAUAACGUUACAUACUUACAAAAGAAAAGAAAACAACAGCGGAAUUAACGGUCUAGCAAUGGCUUCAGCUCCACUCCCACAGGCAGCUCAACUGGGGUAUAAGCCAAACGUCUUCUCCUUCUAGAUCAUUUUUCUUCAACUGAGGUUGAUUGAUUAUUGCAAGAAUGAGCAUAUGACAUACUCAACAAGCCACACAGCAAAUAUGCAAGUGCACAAGGACACCAAAGGAUGGCAUAAUAUAGGCUCAUUUGCAAAAGCAGCAUUUAGCAAAGAUUUAAGAGUAGUAAAACAGUAGAGUAAUUUAAUCAUUAAUUUUAAUCAACACUGAACAACACGCUCAUGCUGCUCAGGCCCAACCAUUCUGAACAACCAUACCCGGCUAUACAGAUCUACUCCAAACCAGGAGCUAAACAAAUUAUUACCAGUUAUAGCAUCAAUAAUUAUUGUGAGAGGUGUGAGACUAAUCACGAAAAACAUUGCUUAACCCGCCCAUGACCGCGGGCACGGCUAUUCUAAUAGUUUUACUCUGGCCAGAGGUGUACCACUGUACCCACAAGACACAGCCUCAACAUCAUGUCUGCCAUGGGUCGCGAUACUGGAAAGUACCCGAAUAGAGGCUGUGACAAUACCCUCUGCACAACACAACUCACCACAGUGCACCGUUCCUGGAUCAUAAUCACCCCCUCAAAAACCAGAGGCAUGGACUCCCCAGCGACCCCCACGGACUUCUCGCCGCUUCUCAGUCUGGCACCCCGUAAUGAACCAUGCUAUACAAAAGGUAAAGCCGUUGCCCACGCUGGCUUGUGGUUGGCACGGUUAAUGUUUCACAAUAGUAGCUCGCGAACCGGUCCUUAAUUGUCAUGAGCAUGACCUUCAAAACCAUGUGCUCACAACCCACCAUUGACAAGUUUUAAUUAUCAAUUAAUUAUCAUAACACGAUUAACCAUCGUGAACUACCAUUAAAUAUAAUCAUGAAUAAUAAUGUAGUAUGUAUGAUUCAUCCCAUUAAUGAGCUAAUGUUUCUAAGCAUGGCUAAGCAACUGUAAAUAACAUUUAGCUGAACCAAACCAAUACAUAAGGUUCAAGCUAAUCAAUUUAUUAUCCAAGGUAUCAAGGAAUAGGGCAUUCAAUGCAAAUUGGCCAUAACAAAGGAAUAAUAGGUUCACACCACCCGGUGACAUUCGAAAAUAAAUGCACAGUUGAAAUAAAUAGACAAUUUAAAUAUAGGAUCAACAUGCUCAAAGGAUUUGUGUUUAGUAGCUGUGUGACUUGACUUGCAAUAAUCGGUCUUCAAUUAAUCUUCUUGAACACUUCCGACGCACUCACGAACCUUCGCAACGACGGAAACGGCAAGCUAACACGCAAAACGGAAAAAAAAACUAAUAAAAACCAAAUAAACAGUACAUAAAAAAUAAACAAACAUGUAGAUCAUGAUUUUAGAUGAAUUUAGAGACUUGAACGGCCUCAUUCCGAGUUCAUAUAAAUUAGUUAUGAAUUUUACAAGAUUAAACUGAUUUUAAGAUUUAUUUUUAGAACGGAAUUAUGACAUCACGAUGACGUCAUCGCCGGCCAUGGCACUGGACGACGCGACCACCGGCGAUAGAGAGCUCGGCCGGGCUAUCCGAGGACACCAACGCGAAGAGGACGACGACGUGAACUCACCGGUGCAAAGAACAACAACAGACGACGACGAACGACGGCCGGCGACGAGGUUCAACGGCGGCUCGACUUGGGUCCCCGACGGCGACGGCGCUCUGGUGGUCUUCGGCGGCUGCGAAGGGGUGGACGGGGUUCCUCUCCUCCGUGCGCACCCGACGGCGGCGACGGACGGCAACGGAGACGGUGCUAACGGCGGCGCAACGCGACCGGAGGAUCGCCGGCGACGGCGGCGGCGGCUCUACAGGCGACAGCUCGGCUUGGGACUUGGGGCAAACGGAAGAGGACGUCAAGGGGAUGCUUUAUAUAGGCUUGGGCUAGAGAGAUCUGACUCCAAACGAGAGGAUUUGAACCGGAAAAUCCAAGGGUUAGUUUGGAGAGAUAAACUCGAAAACGAAUUCGAUUCGGUUUAUCUGGGCAAAAUUAAUCUCCGAGACUUUAGGGGAAAGGAAGAGGAUAAGUAGGAGAUGAUUUCCCCUCAACUAAUUUCAGGAAAACACAAGAGAAAAGGUCGGAUUUGGAGGGGAAAAACCGAGCCAACUCGGUCUCAGUUCGGCAGCCAGAGGUUGAAGAUGAACAGUACCGGAGAUACAAAAUAGACUUUCGGCUGGCUGAGAACAGAGCAGAGCAGCUCGACUUGGGCCGGCUUGGGCUGCACAGCACGCGCGCGAGGGAGAGAGAUGUUGGGCUGAAAUCAGCCCAACGGCUUAGGAGAGGAUUUAAAAACUUUUUCCAAUUAAAAUAAUCACUGAAAUGUUCUUUAAAUUGUUAAAAAUACUUCCAAUGCUCAAAUAAUUUCAAGAAAAAUCCUGAAAAUACUUGGACACUCAAAGUACUUAAAAAAAUUAUAAUCAUACCAUGUAAUGAUUAAUUUAAUAUGUGGAUAAUUACUGAAAUGUUCUUUGUAUGAUUAAAAUUAGGAAUUGAGCUCCGAAAAAUCCGAGAAUAUUCCAGAGAGUAUAAUUAACCAUGGAGAAUUUAAUAAAAAUUAAAUCCAUCCAUGCUUUAUAUUUAGAAAAUUUUAUUUCCCACAUUUAACUUCACUUGUAAAUUAAUGAACAUUUAAUACAAAUUCUAAUAAUAAUUUAUUAAAUAAUUUAUAAAUCCUAAGACGAAAAUCAGGAUGUGACAGCCACCAGCUCCCUCAUCUUUAGGAGGUCCUCGCGGGCCAGCUGGUCGGCACGCUGGUUUGCUGACGACGCUGCCGCCCUGGCCUCCUCGAUCUCGCGACCUACGCUGCGAGCACUAGCCUGGAGGAUGCGCUCCAUCUCCACUUGGAGCUCCCCCCAGGUGAGGGCAUCAGCGGACGGACCCCGAGUAGGCAUGAGGCUGACGGCAGGGCCACUCGGUGCCGCCUCCUGGUUCAUAGUAGCGACCACAACUCCUGUUGAGGUCGCCGUAGGGGACGCGCUGGAAGCGGCAUCAGUCCCACCUUGCGUCGCCUUUGCCCGCGCUGCCCUGCAAAGAUUUUUCUCUUCCCCAUGAGGCGAGGUGAUCGAAAUUUUGAAAAUGACAAGACCUCAAGAACGUUUACUUACUUCUCGCCAAUCAUCACCAACCUUUGCCUUCGUUGAGGUGGAGGAGACGCGUCCGAGCCCUGAAUAAGAUGAAAUGGUAUGAGAUCAAGUUGUUCCGACUACGCGUUAGGGAACGACAGAGAAGUUUACCGUAGAGUUUGUCGCUUUCCGACAGGUCCCAAGUACAGAGGAGAAUUUCCUUCCCUUCUUUGGAACGUUGCUACCACUCGUGGUGGCAGCAACAGCGUCAGAUGCCUCCUUGGCGAUGCUAUCCUUCAACGACGCUGCCGCCUGGUGGUCCACGAGUGGCCCGAUGACGUCCGUCAGAGGGAGAGCCUGCACAACGUGAAGUCACGACGCGAUCUCAAGGAGAAAGAUGUAAAGGAAUCAUCGAGUACACUCACAUUGAUCUCAGCGGCGCGUUCGGCCGGGCCCUUCUCACAAAGGGGGAUCGGGAUGUCGCCCGCCGCUUAGGGGGCGCUGAUCAUCACCUGACCGAUGCGGCGCCCCACGGUGUCACUAUCCAGACCUGUGAAUCAAAAACGAGAACUCGAUAAAGUCAGGAGAAACAGAUGCACUCGGAACAAAAUUAGAAAUGCGAGAAAAAAAUACCCCGAGGAGAGACUCGGGUCGUGUCCUCUGGCCCAGAGUAAUCAAAGGCCGGAUGGGUGCGGGCCUGUAGCGGUUGAAGACGAGACGAAGAAACUCAGAAGGCGGAGGAAGAAAACCACAAGAAAUGUAAUCUUCGACCACAACCAUGCGGGCCAAGAUGGGUUCAGGUUUUAUACCUCCUGCCUCCCUCUGCAUGGUCUCGCGACCAUGGAGGGCACCGUCGUCUUGCAACUUCUUCAUGGAUGCGGUGGUUGAGGUGGACUUUUCAAGAUCCAUCGCCGCUGGAGGAUCGCCGGAGAACAAGAUGAAAGAAGCACGCUAGGGUUUUCUUUGAGGAGAGCAGAGAAGACGAAGAGCGCUUGAGGGCAGGAGAGUUUUCUGGCAAACGGACUUCAAAUGGAUUCCCAAAAUUCCUUUAAAUAAGCGCACUGCCGACGGAAAGUAUUCCAAGGAAAGGAGAGAGAUUGCCGCCGGAAAAUUCUAGGUCCGUUGCGCGCGGAAGUUUUCAGACUUCAAUCUAAAUUCACUCGUGACCGUUGGACUUCUUGCGGUGUUGUGGAUGGCUCUUUGUCUCUACGGUUUUUUGCACCAAGAUCGACCAGAUGAGAACGACAACAAUUCCGACAUCGGAAGUCGCGAUCGACUACAUGAGUUCAUUUAAGUAGAAGUCGGGGGCUCCUGUCAGGGUUACGAAUAAGGUAUACCCUCUAUCCUUGGAUAUACGAUGGAUACCGAUACAAUAUACCCGCGCGUGUACGAAUAGUUUCUGUAUACAUUAAGGAAAUCUAUCCCGUGAUAGAAACAGAAUCUACGGAUGGACUCGGAUGAGGUUGGGUUUUUACCAUAUCGUGAGGGGUCCGAUAUCUCGGAGUCCUACUUUACUUGGAGAUCAACUGACCCGCGGUAUAUAAGGGAUCCCCUGGGCAGGACCUAAGGCAUCGAAUAUUACUGCCAAUACACCCCCCACAACCUACGAAGCCGGAGCCUACAGGAGCCAAGUCGCCGGGAGAUCUAGUCGGGCCAACUCGACUACGGUCUCGUCGGUAUCAUCGAGUUCUGUUACUCCCUUUGUAAUCUGUGUUUUCCAUUAUAUAAUCCCAUACCAACUGGAUUAAGGCUAUUACCUGCCAAGGGGCCUGAACCAGUAUAAUCCUUGUCUUUUGUUUGCUCGAUAUCGUACUACGUAGAUCCUCGUACCAACGAACCCCAAUACUCUCUAUAUAUCCGGUCUACGGGUAUCCCCCGUUGACACAUUCCAUUUUAUGACGAUUAGUAUGAGAUAGGGUGGCUUAGUGACGAAAAAAAGGUGUUUGUCGUUAAUAUCAACUAGAAAUCGUUAUAAAGUAUUUUAAUGGGACAUCGUGACGAAUAUUAAUUUUUCAUAAGGGGCACAAAGCAAACGUCAUACAUUUAUAUAAUGCAUUUCUAGAAAAAUAUAUUAAAAGUUAAAGCAAUUUAAUCAAGUGAAUUAACGAGGAAACUAAAAUUUUCCUUUAAAAAUCAUGGCUAGAAAUAUUUUUGUAAUAUUCUACGUGGUCUAAAUAAUUCUCUAAAAUUUCCCGUAAAUUUUCGGUACUCAAUAACUAAUUUUAAUACGAAAGAAUUCAUUUAACCUAUUAAAAUAAAUAGAAAACAAAUUAAAACUCCUCUCCCUGUCCUUGGGCCCUUUUCGGCCCAAAUAUUACUCUCUCCCUCCCUCAGCCCGCAGCCUCACUGUCCCUCCUCCCUCUUUGGGCCUCCGUGUAACAACCCGGGUUUUUAGCUAUAGUCUUAUUCAUGCUAUUGACUUGAUCACACUGGCUGAGAGCGGUGUUGAUUGAGCCACGAUGCUGGCUAGGACUUAUAAAUAUGUUGAUUGUUGUUCUAUUAUGGAUCUUAAAUCAUUUUUUUGAUCGUUUCCUUGUUAUUUAUUUAUUAAGUCAUAUCCAUAUGCAUUAUUGAUUUAUUGUUUGUUAGACUAAACCUUGUGAGGAGUGGGAUCAUUUAGUUUUGGUCAAAUUAUAGUGUAGAUUAGUCGUCACGAAGUGAGGUACACAUGUGCACAGUAGAAAUCACACAAUUCUUUAUUUACAAUUUACAGGUCUGCAUAUAUACAUGCAUAUAAUUGUGCACUAGAAAUCUUAUACACUAGAAAAAUCUUAUACAGUAUGCAUCUCAUAUAUUGUUGAUAUAGUAUAAUAUCAUAAACUGAACCAUCUCAGUCGAAGAUUCAAUUAAUUAUUUAUUCAGAAAAACUCUUGAGUUCUAGGGCAAUUACAAAUCAGUCCCUAAUCUCAAAGCAACCUUCAAUAUUAGAGACUCUGAGGGACUCAAGUGCAAAAGUACCUAAUUAUAUCAGACUUUAUCUAAAUAAAAAAAAUUAGUGAAACCCUACAAUACUCCAACGAUCAAGCACUGCAUAGGAGUCAAAGCUAGGAGCAGCCAUCUAGCCCAAGUAGGUGAGUCACUUAGCUUUCACUAAAAAUUCCCACAUAUAUUAACUCAGCUAUCUGUGAACCAGCCUCGGUUUGGUCGUGCAGAUCAGCAUAGGCAGCAAGCAGUGGCAGUAGUAGUACCAACAGCAAGAGCACAGCCAUGUCGCAGCAGCCUCAGCCGCAACAGCAGUAGCAGCAAGCAGUUCGUAUGCAAAACCACCUCAAAAGAGAGAAAUAGCAGAGCAGUAGCUAGUAAUCCGGCACCACAGUUACACCAAAUCUCAAUAGCAGCAGCCAUAGAAAAACAACCAGGGUGAGAGAGUAGAAGGAAAAGAAAGGGGAUGCAUGUGUUUCAAGUAGAGCAAGGGGUUUCAAUUUAAAGAGGAGAAACAAGUAGCAGAUCCAGAAGGGCAGCAGUAAACAAGAGGAGGAGCAACACCCUGACCAAUUUCAGAAGAAGCUGUAGAACCAGAGGAGAGUCACACGGUCAUUAGUCUUCCACAGCCACAGUAGGACCAUCAAAUAAGGUAAUCUGGAAAAAGAAUUAGAAUAAGAGGGAAAUCACAUCAUGGCAUGAUUCUUGGUUGAUGCAUAUAAUAGUAUGUUUAGGAGUUGUGUGCAUGCACUUAGUCAUAUCCAUUAAACCUGAAAAAUGAACCUAAGGAGAUGGCAGCUAUGUUGAUCUGUGCAUAUACUAGUAUGUGUAGGCCUUGGGUGUUGCAUUUGCAUCCAUUAGAAGCUGAACCAGAACAUAUCAGAUUCAGUAAAAUAUUCAUAUUAAUUGUUUGAUCUUCAGAACAGUUUGUGUAACUAAAAUUUUACUAUAGAUAAACAGGUGCUCAGGUGAUAAAUCAAGAAACAGUAGAAUGUAUAUAAACAUAUCAUCAGUCUUAUACCUUUAUCAAAUUUAGUAACUGCAGAUGUUUAUCCAUAGUACAAAUAUUGAUAUUCUUGACAUAUAGAUAAAAUCAGAUUUUAGAUUUAGCCAUGGACUUGGAAAUUAGUAUCUGGACCCUAGCACAGAUUUAAUUUAUCAUGAAGCAUAAGGACUAUAACAACUCUGUCAAUUAGGCUAGUUCAAUUGUAGAUAAAUCAUCAUUCAAUUAGUAAACAGUAGUAUAUAUUUUAGAUUGUAUAGAAUCACCAUAUAAUUGGAUUUUGGGUGAAACAUUCAUUUAGUAUAUAAUACCAAGUUCAGGAAGCACUGGUAUUUCAGAUUAAAAUAUAGAAGAUCAUGUAGCAGCAGGUUUUAGUAAAAAGAAUAGAACUGAGGAAUUAAGGAUACCGAACAGAAAACCAUAGGUUCUUACAGAAAAUAAUCUAGAGAAGAGGUUAGAGCAUAGCAUCUGAAUCAAGUGGAUAUGUAUAUAAUUAGUUGACCAAUAGUUUAAUCCAUGUCCUCAUCAACCACUGUAAUUAAAUAAUUUAUAAAUUUGGUUAUUAAUCACACAAGUAUAUAGAGAUGAAAAUCUGGACAGUAGUAAUAUCAAGGAUAAACAAUGCAUGAGUUUACUAAUUCUAUGGGAUUUAUAUGUGUAAUAUGUGCAUAUGUAUAUCUUCAUUUUUUUUCAGUUUAAGUGCAAAAUUAGUAGUGGCUUAUGAAUUAUCAGGAAGCAGUAAUAUCCAUAGGGACUUGAUCAUGUUAGUGUUUUAACAAUUUCAGUGUUUCAGUUAAUUCUACAUGCAAGCAUACUUAUAAGGACAAAAUCAUGUUAGUGUGCUUUUAAUUUCAGUCCUGCAUUUUUAGAAGAUAUAUUCAUGUGAGCAUUCAUCUAUCAUGGGCAUACAGGCAUCAUCCAAUCUAGCAAAUGAAUUGAUCUAGAACCCUAGAACUAGUAAUUACAAUCCAUAGCAUAGAGUCAUCAAGUUGAUCAUUAGGAUUAGUCUCCAAGUAUCAUCAGUGUAUCACAACCAUAAUAAAUCAUAAGGGAAAGAACACCUUACUAGUACAACACACUAGAGAUCAGGAAAAAGGAGAUAGAAGAGAGGAAUCGAAGUGGUAGCAGCGGUAGGGGCCUGGGAACUUCCCCUGAAUCCUUACCUCGCCGGAGUUUUGCCGGCGGCUGCAUCUAGGAUUGAGGAGGUUGGAAGUUAGGUUUAGCUUAGGGGCAGAGAAGCAUGGAGCCAAGAAACCGAUUCGCGGCUGCGGGACAUCUGCUUGAGGGGUCGUCGGAGUGGGGCGUGGUAGCCGGCGCUAGGGAGAGCGGCGGCGUCGCCGGCGCUACCUAGGAAGCGGCGGCACUGGGAGAGGAAUUUUUUUCAUUUUUAGAUUUUUUUUUAAAAUAUUUAUAGAAAUAAUCUAUCGGCCAAAAAAAAUUGCAAAAAUAGACCCUGCCGCCCACCUCUGGGGCGGCAAGCUGACGUGGCAAACGGGGGAGGGACGGGCGGUGACGGAGGGAGGGUUUUUUGCAGUAAAGCCCUUGCCGCCCUCUGUUGGGGCAGCAAGGGGCCCGAAUGCAAAAAAGCUAGUCGGGGCCGGCCAUUUUGCAGGCGGCCCAUUGCUGCCCUCUGGCCGGGCGACAGGCCUCGUUGCCUAUAAAAGGCCUGCCGCCCAGCCCCCAGCCCUCAUUCCUCCCCCCUCAAAUCCAGUGAAAAAAAACAAGAAGAAAGGGGAGGAGAAGAGAAGAAGGGGCGAAGCCCUGCCGUAUUCAGACGCCGAUUUCAGGUAAUAUUCAUAAAUCCUAUAUGUGACUAUUGAGUUAAAUAGUGUGUAUUUUUGAAAACUUUGUUUGAAUAAAUGCAUUAUAUUUUUAGGGUUUUAGUUGUACUAAUCUAGAAGUGCGUAUUGUAGAUAUCGGUAACUAUGUAGAUCUGCUAGUUUGGAAUCAAUACUUUACCGUUGCAUUGGCAUACACAAGAAGAUAUUACGUUGUAGAUGUUUAUUGCAUGAAAGAGUAAUAUGAUCUAGUUAUUUCGUUGACAGAUAUGUCAAACAAACAAAUAUUCCAAGUUUACCAUGGCCUAGGAAACGUCCGUUACGGGCCAACUGGUGUAGAUCUGUCAGAUUUUAUUGUAUUAGAAAGGGGAAUUGAUAGACCGGCUGAGAGGAGUGUACCUUCUAUAAAAGGAUGGUUAAUGAGGGGCUUGAGAGUUGAUCCAUAGACAAGUGACAUAACAAUCAAUGUUAUAGUAAGUCGGGCAACUGAGGGUUUUUAUUGGGAACUAAUGCCAGUUCAAAACUCUCGAGUGUAGAGAUGGUAUGUGGAAAACGCAUUGCAACGCGGGUGGCCUCUAGCUAUGGUUCCGUUUGUUCACCCGAAGGAUCCAGGUGUGCAGAUGAACAUGGAUGAUGGCGAGGGACCAAGUGUUGAAGUAAAUGAGACUUUUGUGGAGGAGGUCAACGCACGAGAGGACGGGGGCGUAGUAGCUCCAGUGGGCAUUCAACCAGGUGGAGUGGCCGACGAGGGGGAGACUGUCGGUGCCAUUGUGGAUGAAAUGGAGAGGGAGGAUUCUGACAACGAGCGUGUAGAGGAAGGUGAUUCGUCAGAUGAUGAGACGGAUAUUAAUCCAGCAGGCAGAAUGGGCUAGUGAGGAUUUUUCUGGGCUGGUCGUCUCUGAAGAGGAUAGUGUGAGAUGGGAGUACAAAGAAAAUGAGGUUAUUCAGGGAGCGAAUUAUAGUAGAGCAGAAGAUAUGAAGGAGGCGAUAAACAUUUUGCAAUGUCACUUCAUAGAGAGUUUUGGGUUGCCAAGUCCAACCGGUCGCAAUAUGAAGUUCGGUGUGUUAAGGAAAAAGAUGGUUGUCCCUAGAGAGUGCACGCGUAUAAGGGGAAAUGGAAGGAUUAUUGGACAGUGUCAGUCGUACCAAGCAUACAUGUUUUCUACCUGGUGUUCAGAAAUACCACAGGAACAUUACAUGUGCAUUUGUUGCAUCUGAGGUGUAUCUGCAUGUCAUCGAUAAUCUCACAUAUGAACCAAGGUCAAUAAUCCGACACAUCGAAGAGACAUACAAGUAUACUAUUAGCUAUGCCAAGGCCUGGAGGGCCAAACAGAAAAUUCCCCUACGAAGCCUCGUAUGACAAUUUGCCACGCCUGCUUAGUGUUAUCGAGGAAAGAAACCCUAGGAGCUCUUACGAAGUGAAGAAAUUCCCCUCAAUUGAACAUCCUAGCAAGAGUGCUGCAAAGGGCGUUCUUAGCUCUACAUGCAUGCAAGAUGGCAUUCGUGAACUGUCGUCCUGUUCUCUGCAUUGAUGGGACAUUCUUGACAGGAAAGUAUCGGGGCCAGAUACUAACAGCAAUAGGGGUAGAUGGGAACAAUCAGGUAUUGCCCUUGGCAUUUGAUUUUGUUGAGAGUGAGAAUACCGACAGCUGGUACUGGUUCCUGAAAUUGGUUAAAACAAAAGUUGUUGGUAUGAGGCCAAAUGUGUGCCUGAUACAUGAUAGGCACGUUGGCAUUCUGCGAGCGAUAGAAGAGUUGUAGUUUGGGAGUAUGGAACGAGGAUACCCUGGUGAGUGGGAAGAUGUACAGAGUAGGUGGUGCAUGCGUCAUAUGGGAGCUAAUUUCUUCAAGCAAUUCAAGAACAAGGAGCUCAUGAACAUGUUUAAGAGGCUAUGCAACCAGAACCAGGAGAAAAAAUUCAAUGAGCUUUGGAAGAGAUUAGAUAAGUUGAUAGCCAAAUGCAGUGAUCAGCGUGCAGCGGCUCCAUCGACCGUCGAUGCUGACCCUCCUCUAGCUCUUGGACCUCUCCCAACGGAUAGUCCAACAUUGGUUAGAAGAACUGGAUUGGAGAUUCGGAAAUUUUCUCAGUGGAUUCUGCAUGAACCAAAAGAGAAAUGGGCCAAGGCGUAUGACACAGGUGGUGCUAGAUAUGGAAUAAUGACAACAAAUUUGGCAGAAGUUUACAACUGGGUGAUGUGCGGUGUCCAUGGACUGCCACUAGUUGGCAUAGUGGAGUUCAUUUUACAUGGGACAUGCAGGUAUUUUAGGGAUCGGUUCCAGGCAGUUCUUCCCUCUAUGCCGAACAACAGCAUUUUGUUUGGAACUUUCAUGCAGAAAAAGCUAGAGGAGUUGCGUAAAAAGGCCAUGAAACAUCGAGCUCUAGUGCCAGGUACCCAACAGCACAAGUUUGAGAUACUAUGUCAAGAUAAGGCAGGCAGGGGUAUCUACCGCAAGAGAGUGAAGCAGGAGUGUGUACUCAAAGACGACGGCACAUGUCAUUGCUCUUGUGCAAAGCCGAAGCUGCUCCACAGGCCAUGCACCCAUGUCAUUGCUGCCGCAGCGGAGUGUGGCAUACCAGAUGCAGUAUAUGUGUCACAGUACUUCAGUAAGCAAGCAAUAUAUCAUACAUGGAGCGGCGAGAUUUAUGGGUUCGGCAUAGCUGGGGAGUUCUCAGAGACUAACGAUGAAGUACUCAAUAUUCCUGACCCAUCGAAGCCCUGAGGCAAGGCUGGAAGGAGGAAGACUCGUCGCAUCUGCAACGAUAUGGACGAGUCGGAGGCUGGCAGGGUGAAGCGUUGCAGCAAAUGCGAUGAACGUGGGCACACCUACAAGCAUUGUCCUAAAGACAAGGAGAAACCAAGUGCGGUGGAGGCAGGACUAUCAGGAUCAGCAGCAGAUGGAGCUCGCCCUACGGGUGAAGGCACUACCUCCACUUGACCACGUCCUAGGCGUCGUCGUGCCACGUCUGGCUACGUGGUGUAGUUCUUAUGUUCUAUGUUGGCAUGUGGCUUUGCUUGUAAUUUGUUUCGAACUUAUCGAUGUGUUUAUGUUUCAUCGUGUAAUGUCAGACUUCGGCAUAUCAUGUCUUUAGGUCUCGUGAUGUAACGUCAGACUAAGGCGCCUAGUGUCUUUAGGUAUGCUAAUGUAAUGUCGGACUUCGACACGUAAUGUUAUGUUAUGUUAUGUUAUAUUAUCGAACUCUACAUAUAUGUUAAAUUGUACGUCAUCAUUAUGUACCCUUAGUAACGUUUGCUAUAUUUAAAUAGCCUGUACUCUUGUUGUACAUAAUUAUUCUCUUGAUUUUAUUACUAUUUCAUAAUUUUACAAGUUAUCUUUUGUUUGACAUUACUACUUUUUGAAUUGUUCUAACACGAAAUACUAUAUUUUUCAGAGAUGGCACGUCAGGAUACACCUCAGUUGUUGGACUCGGCGAUAGAUCACCGACACCGGUCUCACCUUACUGCGGUGCAGGGGGCUCAGCUUGGGACGUUCCGGGUACGGACGUGCGGUGAGCUACUUACGGUUCACGACUCCUUUGUCGAGAGGUACGAACAGUGUAUUAUUAUAAAUUAGUUGCGCUGUAAUAAUUUUUAUAAUGACAUAUUAAUUUGUUAUUGCAGGCUGCGUGUUGCCGGUUUCCUACCGAUGUGUCGGCUGGUGGAGGCUGCCGCCGGCGACACGGACCUGGCCAGAUGAUGGACUGUGGACCGGUCCCUCCUAGCAGCUUUGGUCGACCGAUGGAGGCCAGAGACGCACACUUUUCACUUGCCGUGCGGUGAGGUAGCCCCUACCUUACAGGACGUAUCGUACGUGCUGGGGCUACCGCUCGCGGGAGACGCUGUUGGGCCAGUGACCACGGGUGUGGACUGGCAGGACGAUCUGACGGACUGGUUGUUGAGGACUGGUUGCUCGCAACCGAGGAGGUCGUGGACCACGAGGGAGAGCCACACACUGAGGAGGCGUACCAGGCCUACCUACGCUUGUACCAGCCAUGCACCUGUACUAGGGUCACCUUCGCUACCUUGGAGCAGCAGCCCCACGUUGCGAGCACUAGAGACCUCUACGCCAGGCACCGCGACCAGGACUUCGCUCGUGUUGUGAGUACCCUGCAUCGCACCAUUCCUUUAUGUUUUCAUGUCUUUCUCUUCGUCAAAUUUUACGAAUAUGUACGAACAAAUUAACCAUGCAGGUCGACGACAUCAAUCGGGUCGUCGUUGACGGUUCAAUGACGAUCCAACGUUUAGGCGCGGGGAUUCCGGUACCCGUAGAGGAGCACCUGACGACAUACACGCGGAUGGUGGAGUUGAUGCGCUCGAUUCUCCGAGUGCUCACCUGUCGUGCAGAUGACGUUGCUCGGGCAAACGCAGCUGUACAGCGGCCACCCGUACCGACUGGUCCCCGUCCAGCUGCGCAUGUUCCUAGGCCGACUCCCCUUCCACACGGAGGUAAGUAUUUUUAAGGAUUUUUCUGUACAUGCCUCGUACAUAUAUGUGAGCCGUUUCACUUGCCGAUUGCUUCAGGGUUUCGUGCACCAUUCAGCACCCCGCCUUCCUCGGCUAGGCCUUCUGUUGUGCCUCCCACAGGUACUUAAAAAAACAACAUUACUUCGACAAUCAAUUUACAUGCAUUUUAUGUCUUAGCUUACAAGGGUCCCAUUGUCGAUGUGUAGGUUUCGCCUAGUUCGCUAUGACGCAGGCCGCCCACUUCUCCCAGGCUGCAGGGUCAGCGUCUCAGGCAGCUGCGUCGAUCUCGCUCUCAGCGCAGUUCUGGCAGUACACCGGGACUUCGUCACAGGCAGCCGGCACGUCGAGUCAGGGUCCACCACUAGACCAUGCUGGGACCUCGUCGGACCGCUUGGUGCCUUCCACCUUGCUCUUCGACAUCACUGACUUUGACUUCGCUUCAGGCUCGACAGAGGACGUCAUCGGCCCCUCAUAGCUGGGAGGCGCACCGCCGGUGCAGACACAGGACCAGGCGCAGUCCACUCCGCCGCCAGACACUCGUGCUACCCGUGCUGUGCCACCGGAUCGUUUCACCUACUCCCAGGACCACGUGCGAGCACAGGCCUGGAGGACCAAGCGUGGUCGCGGCACGGGGCAGGGCCAGUAGAGCAGUCUUCUCUUUGUUUAUUUGCUUCACUUUCCAGUACUAUAUGCUUGUGUAAUGACUACGUUGUUGUUAUAUGUGCACGAUACCUUUCGGCGCAUGCACGAUACCUUUCGGUGCAUGCACGACUACUUUCUGCCGCACCGAUGCAGCCUCCUUUAUUCGCGUGCGAUACGAGUAUUUGCCCGCCAUUUGCCGCAUACGACCAAUGUAACUUUUGGCGCCGAUCAGGCAUGUAACUUUCGGCGCCAAUCAGGCGUACCCACCAUGCCCCGCCACGUUCACAUGUCAGGGAUAUCACUCAAUUUUUUGCGUCUAUAUAAGUCGCCUUAACGAGUGAGGCCUCACAAUCUUUCAGAACUCAGUCACAUUCAGUACUCUCUUCCCCACUUGCUUCAUUACAAAUCCUACCGGCUUUCAUCAAUGGCUAGACGCCGGGGUGUUGAGGAUCCGAACUGGCAUAGCGAUCCUUGUGUAUACCUACUACCACCUUGGUGCCAGCGUCCUCUCUGCCUAUGCGGUGAUCGAUGCGAACUAAUGGCUUCGAGAAAUCCUGAUAUUCGAGGAAGGCGCUUUUUUAGGUGCCCUAACUAUGACCGUGAGGUAUUUUAUUAUCUGCAUAUGCUUAUUCAUUCCGUAUGGGCAAUCGCUUUAUUCUUCGUAACACUACUCUAUUCGGCAGACCCGCACUACGGCUUGCGCAUACAUCGAGUGGGUCAAUACAGAAAAUCCCGUUCUUGACCUAACCACUUGUUUACAAGAAGGUCGCUGGUAUUUCGCAUCCGAAAGUACUGAGCAAUACUUACAAAGAAAAGCGGCUUAUGAACGACAAUGUCAUGAACAACAGAGCGACUGACGGGUGCUAACUACGGCACUCCCUCCAUGGGAAGCCCGUCCAAGAUGCAGGUGUGGUGAUCGUUGUCAGGUUCUUCGUUCCAUAAAGCCUACAACAUUGGGUCGAAGGUUCUUUGUUUGUCAAAAUAUUCUUGACGACGAUUUAAUGGGAAGAAUAUUUUGAUUACAUGAAUCCUUAUUUUCUCACAACAUUUACUAACUUUGCUCGCUUUACAUCUAUUCUUUCCUCCCAAGAACCACCAAGGAGAUGUCAAUACAGAGAAUGGAUAGACACCAGAAGGGUUCUAACUCCACCUAGCCGUGUUGUGUAGCUUGAAUUCCCAGAGCAAUACAGGGUUACUAAAGCGCGUUUUGAGAGAGGAGAGGGAUCCUCACUGUGGAUCCCCGUUUUUAUAACAGGAAUCAAUCGUGUAAACAGUACCAUUUCCCUGGAUCAAUUAGUCUGGUACACACGAAUUCAUAGCUGAAAUACCAAGUGCACAUACACGAGUGUCUAGUACGAAUUAUUACAUCAUAAGCCCGCAGGCAUAGUCUUAAAUCAUCGGACCGAGCGGUCCGGAAUACAUUCCAAAAACAGAAGUAGGUAAGGCAGCGGAGUUAAGGCAGCGGCACGCCAUUGCCACAGGCAACGACCGUAACUAAGACCUACUGGGCACCAUCGUCUUCAUCACCCUCCUGGUAGUAAGCGUUGGGAUCCUCCGAAGCUUCAUCUCCGACCUCUGAUUAAGUUUGUAUAUUGCAAGGGUGAGUACCAACCGUACUCAGCAAGCCACCACAGCAACAAUCCAUAUGACAGGGGUAUUCAAAGGAUGGCUAUGGUUCUUUUGCGCAAAGCAUGUUUUGUAAUUCUUUUCACAAGCCUAAGACCUAGCAUAGACUGAUCAAAUUUUAGUACCAGUGUUCAUAUUAAACAAUGACGGUUCUGUCCACCAUCCAUUGUGAUCCCAAGGAUAGCUUCCCGCCAUUAAGUCAUCAUGGUUUUCUGAGGACGUCCACAUUCCCGCCUCUCAGGAAGUGGCUCCAUCAGUAUAGAAAUCAUCAUGCAAUAUCCCAUCCCACACAAGUUAAGAAUUUAGAGUCUAGCCAAGUGUAAUACAUGUCCCACUGCUCAAUAACCGCGAGCACGGCUAUUCGAAUAGAAUUGGUUUACUCACACUGCAGUGGAUGUACACUUUACCUGCACUCCGCGACUGCCCAACAUAUGAGCCUCGUCCCAACAGAUGAGACGCGUCAUGGCAAAGCUUUUCGAUAACCUCGCAUUGGCAGUACCCGCUCCAUGAACUUUACAUCCUUAUGCACUCUAGGUGUACACGGUUUCUAGCAGUGAGAGGAGUUCUAGCGUACCCGGGAAGGAAAGACUCACACAUGCAUUAAGUUAUAAUUACGUUUAAAUUUUCUCAUGGCAGUCCUACCGAGGGCGACACCACUGUAGACACCCGCCUCGCGGUUCUACCAAUGACUGCUCAACCGUAGAGCCCCUGCCUCACACAUCAAGAAACCACUAUGCAUGGAUACUGCCUCCACUCAGCUAUCUAUUCCACUAGGUCUAUACCCAUACGAGAAGUGCGGUUGUAUGGGGGUCGUUUCAUGCUUAACUUCCUGGCUCGGUCCUUAAUUGACCGGGAACGGUACUAGCCUUUUCCGGAUACCACCCAAAUCCUCCGUCCGCCCCAGUCGAAAACAGUUAUUUAAUUUUAUUUCUCCUUUCACAAAUCAUGUCAUCAACAUCAUGGCAAUGUGGCGCUCAUGUCUCCACAUGCCGCAUCUCAAUUACCUUCCCAAAGGUAAUUGCCCAAGCAUAUAGCUUUUGAUAAAUAUGAGUAUGCAUAAAUCUAGAGUAGCAUUUCUAAGCAUUUGUCAUAGUUGACUAGGGACUUAUACGUAAAUCAUGGUUACAAGGAUUUAAGGGUAAACAAUAAUCAAGGCAUGGCAUAAUCACAAGUAGGAUGUUUAUCAUUGCAUGCAAUUUUAUUUGUAAACAAAAUAAUUUUGCAAAUGGGAUCAACAUGUUCAAGGAAUAGUGAUGACUUGCCUUGCUCAAAGUCUUGCGGGUCUUGGCCUUCACUUGGAUCCGCAACUCCCUCGGGCUCUAAAAUUACGUGCAAAGAAACGAUUUGAAUUCGGUUAGAAUUCAAAUAAAGAUCCAAGUAAAUCCAAGAAGAUAUCGAGCGCGGAAGUUGGUUUCUUAUAUUAUCUAUUUUUUUCGUGAAAUAGAGCUAAUCCAAUCUUAAUUCAUCCAUCCUAAACUAUUUCGUGGUAUAAGUAUUUUAUUAGCACAAGUUUUUAAUUUAAUUAGCCCGAGUAUUACAUCCAUUUAAUAGGUUAGAGAUUUCCAUCGCGGGCUAAAUAUCGGACAAAAUCCUAGAAUUAUCUUAUAAUAUUAUACGAUUUAAUUUAGUCUAUGACUAAAUGAUUAAAUAUAAUACACGGCUAAAAUCCAUAGUAAUUAAAUCCGAAUUUCUACCGUGAAUCGUUGACUUAUAGAGAUUACCAGAAUUAAUCUAUAAUAAUCUAUAAGAAUUCAUAUAAUUGUUUAGUUAUUAAUUACAUCUAAAUUACUACCAAUUUUAAUCUAAUCCGAUCAAGAAAUAUAUUCCUAUAAUUAACCCGGAAUUUCGAUCGAAAUACUAUUACACUAUAGGAAUUUCCAAAAUAAUUUAUGAUUAACCCCGACCAUUUUUAUUUGCUAAAUCCUCCUAAUCUCUCCCCUAAUUUCUCUUCUAUUUUCUCCUUUUGUUCUUUUCUAUUUUCCUCUCUUUCUCUUCCUCUCUUUUCUUUUCUUUUUCCUUCUCUUUCUCUCUUUUCUUCUUUCUUCUUCCUUCUCUUUCUCUCCCUCCCGGUUUCUCUCCUUCUUUCUUUCUUCUUUCUCUCCCUCGGCUUCUCCCUUCCUCUAUCUCUCUCUCGGCUCUCUCUCUCCCUACCCGAGGCGGCGGCGGCGACAGCGCGCACGGAGGGGGGAGGGCGGCGGCUUACUGACGGCGGCGGCGGCGACGGCGGCGCAAGGCGGCGACGCACGGCGCGGCGGCUUCGAAGGCGGCGGCGCGGCGGCAGGACGACGGUGGCGUGAGGAGAAGGGGGAGAGGAAGAGGAGGAGGGAAUGGAGUGGGGUGGAGAAGGGGGAAGGGGCCAGGGUUUUUAUAGGGGAGAGGGGGAAGAAGGAGAGGGGGAGGGGCGGCGGCUUAAUGGUGACGAGACGACGGCGACGCGCGGGCGGCGACGCGAUGGUGGCGCGGGGCUCGGAGCGGUGAUGCGACGGGCGGUGGUGCGGGGCUCGGGGCGGCGCGGGGCUCGGCACGCGGUGAGGGCGACGGGCGACGCGACGGCGACGGUGGAGCGUCGACGGGACGGCGAUGCGGCGACAGGACGGCGCGGCGCGGCACGGAGCUCGGCGAGCGGCGAUGGCGGCAGGGCGGCGCGGGGCUCAAGGGCGACGGCGACGGCGCGGGCUCGAGGCGCGGGCGAUGGCGCGCAGUGUGGCAGCGGCGAUGGGAUGGCGACGGCGGCUCGGGGCGCGAGGCGCGGCGACACGACGGCGACGGCGACAGCGGCGAUGGGAUGGGCGCAUGGCGGCAGGCGACGAUGGAGACGGCGCGCGGCGGCUCGGGGCGCGAGGCGGCCAACCGAGACGGGUGACGGCGCGUGGUGACGGUGGCGACAGAGAGGGGGAAAGAGGAGCUAGACUAGGCCCACAUCAAGCACCUUGAAUAGUGACUUUUUCCUAUUUUUCCCAUUUUAGUCUAUUCCCUAUAUAAAUUCGAUUCUAUAAUUCCUAAUUUUUGCAUAUAUGAAUUUUACUCAAUAUGUGUGUUAUUCCAACCAAUGGAUUCACCCUAGAUUAAUAUUACUCAUAUUUUAUUUAUAUAAUUUAUUUUAAUUUUUAAUUAGAGUUAAUUCUCAUUCCAUCGUACUUAGAUUUAAUUAAUACAAAUAUGAUCGCGAUAAUAUUUUAUUCAUUUCUAUCUCCACCUCAAACUUUAUUUUAAAUUAUAUUUCAGUUAUUUAUUUUGCUCAUUUAAUUUUAGGUUUUAUUCCUAAUUAAUUAUUCUUUAUUCGCGAUCAACAAACUCUGAAAUCAAAAUCCAAUGCAAUAGGCAAAUAAAAUCGGCAUGAUGCAAUUUAUUUAAAAAGUUUUUGAAGGCCCAUAUUUUUAGAGUUUAGAUUUUUGUCGGUCGAAUUUUUUAGGGUGUUACACUCACGUAGGGGUUAGCUAUUAUCGGACAACUUGGCAUAUUGAAAUUUCUACUGUCAUGCUUCCUUGUCCCAUUACUACAUCGUCGUUGUGUUCAACUAUUGCACUACCUCCCUCCUAGUUCGAAUCUAAUAUCAUCUAUGUAACCGCAAUAGAAAUAGUUGUAUCAUGUUCAAAUUGUACUACUAUUUCUUCAUGUUACAUAAUUCUCCUUGUUUAAGUCCAUAUAAUGUUUCUACGACCGAGACUGCGAUAGGCCUAUAUUAAUUAUCCGAGUACUAAUACGUCGAAUAAGUUACAAAAUAAUACCUUACUUAACAUAUGAAAUUUCGAAACAACCAACUUCAAUACAUUUUUAUAACAAUAUUAACAAGUUUUACCAAUAAAUACUUCUUUAUCUAUUAUUAACAUCACAUAGAAAAAUCGUUUGGACGUACUUUUGGCCCAAAUGCAAAAAGUACGAGUGCAACCUCUUUAUGGGCGGCAAAAAUUUGCAAUUAGCCCCUUGCCGCCCUCUGUAUGGGCGGCAAGGGGGUAAUUGCAAUUUUGGCCGACGGCGGCAGACGGCGCGGUCGACCCGCCGUCUGCCACGUCAGCUUGCCGCCCACCACUGGGGCGGCAGGGUCUAUUUUUGCAAUUUUUUUUGCCGAUAGAUUAUUUCUGUAAAUAUUAAAAAAAAACUAAAAAUGAAAAAAAUUCCUGGGAGAGCGUUAGGGAGAGAAGGGGAGAACGAGAAAAAGAGAGAAGAGGAAGAAGGUGGUCUAUGUGGGCUUUUCUGUUGGGCUUUGGCAUGUGGGCUGUAUAUAGGAGUACUAUUGAAUUGAAUAUAAAUGUAAAACUUCUUUCAAUAAAAAUAAUUACUCUCUUAAAAAUAAAAGUGUAAUGAUGUUUGUGUCGACGGUGGGGUACGCUGAUACAAGAAUCCACGUAGUACGACAUCAAGGAAACAAGAGACAAAUAUUAUACUGGUUCAGGCCCUUAACAGGUAAUAGCCCUAAUCCAGUUGAUAUGGGAUUAUAUGGAAAGAACCACAGAUUACAAAGGGAAUAGUAGAACUCGAUGGUACCAACGAGAUCGUAGUCGAGUUGAUUCGACUAGAUCACCCGGCGAAUUGGCUCCUGUCGUCUCCGGCUUCGUAGGCUGUGGUCAUUGUGUAGGCUAUGAGAUUCGAUGCCUUAGGUCCCCUGGGGGGUCCCUUUUAUAUCGCAGGUUAGGUGGUCUCCAAGUAGGACUCAGAAACAUCGGACCCUGCACGAUAUAGUAACGACCCAGUCCUAUAUGGGUAGGAACCUUUCCAUUGGUGGACUUCGCGAUGGAUUUCCUUAGCGUAUUCAGAGAACAUCCGUAUGUGUACCGAUAUACCGUAUUGCCGUAUAACAUACAUCCAAGGGUAGAGGGUAUACCUUAUCCGUAACCCUGAUAGUAGCCCCCAACUUCUACUUAAAUGAACUCGUGUAACCGAUUGCGACUUCUGAUGUCGGAGUUGUUGUCGUUCUCGACUGGUCGAUCUCGGUGUGGGGACCGUAGAGACAAAGACUGAUCGACAACACCAUGCGAAGCCCAAUGGUUAUGAGUGAAUUUAAAUUGAAGUCCAAGAAACCGCCUCGCGCAACGGACCCAGAAAUUUCCGGCGGCUAUCUCUCUCCUUUCCUUGGAAUUCGCACCGUCGGUAGUGCGCCCAUUUAAGGGAGUUUUGGGAAUCCAUUUUGGAGUCCGGCUGUUGCGAGAAACUUUCAAGCCUUCAAGAGCUCUUCGUCUUCUCCGCUUCCGCACAAACCCUAGCUUGCUCAUCUCGGCCCCUUCUCCGGUGAUCUUCGACAGGAAUGGACCUCGACAAGUCCACUUCUACCAGCGCAUCGCUGAAGAAGGAAUGGACCUCGACAAGUCCACUUCUACCAGCGCAUCGCUGAAGAAGUUGCAGGAGGAAGGCGCUCUCCCCGGUCGCGGGACCAUGGAGAGGGAACCAGGAGGUACUGAACCUGAACCUGUCCUGGGCCGCAUGGUUGCGGUCGAGGACUUCAUUCUCUAUGGUUUUCUUCCUCCUCCCUCCGAGUUUCUUCUUUUGGUCUUGAAUUUCUACGGUCUCUCUCUACUCCAUUUGAACCCCAAUUCUAUCGCCUUCCUCAGUAUCUUUUCUCAUCUUUGUGAGGCCUACAUUGGGGUAGAGCCGUUUCUUGACCUCUUUCGCUUCUACUAUGAGUUGCGUUGGAUGGAAUCCAAUAGGGUAUCUGGAUGCGUUGGUUUCCGACUUUGGGAUGGCCUGAAGUCGCGCUAUAUCCCCUUCCAGUGCCCCUCUUCUCAUAGUAAAUGGCGGGUGAGGUGGUUCUAUCUUCAGAUAGAAAAUUCGGACCCAGACUUUGUUGUUCCUGAGAACAACCAGACAAGAUUUCGUCUUGGACCGCCAAACCCGCCUUAACCCCCUCCCUUCAAUCCUUCAUCGAUAUCAUCGAUGAACUCCGAGUGCGAGGGUUGUCGGGGUAUGAAGUCGCUGCCGACUUCAUCGGUAGACGGAUCCAGCCGCUCCAGGCUCGAGCCUAUCCAGCCUUUUACUACUCAGGGCCGGAAGACGCGACCCGGGUUUCUCAUCGGGGUAUUUUUCUUGUAUUCUAGGUUCCAUUCCUUAAGUUCAUGUUCCUCCUAACUUAUUGAUUUUCGUUCUCGAUCUACAGGUUUGAACAGCGAGACCGUAGGGCGCCGCGUCGGUCAAGUGAUGAUCAGCGGCCCUACAACGGUGAGCAAUGUCCCUGUUCCUCUUUGCGAGAAGGGGGCAGCCGAACGCGAAGCUGCAAUCAAUGUAAGUGUACUCGGCGGCCCUUUUGCCUUUUUCUUCCGAGAUCGCAUUGUGACUUCAUGAAGUGUAGGCUCUCCCUCUGACUGAUAUCAUCGGGCCGCUCGUGGACCAUCAUGCCGCGGCGUCGCUAAAGGAGGACGUCGCCAAGGAGGCGUCUGAUGUCGUGUCGCUGCCGCUGCGGCCACAACGAGCGGCGUCAACGUUCUGAAAAAGGGGAGGAAAUUCUCCUCCGUGCUCAGAAAUCGUCGGAAGACGCUCACCCCCUCGGUAAGCUCUCCUGGCCUUUCAUUGCGUAGUUGGAAAGCUUCCAUCUCACAUCAUGCUCGUUAUACUCCAGGCCUCGGAUGCGUCUCCCCCGCCUCCGCGACGGCAGUGGCUUGUAACGCUUGGCGAGAAGUAAGUGGAUGAAUUUGAGGUUUUGUUGCUUCGUCGAACUCUUGCAGCCUUUCUUGAUUGCAGUCUUUCACAGGGCGGCGCGGGCGAAGACAAUGCAAGACGGAUCUGGAGGGAACUCCAGCGCUCUCCUGUCGUGGCCUCAACAGAUGUCGUGGUCGUGCCCACGAGCCGUGAGGCGACGCCCAGCGGCCCUGUCAGCGAUCUUGUGCCUGCUCAAGGCCCUCCUGCUGACAUCCAUACCUAGGAGGAGCUCCAAGUCGUGAUGGGGCGCAUCCUCCAGGCCGGCACUCGCGGCAUAGGUCGCGAGAUUGCGGAGUUAAGGGCGGCAGCAGCAUCGUCGGCGAACGAGCGUGUGUCACGCCCAGAAAUUCACGAACCAGAAUUUCUAAGCUGAAUGUGCAUUCCAUGUCCAGGACCAGCCAGGGUACACAAACGACAAUUGUUGACAUACAGAUCCACGUCUUACAAAAAUAUAAAAGAUUACAAAUGCAGCGGAAAAGAUAAAACGAGCUAGCCUUGGAAGCUUGACUUCAGCAGCGGGCGACUCCAUUCCACAGGCAUCCUUGACGGCAGCGACGAAACUAACUUCUUUGAGACAUAUUCAACUGAGAAGGACUUCAACUCUGGUGUGGGGGAAAAUAGAGCAAGACUGAGUACUACCCACUGUACUCAGCAAGUCAUACCGGAAGAGGAGGUAUGAUGCAGGAUAUACCCAAGGGAGGCUAAAGGGCUCAUUUGCACAAAGCUAGCAUUUAAAAGUAGUAGUUGGAAGCAGAAAAACAAUUGCAAUAAUUAAUCAAUAUUAACCAAUCAGUGUCCAACGCUACACCACGUUGCAACAGGCCCAACCAACCACCUGAACUACACCAGUUCAUUAAGCUAAACUAGGGGUGAGACUAAUCACGGUGAAUCUAGUCGACCGCCCAUAACCGCGGGCACAGCUAUUCGAAUAGUUUUACUGUGAUCAGAGGUGUACAACUGUACCCACAAGACACAGCCCCACGACACGUUCCCGUGCGCCGACAUGCCACCACGACAUAACAGAAAGAGGCCGUGACAGGACCCUUCGCAUAACCCUCUCUAACCGAUUGCACCACACCUUAGGGUUCGCCCCUGUCCCCAGCAGGCAACGGGCAGCCCCCCUUUCGUGCCGCGGUGAAUCCGGAAGCCGAUCAACCGGACACCCCGGCCGACCCAACUCCAUCACGCCCACCCUCGCCUGGGUACGUCGGCUAGAGAAAAGCUACACUACAAGCCCAGCUGUUGCCCACGCUAGCUUGUGGUAAGUAUGAUAAGUUCUUCCAGGGCAUCCCGCGAACCGGUCCUUAAUCGCCAUGGGCACGACUAGCAAAACCAUGCACCCACAGCCUACCAUAACGUGUAUUUUAAUUAACCAACACCAUUACGGUGGCACUAAACCAAAGCUAUGCCAAUAAACAAGUCUAUGCUUUAUUGUGAUCCCCCUUUGUGCACUAGUUGAACUAAGCAUGGCUAAGCAUCUCCUAAACCAACAUCUAGUCAUUUUAAUACCCAAGUUAUCAAUGGCAUAAGGUAAACAAUAUAUGGCUGAGUAGUAGGACCCAUCCCACAUGAUAUUGUAAAACAAUGCAAUAUUUAAUAGAAAUGCGGGACAUUUGCAAAUUGGGUACAAUUGAUCAAUUGUAAUGUAUGACUUGCCUUGCUCUCGCACUGAUGGAACCACAGCAACGUCUUCGAGAAACCGCGAAUCGACGAAACGGGCGAAAUCUACGCGACAAACAAAGCACACAAGCAAAACAUGCUAUAAGACUACUGAAACAGGAAACAAAACUAUUUUUAAUGGAUUCUAUACAUUUUUAUGAAUUUACUGAGACUUGAAUGGACUUAAUCGGAGCUCGGAUGAAUUAGUUAUGAAUUUUAGAAGAUUAACUGUGUUUUUACUAUUAAAGAAAAGUCCUUAAUGAAUUAUGGCACAAUAAAGCAUCCCAGGGCUGACGUGAGCAAGGGGAGGGGGCGGCGCCGACAUGCGGGCCCCACUGGUCAGCGGCACUAAGAGAGGGAGAGGGGGGGUGGGCCCCACCGGCAGCGGCUCAAUAGGGGAAGGGAGAGGGAGGCGCCGACCGGGCUUAGCUCGGCUUCACGCCGGUCGGCCGAUCAUGGCGAGCAGCGGCGACGGCGCGCACGCGGCCACCGGCGACGGCAAGCGGCGGCGCGGGAAGCGGCGGCGGCCGAAGACGACGGUGCACGCGCGGAGGACGGCGGCGCACACAGGAGGGAGGGAAAGAGGGAGGAGGGGAGUUUGUCACCGAGGUUGGCCGGCGCGAGAGGAGACGAUGGCGAACGACGGGAGGACGAUGGCGAUGGGCGGACGAUCUCCGGGACCUCCUAGGGAACAAAAUGGGAGGGAUUAGAGAGAGAGGGGUGGUCUACGGCGGCCGGAAACCAUGGCCGAAGGCGGCGGCAAUGGUGGUACUCACCGGCGUGCGGGGAGAAGCGGUCCCCGACGGUGGAUUUGGCCGGGCGGAUGGCGGAUGCGACGGCCCACGGGAUGGUGAACGCGGCGGCGUCGACGGUGAGGCUCGGCGCGACGGCUAGCGACGGCUAGCGGCGGCCGGAGCGCGGCCGGAGGGCGGCGGCGAUGGGUGAAGCGGCGUGGGAGCAAAGGAGGGCACGGGGAAGCUCGGCGAAAGCGAAAAACGAGAGAGGGGGACACGGGGAACGUUUUAUUGGCGGAGGGGGAGGCAGACGUGGCCGGGGUGCUCCCGAUUUCGCCGGCGACGUGGGAGGUUGGAGAUGGGGAGAGUGAGAGAGAGAGUGGCUAGAUUCAAAUUUGAAUCCCGGCUAUCUCGUGACGCGGGCGCGAGCGAGAGAGAGGGAUUGGGACGCGGGGAAGGCGGGGCAUGCGCGCGGCGGGGCCGACGUGGCCCGGAGGUGGCAGGGUGCGGCGGUUUCGGCGGUGGUGGCGACGUGGGGGCGGGCGGCCGGAGGAAGGGGACGACCCCGACAGGUGGGGCCCACCUGUCGGCAUCCUGGGGAGAGAGGGAGGGGUGGCUUGGGCCGGCCCACAAGGAGAAGAGGCGCGCGGCGGCGGGGUGGACUGGGCCGACGGCCCAAGAAAAGGAAAAAGGAGGGAAAAGAAAAGGUAAAAAGGAAAAAAGGAUUUUCCCAGGGAUUUAAUAUUGCACUACGCUUAUUUUAAUUGGUUAAAAUUAUUUCCAAGGCUCUGAAAAUUCCACUAAUAUUCCUGUUAAUGUAUUGGGACAUGGAGAACUCAAGAAAAAUUCCACCACGCCAAAUUUGAUUAUUAAAUGCAUUUAUUAAUUGAGGAUUCAACUCUAGGUUAAUUCAACAAUUUCUUUAGGCAAUUUAUUUAACAAUUAUUUUUUUUAAAAAAAAGGGGAACUUCAGGGCGUGACAAACCUACCACCCUUAAACGGAAUCUCGACCCCGAGAUUUGGAAGAGCUGGCGAAGAGGUGCGGAUGAGCGGCCUUCAAUUCAUCUUCUCUUUCCCAAGUGGCCUCUUCUUCUGAGUGGUGGCUCCGCUGAACUUUGCAAAACCUGAUCACCUUGUUUCUGGUCCUUCUCUCAUUGGUCUCAAGGAUACGGAUCGGCUUCUCCACAUAAGUCAGAUCUUCCUGGAAGUCAAUGUGCUCUGAGCUAGCUUGUUCCUCAGGUACCCUCAAACAUUUCUUCAAUUGAGAUACAUGAAACACAUCGUGGAUACCAACCAUAUUAGAUGGGAGCUCAAGCUGGUAAGCGACUUCACCUUUGCGUUCCAAGAUCCUGUAUGGUCCCACAAAACGUGGUGCCAACUUGCCUUUGGUCUGGAAGCGGUGUACUCCCCGAAGCGGAGUGACACGAAGGUACAUAUAAUCUCCUGCUUCGAAAGUGAGUUCUCUUUGGCGGUUGUCUGCGUAGCUUUUCUGUCGAGAUUGUGCAAUUCUCAGCCUUUCUCUGACAGUUCUGACUUUUUCCUCUGCCUCGGUUAGCACCUCUGUCCCGAACAAUUGGCGUUCUCAAGUUUGAUCCUAGAAGAGCGGAGUGCGGCACUUCCGUCCGUACAAUGCUUCAAACGGUGCCAUUUGCAAACUGGCCUGAUAGCUAUUAUUGUAAGAGAAUUUAGCAUACGGUAGACUUUAAUCCCAAGCUCCGCCAAAGUCAAGUGCACAAGCUCUCAACAUAUCUUCCAAGAUUUGAUUUACCCGCUCGGUCUGACUAUCUGUUUGCGGAUGAUAAGCUGUGCUGAAAUUCAAACGAGUCCCCAAUUCUUCUUGCAGUUUCUGCCAGAACUUUGAAGUGAAUUGACUUCCUCGAUCAGAUACAAUCUUCUUAGGUACCCCAUGCAAACACAUGAUUCUUGAAAGGUAGAGCUCUGCCAAUCUUUUCCCACUAUAGGUAGUGUGCACUGGAAUGAAAUGAGCAACUUUCGUGAGGCGAUCCACGACUACCCAAACUGAAUCAUGCCCUGACGAUGUCCUGGGCAAACCAGUGAUGAAAUCCAUUCCGAUUUCUUCCCAUUUCCAUUCCGGGAUCUGAAGGGGUUGUAGCAGUCCUGCGGGCCUCUGAUGUUCUGCUUUGACUCUCUGACAAACAUCGCAGAGUGCGACGAAUCCGGCUAUCUCUCUUCUCAUGCUGGCCUACUAGAAUUUCUCUUUGAGGCCUGGUACAUUUUAGUACUGCCGGGAUGAAUUGAAUACUGAGUUUGAUGAGCUUCUAUGAGUAUGAGAUCCUUCAGUUCUUUGUCGUCAGGCACACACAAUCUUUCUCCCAACCAGAUUGUGCCAUGCUCAUCCUCAUGGAAAUCUCGGCUUUUCCAACCCUCAUAUUCUUUUUCAGCUCAGCUAUUUCAGGAUCAUUUACCUGAGCUGCUCUGACUUGAUCCAUGAGCGUAGGCCGUGCCUCUAGGGCAGCUACGUACCCAUGUUCCACGAUGCCCAAAUUUAGGUGCUCAAGAUCUUGCUGCAAUUUGCCACACAUGCCUUCAGUGCAUAAGGCAUUGCAAUAGCUUUUUCUGCUCAAAGCAUCUGCUACCACAUUUGCUUUGCCUGGAUGAUAAUGUAUCCCCAUGUCAUAAUCUUUAAUUAACUCCAGCCAUCUUCGCUAUCGGAGAUUCAAGUCAGGCUGAGUGAAGAUGUACUUCAGACUCUUGUGAUCAGUGUAUACUUCACAGCGGUUGUCAAUAAGAUAGUGCCGCCAGAUUUUCAGAGCAUGAACCACUGCUGCCAACUCAAGGUCAUGAGUGGGAUAAUUGGUCUCGUGUGGACGCAACUGUCGCAAAGCGUAUGCGACCACUCUGCCUUCUUGCAUCAACACACAUCCCAACCCUUGGCGAGACGCAUCACAGUAGACUUGGAAGUCUUUUGUCUGAUCUGGCAGAAUUAGAACUGGUGAAGAGACUAACCUCUUCUUGAGUUCUUCAAAACAUUGGUUGCACUCAGCUGACCACUUGAAUUUUUCAUCUUUCUUAAGCAACUGUGUCAUGAGCCUGGCAAUCUUGGAGAAAUUUUCGAUGAACCGACGGUAAUAACCCGCAAGUCCAAGAAAACUCCGGAUCUGAGAAACUGUCUUAGGUGGGGUCCACUUGGUAACUGACUCCACAUUCGAUGGAUCCACUACCACACCUUGAGCAGUAAUGACGUGACCAAGAAACUUGACCUCCGACAACCAGAAGUCGCACUUACUGAACUUGGCAUAUAACUAGUGCUCCUUCAAUUUCUCGAGUACCAGACAGAGAUGCUGCUCAUGUUCCUCUUCUAAUUUUGAAUAAAUAAGUAUGUCGUCAAUGAAUACCACGACAAACUUGUCAAGAAACUCCAUAAACACUUUGUUCAUCAGGUUCAUGAAGAAAGCCGGUGUAUUGGUGAGUCCAAAUGACAUAGCCGUGCACUCAAACAACCCAUACUGAGUGGUGAAGGCUGUCUUGGGAAUAUCCUCUUCCAGAAUUCUUAACUGGUGAUAGCCUGAUCGCAGGUCUAUCUUGGAAAACACCUUAGUUCCUUUUAGCUGAUCAAACAGGUCAUCAAUUCUUGGCAACGGAUAUUUGUUCUUAAUUGUGACCUCAUUAAGGGCGCGAUAAUCAAUGCACAUCCUCUUGGUCUUGUCUUUCUUCUCCACAAAGAUAACCGGAGCACCCCAAGGCGAAGUACUCGGUCGGAUGUACCCUUUCUGCAGCUGUUCAUCAACUUGCUUCUUGACCUCUGCUAGCUCAUUAGCUGCCAUUUUGUACGGUCUCUUGUAAAUCGGAGCGGUUCCGGGUGCCAGAUCAAUCCGGAACUCGAUUUCUCUCUUUGGUGGCAUUGUAGUGAGGUCUUCAGGAAACACCUCAGGAUACUCCUGUACUAUACGAAUGUCCUCCAACUUCCUGGGACUUUUCUCUGCUACUUCGGUCUGUUCCUCAAUAGUAGCCUGAUUCAGACUUGCUACGGACUUCUGUGGCACUGGAGACCGGAAAGUGAUCUUCUCCCCUUUGUCGUUGGUUAGGGUGAUGGUGCGACUUGCGCAGUCGAUUACUCCCUUGUGCCUGGUCAACCAAUCCAUUCCGAGGAUGACAUCUAGGUCUUUGGAUUCGAGAAGGAUGAGGUUCGAUAGAAACUGUGAUCUCUUGAUCUCUAUAGUCACUGAGGGGCAAUAGUGUGCUGUCCUCAUGUCAUUUCCAGGGGUAUGAACCUGCAUCGGUAUUUUAAGUUCCACUACCAAUAAUAUAUGUGCCCCAGCAAAUCUCUUAGAAAUGAAAGAAUGCGAGGCACCUGAAUCAAAGAGAACUGUUGCUGGACAUGAGUUCACUGGAAACGUGCCCAACACGACCUCUGGUGCUGCCUGUGCUUCCUCUGCAGACACAUGAUUGGCGCGAGCCUGGAUGAACCUAGGUCCAGCGUGAUUCAGCUACGGACACUUGCCAGCAAAGUGGCCGUGCUUGCCACAGUUGAAGCAGGGUCUUGGCUUUCCUACAGCCCCCUUCUUGGGCUGUUCUGACUGAGCUGACCCAGCUGGCGGAUCUGACUGAGCUGGUGCCAUUACUGGGGGUGGAGUUGAGUUGUGGUUGUGCUGCUUACUGUUGUUGUGACUGCCACCGUUGUAGUCGUUGUCGAAGUUACUCGGGUGAUAGGGACGGUGCUGAUAGACGAUCAGGGUGGAAGGCCCACCUAGCUGUCCCGUCAGGAAGCAAGGCUUCUGAUUGUUCCCCUGAGGAAAGCUGAUCUGAGCUGCGUUUUCUUUUCGGUCCAUUUUGUUGCGUUGCUCUUCCUGACGGAUAGCCUUGUCCACAAGCUUCUCAAAGUCAUCAUAGACUCCGGAGAUCAGCUGGUUGGUCAAUUCAUCAUCAAGACCAAACAAAAACUUCUCUUGCUUCUCAGCAUCGGUGCGCACAUCCUCAAGAGCGUAGCGUGCAAGGUGGUUGAACUCAUGUAAGUACUCUGUAACUGUCCUGGUUCCUUAAUGCAGUGCGCGGAACUCUCUUUUCUUUUGUGCCAUAAUCCCCUCAGGAAUCGGUGCCUUCCUGAAGUUUUGACAAAACUCUGCCCAAGUAACCUCCGUUGCAUCUGGACGGGUCACCACGUAGUUAUCCCACCAGGCAGAAGCAGGACCUUGCAACUGAUGUGUAGCAAAAGCAACCUUCUCUUGGUCAUUGCAUUGCAGAAGGUUCAGCUUCUUUUCAAUAGCACAGAGCCAGUCAUUGUCCUCCAUUGGGUUGGUGGUGCUUGAGAAAGUGGGUGGCUUGAUGCGGAGAAAGUCUAACAGUUUGGACAGGUGUGAUGGUGGAGGACCAGACUGCUGGUUCUGCUGCGCCUGCUGCAACAUCUGAUGGUAAUGUUGUUGUAUUUGUUGCAUCAUCAUUGUCAUCAUCUGAGUGACCGAUGGGUUCUCGGGCGGCGGAGAUGAACUGCUGCCAGGUGCACCACUGGUAUGAGCUUCAUCGGUCUGCUCUUCGCUGCCACUGGCGUCGCUGGGGUCACGGGGAUCAUUCCUUGUCUUCACCAUCUGGACGAGGAUAGGUAGAAAUAAGAGAAAGGAAGAAAACAGAUGGCUCGGCAACUAAUCUUUCUUGUAAAUUUAAGUGCAAUUAUCUUAAUCUUGAUUAAAACACUGAAAAGGAAACAAACAACUCCUAAUUAAGGCAGCCAUACCACUGGCACUUGAUAUCGACCGCCGACUAACCCACAAGCAACAAACCUAAACACAGAAACUAGCAAGCAACCAAAACUAAGAAAACAAUAAGGCUAAAGGCGGCGACUAUAAAGCUCGGAGCGACGCUUGCGAUCAAAGAACAGGUCUGACUUCUAAAGUAGACAAGGGAUAGGAAUCAAUCCAUGCUCAAAUCCAAAUUUAAACAAAGCAACAAAUGACUCAAACAACUAGCCAAGCAUGAUGAUUUUUAUGCAUGGAACAUUUUUCAUGAACCCAGACAAAAGACACUAGUGUGACUGACUAAACCAUAACUUAAUGCAUAAAAUAGAUGCAUGGAAAAUUAUACGCAUAAAAUUGCCCCAUCGAACAUCGACACGACCUAAUGCAUAUCAACCGAUAAAUUCCCAACUGACUGUCAAAUAAACUACAAAUAAAAUUUUUCUAAAACCCUAGACCGAGCUAAUUUUAAAGAUCCGAUCCGAAUGAACGACCAAGAUUUUUCCCGCAAACCAAAGAGGCAAAACCCCACAUUUUCCCGAAACAAAUCCAUGUGAAAAAGGCAUAUGCAUAUGAAAAGGGGUUCACAGGGCUCUUAGGUUUUCCAGUUGGCUUGUCCUACGGUCAAGGUCGGCUCUGAUACCAACUUGUCACGCCUAGAAAUUCAUGAACCAGAAUUUCUAAGCUGAAUGUGCAUUAAAUCCCUGUCCAGGACCAGCCAGGGUACACAAACGACAAUUGUUGACAUACAGAUCCACGUCUUACAAAAAUAUAAAAGAUUACAAAUGCAGCGAAAAAGAUAAAAUGAGCUAGCCUUGGAAGCUUGACUUCAGCAGCGGGCGACUCCAUUCCACAGGCAUCCUUGACGGCAGCGACGAAACUAACUUCUUUGAGACAUCUUCAACUGAGAAGGACUUCAACUCUGGUGUGGGGGAAAAGAGAGCAAGACUGAGUACUACCCACUGUACUCAGCAAGUCAUACCGGAAGAGGAGGUAUGAUGCAGGAUAUACCCAAGGGAGGCUAAAGGGCUCAUUUGCACAAAGCUAGCAUUUAAAAGCAGUAGUUGAAAGCAGUAAAACAAUUGUAGUAAUUAAUCAAUAUUAACCAAUCACUGUCCAACGCUACACCACGUUGCAACAGGCCCAACCAACCACUUGAACUACACUAGUUCAUUAAGCUAAACUAGGAGUGAGACUAAUCACGGUGAAUCUGGUCGACCGCCCAUAACCGCGGGCACGGCUAUUCGAAUAGUUUUACUCUGAUCAGAGGUGUACAACUGUACCCACAAGACACAGCCCCACAACACGUUCCCGUGCGCCGACAUGCCACCACGACAUACCGGAAAGAGGCCGUGACAGGACCCUUCGCAUAACCCUCUCUAACCAAUCGCACCACACCUUAGGGUUCGCCGCCGUCCCCAGCAGGCAACGGGCAGCCCCCCUUUCGUGCCGCGGUGAAUCCGGAAGCCGAUCAACCGGACACCCCGGCCGACCCAACUCCAUCACGCCCACCGUCGCCUGGGUACGUCGGCUAGAGAAAAGCUACACUACAAGCCCAGCCGUUGCCCACGCUGGCUUGUGGUAAGUACGAUAAGUUCUUCCAGGGCAUCCCGCGAACCGGUCCUUAAUCGCCAUGGGCACGACUAGCAAAACCAUGCACCCACAGCCCACCAUAACGUGUAUUUUAAUUAACCAACACCAUUACGGUGGCACUAAACCAAAGCUAUGCCAAUAAACAAGUCUAUGCUUUAAUGUGAUCCCCCUUUGUGCACUAGUUGAACUAAGCAUGGCUAAGCAUCUCCUAAACCAACAUCUAGUCAUUUUAAUACCCAAGUUAUCAAUGGCAUAAGGUAAACAAUAUAUGGCUGAGUAGUAGAACCCAUCCCACAUGAUAUUGUAAAACAAUGCAAUAUUUAAUAGAAAUGCGGGACAUUUGCAAAUUGGGUACAAUUGAUCAAUUGUAAUGUAUGACUUGCCUUGCUCUCGCACUGAUGGAACCACAGCAACGUCUUCGAGAAACCGCGAAUCGACGAAACGGGCGAAAUCUACGCGACAAACAAAGCACACAAGGAAAACAUGCUAUAAGACUACUGAAACAGGAAACAAAACCAUUUUUAAUGGAUUCUAUACAUUUUUAUGAAUUUACUGAGACUUGAAUGGACUUAAUCGGAGCUCGGAUGAAUUAGUUAUGAAUUUUAGAAGAUUAACUGUGUUUUUACUAUUAAAGAAAAGUCCUUAAUGAAUUAUUGCGCAAUAAAGCAUCCCAGGGCUGACGUCAGCAAGGGGAGGGGGCGGCGCCGACAUGUGGGCCCCACUGGUCAGCGGCACUAAGAGAGGGAGAGGGGGGGCGGCUGGUAGGCGGGCCCCACCGGCAGCGGCUCAAUAGGGGAAGGGAGAGGGAGGCACCGACCGGGCUAAGCUCGGCUUCACGCCGGUCGGCCGAUCAUGGCGAGCAACGGCGACGGCGCGCACGCGGCCACCGGCGACGGCAAGCGGCGGCGCGGGAGGCGGCGGCGACGGCUGAAAGCGGCGGCGGCGCGGGAGGCGGCGGCGACGGCUGAAAGCGGCGGCGGCGGCCGAAGACGAUGGUGCGCGCGCGGAGGACAGCGGCGCACACAGGAGGGAGGAAAAGAGGGAGGAGGGGAGUUUGUCACCGAGGUUGGCCGGCGCGAGGGGAGACGACGGCGAACGACGGGAGGACGACGGCGAUGGGCGGACGAUCUCCGGGACCUCCUAGGGAACAAAAUGGGAGGGAUUAGAGAGAGAGGGGUGGUCUACGGCGGUCGGAAACCAUGGCCGAAGGCGGCGGCAAUGGUGGUACUCACCGGCGUGCGGGGAGAAGCGGGCCCUGACGGUGGAUUUGACCAGGCGGAUGGCGGACGCGACGGCCCGCGGGAUGGUGAACGCGGCGGCGUCGACGGUGAUGCUCGGCGCGACGGCUAGCGGCGGCCGGAGCACGGCCGGAGGGCGGCGGCGAUGGGUGAAGCGGCGUGGGAGCAAAGGAGGGCACGGGGAAGCUCGACGAAAGCGAAAAACAAGAGAGGGGGACACGGGGAACGUUUUAUAGGCGGAGGGGGAGGCGGACAUGGCCGGGGUGCUCCUGAUUUCGCCGGCGACGUGGGAGGUUGGAGGCGGGGCCGACGUGGCCCGGAGGGGGCGGGGUGCGGCGGUUUCGACGGUGGUGGCGACGUGGGGGCGGGCGGCCGGAGGAAGGGGACGACCCCGACAGGUGGGGCCCACCUGUCGGCGUCUUGGGGAGAGAGGGAGGGGUGGCUUCGGCCGGCCCACAAGGAGAAGAGGCGCGCGGCGGCGGGGUGGACUGGGCCGACGGCCCAAGAAAAGGAAAAAGGAGGGAAAAGAAAAGGUAAAAAGGAAAAAAGGAUUUUCCCAGGGAUUUAAUAUUGCACUGUGCUUAUUUUAAUUGGUUAAAAUUAUUUCCAAGGCUCUGAAAAUUCCACUAAAAUUCCUGUUAAUGUAUUGGAAAAUGGGGAACUCAAGAAAAAUUCCACCACACCGAAUUUGAUUAUUAAAUGCAUUUAUUAAUUGAGGAUUCAACUCUAGGUUAAUUCAACAAUUUCUUUAGGCAAUUUAUUUAACAAAUUUUUUUUUUAAAAAAAGGGGAACUUAAGGGCGUGACAGCGCGUGACUUGGCGGAGGUUCAAGAGGACCUCCAGAAAAUGAGGGUGCUGGUGGCCGGCAACGAGCGGCAACUGCAGGGGCUCGAGAACCGCAUGUCGGAACUCGAGAACAAUCUGUCGGAGAUCCGCGGUUCGCUGCGGGUCACCUACACCGGCCUACACCAGCUCGCCGGGGAGUGUGGUGUUACGACCACCAUCCCGGCGAAUCCCGACAAGUUCUCACCUACGACUUCGCUCGUGGAACUGGCAACGGCGAUGGAGGCGAUCCCCUCCAAGCAUGCGGCCAGGAUCGGAGAGAAGACGUCCAACGGGAUGUACACCGGGGCAUGCCACGUCCUUGCGUGUGUGAAGUUGGCGCACGUUGAACUCGAUCUCCAGAAGAUCUUGGAUCAGGGGGCAGCUAGCGACACGCGCAAGGAUGUGAUGGAAGAAGUGGGCAAUAUGGGGGAGUCCAUUCUCCCACUUUUUGAAGAGUAGGGCCGCCGCUCGUCUGUACCCCUUAACCAAUCGCGUUUUGUAAAACUUUCGUUGGUUCCGACUGCCUUUGUGUAUGCAAUCAUCACCUUAGUUUUAUUUGGCGUUUUGAUUCCGUGUACUUUGUUUGUUGUUUGUAGAGAUGUCGAUGUCGAGGAUGUCCAGCAGCGCGGGCAUCCCGAAUUGCCCGUAGUCGUUCCGACACUUGAGCUCGAGCCGUAUGUGCCGCGGGACGGCAUAGCACUACUGGAGAAACGACUAUUAACGACCGGAAAUUUGGUCAUUAGAAGUCCAAAUGUGGUCGUUAAAGGUCAUUAACGACUAUAGAAGUGUGGUCGUCAAUGGUCGUUAAAGGCUUUGUCGUUAAUAGUAUUAACGACCAACCGAUUUUUUCCGGUCGUUAAUUUUAUUAACGACGGUGUUCUUCUGCCAUUGUUGUUUUCAUUAACGACGGUAAUAUCAUGCCAUCAUUAAUCUCAUUAACGACCGUGAUAAUAUGCCAUCGUUUUUCUUUGAAUGACCGUGCUUUUCCGCUAUUUUUAUUAACGACCGUGAAACUAUACCAUUGUUAUUUUAUAGACUACCGAGAAACUGUAGCCUCCUAAUUUUUUUAGUGACCAUGAUAAUGCAUCAUAUAAUUAUUCACGAUGGCAUAAUGUGUUACCAUUAGCAAUACAUCAAUAACACUCACGGAUCAGUUUAAACAACCACACCUUGUAAUAUAUUGAUUCUCACAUUUGUCUAACAGCACAACGAAUAUAACAUUGAGCUGUCCUGUAGCAGCCACGUGUUUACUCGGUGCAAAUACAAAAUAAUAAUGUUCACUGCAUCCAACUAGAUAAAUUAUUCAGACAGCACCAACAUGAUGCCUAAUUAAACAAUCACUAGAACUUAUGGUGAACAAAAUUUCAAUCUGAAAUUGGAAUUGCAAUGGACUAUUCCUUCAUGUUUUACGAGGAAUCAACCCUUCAUCAGCAGGUACCAUCUUCAUUUGCAUCAGUCAUCUCUUUCACUGUGGAUCCUACCAUGAGCAUAUAUAUAUUAGAUACACAAGGUAAUGAGUACUAUAUUUCACAUAUCAUAUAUGAAAGUCAUUUUAGGUGCAUGAAUUUACCUCUCAUGACGUCUUUGUGAGCCAGUGUCACUUCUAUUUUCACAGUUAGCAUAAUAGUCUCUCCUCAUCUCAGCCCAUUCAUUCGGCAUUUGAUUUACAGACUCAAACAACCUGACUAUUUUCUUCUCGAAGCAUUUUGUUUUCCCUCUCUGUUGCUCGAAAUCUAGCAUGCAAUUCAACUUUGCUAAGUGCUGGGCCUCGUACAUCUCUUGCUUUGACACCACCACCAAAUCCAAUUAAAUGAUCACGCCGCUUAUUACCGUUGUAACAUUUAUCCAUAACUUCAACAUUGGAGAGAUUAGGAUCUGAGCUAACUACAUCCACAAGUUCUGCCUGAAAUGAACCAAUAAUAGUGUUGGACAAAUGCUACUGUGAAUACCAACUAGAAACCAUAAUGAAACUAUGCAUUAUCUAAGAGGCGUUCACAGGAUAGUUAUUCUGCACAAAACUUGAAUCUUACAUGCAUUCUAGAAGAUUCAACAUCCACCAAAGUGUCUCCCUUCUUGCGAGUCUCAAAGAAUCUAAAGUUGGUGGUCUGUUUUCCUUUCCUCCCUAUUCCAGCAGAGAUAUGUAUAUAGUAGAAAACAAGUGUGAUUUAAUGAAAAAUUAUGUACAUAAUUCUUUUAUUUAUACCAUAUUGUAGAUUAUCUCUCUGAAGGGUUUGCUUCCAGUGCGAUGAGGCAUUUUUAAGCCUGCUCUGUUCCGAGAGUUUCUAAGGCUCAUUGCCUGUAUUUAGUUAAACAAACGGACUCAUUUUGGGCAAAUAUAAGUCAAGUAAAAUGCAUAGAACAUACUGGAAAGAGAGGGGACAUCAUCACUUGCAAUAAAAUCUUUGCUAUAAAAAUGCUCCUGGACGAGCCAUUGCCAAUCAGAUGGGUCAAACUCCUUUGGCUUAUUUUUUAUAGCCUGCUGCAUAGUUUUUGCCGGUUUCACAAAAUGUCGAUGCAAAUCUCCACGCCAGUUAAUCCAAAGAGACUUGGCAUGUUCCAUUAUCUCAUCUUUGUAUACAUCAAUUUUAAUAUCUGGAUCUUCAUUUUCAAACUUGUCCUGCAAAAUUAUAAAAACAAAUGAUUAAGUGCAAGCAUAGUUUUAUUGAAAACAAGAGAGAACAUUUCAUAGGAAGACAAAUGCGUACCGUAAUCGAGGCAAAUAUGUGUUCCUGCUGUGUUACUAAUGUCUGACCAUUUCUUCACUUUGACCGGAGUAAUGUUCUGAUCACGAACAAUUCUCCCCAGAUGACGUGAAAAACUAUUCGAAAGAGCACGAUUGUUGUAAAACUCAACUUUAAUUUUUUGGUUCUCCUUGAGUUUGGCAACUUCCUUACAUUUGCUCUUGCCACGGCCCUUGUGCUGAACCAUUUUAGUACCCGGCAAAUUAGAUAAACAUAAAAAUAUGAACUCUAGAUAUGAAUUAAACAAAUGAUAGUUGAAUUAUCGUGCAUACCAUUUUGUAAGGUACCAUUCAAACUCUGCACCUGGACUCGUUCAAUUACAUCUUGCUCAGUAUCUAACAGAUAUGUCAAGAAAACAACUAUUAUAGUAAAUUUAUUUAUUGAAUGGAAAAACUUGUAUUGAAUGUUUUAAUAUACCUUGUUCUGUAUCUUGCAAAUUAGGUUGAGUAAAACGUCUUCUCUUUGCAGCAAGGAUACUGUUAUGUGCAUCAUCCGAAGCAUGGGAUCCAUUAUUGCUAUUACUAAUAUCUACAUGACACAACAAAUUGAUACGAGGACAAAAUAAGUAACUUAACAAUAUUUCAUUUUGUUACUAGUUUACUCCUUGAGACGAUGCAGUCCUCACAUUUGUUUUUGCCACAGCUACUGCGCUUAACUGAUUGAGAACCUAAAACAAUUGAAAAACAAAUUAUACUAAGUACUUUAUGUAGAAAAUAAAAUAAAUUCUUGUCGUACCAUCACUUGGAGCACGUGAAUUAGUUUGCGGAUGAAGUCUUCUUUUAGCAGCUUGAUUACUAUUAUGUACGCCAUCCUCUACGGUGGUAUCAUCAUUUGCGUUGCCCAUGUCUACAAUACAUGUUAAUGCCGUUGAUAUAAAAAUAUAUAUGGCAUAAGUAGAGUAGAUAUUGAGAGGGGAAUAUUCUAACUUUUGGAAUUGUUAUAUUCCCUAGCUCUCCGAAGCCAUGUGUCUAUUGACUCUUCGUCUGAAUCAUCCUCCUCUCCUAAGAAAACAAGAAAUUAGUUUUAAUAAGCAUACUAGCUAGCUAUUUGUUCAAUAUUAUCAGAAAAGAAGCAUAUUAAUUCUAUUGUUACUUGGUAAAUAUUAUUUAAUUUUGAAUAUACGAAGGAUAAUUACCAGGUUGUGGCACAGCAGUGUGUUUCUGGUACUUUAGAUUGCUCUGCCUUACAUAGACAGGCUUGCUCUUUCCUUCUUGCACAAUAGCUGUAGCUGACACCAUGUUCUGUAGUGACCCAAAUAAAUCAUCAGCUGUUGAAGGUGCUGUCCGUCUUGCAACUUGUUGCUGAAGCAGUCCAGGACUAAUGAACUUCGAGUUGUUGUUCUGCAGUGCAGACACUCUAUUUCUUCCAUACCUUCCAGAAAUCAUCACAACAACCUACAAGGCUACACUAGUGUUAAAAUAAUUAACAAUUGUUAUCUGACAGCGAUCAAAAGAUAAAAUAAAAUGUUUAUGUUGUAUCAAUAAAAUUUGAAAUGAUAAAAGGAAAUUAUCAUUAUUAUGGAUCAAUAUAAUUGUCAGAUAAGAACACAGAAGGACUGCGAGUGUUCCAUCUUUAUGCAAACAAGGAAUGUAAGGACAAGCAUCAUCAUGGUUUUCUCUUUCUUUUUAGUGAUGCUAAGGGAGAAUCAUCUAGUAUGUCUUCUUCAUUGCCAUCAUCUUGCUCAACUUCAGUGCUUUCAUCAUCUGAUUCUCCUGCUGGUACUUGGUAAGUGUCACGUGGUUGCAUUUUCUCAAUCAAGUGCCAACCUUUGAUCUGAUUGUCUUUCACAAAAAAUACUUGAGCAGCUUGACUAGCUAAAACAAAUGGCUCGUCUGUUUGAAGCAACCGCUGUAGGUUAACACUAGUAAGCCCAUAUUUAUCUGUCCGUAUUCCACGGUCUUUAUUAAAUACAUCAACCCAGUUGCAGCGAAAUAACGACACCCUCCUUCCACCUAAAUACUGAAUCUCAAGUAUUUCUGUCAAAACUCCAUAAUAUUCCACAUCAUCACCAAGAACCAUCACACCACUGUUUUGUGUACACCUGCGGCUGUCCCGUCUUUCUGUGCGAUAUCUGAACCCAUUCAUGUCAUAUCUAGUAAAGCAUGUUAUAUUCUUCAACGGACCACGCGACAAUGACAAAAGGUCUUCCAUGACCUCACUCUUAUCAUGCUAGUGCUGCUGAUAUAUCUACAGGGAAAAAAGAUUAAAAAAAUAACAUCAACAAAUAUUCAUAUUUGAAACGGUUUAUUCCAUAUAUGUAAUUAUAUAAAUAUUACCUUCUCUUUAAACCAGUUGAUGAAUUUUUUGUUCCAUGUUGAGGUAAAUUGUACCAUUGAAGAACCCUCUGUACUAUUGCAGUACUCACUACAACAUUUUAAAUUAGAAAUUACAUAAGCUUGUGAAAUGAAUCGUAAGAAACAUGACAUAAAUAAGUGCCAUUUUUAUCAAGGGAUACCUGAUAUAUGCUUGGACUUCAUCGCAAUUCCGCAGAAUAUAAAUAUGAGCUUGUUCUGAUUCAAGCAUAUCAAGAUCUCGAGUUUUAUGAGAACCAAUGGGCCUUCCAGCACAGGAGAAGAUUGAUAAAUUAAAUUUGUUACCAAUGGAUGUGUCAUGUAUUCUUCCUGGACGAUUGUGUUUUGUCUCGACAUCAUCCAAGUACCUAGAGCUUAAUGUCAUAAACUCAUCUGCAAUGUAUCCCUCAGCAAUUGAACCCUCUGGGCGAGCCAUAUUCCGAACUAGUGAUUUUAGGCAGUGAAUUUGUCUCUCAAAUAAAUACAUCCAUCGAUAGAUGGUUGGCCCACCAAUUAGAGCUUCUCUAGCCAAAUGAACAGGCAAAUGCAUCAUGACAUCAAAGAAGGAUGGUGGAAAUUCCUUUUCAAGCUUACAAAGAAUUACUGGUAUUUGACCAUCCAUUUCUUCAAGCUGUUCAACUGACAAUGCCUUCGAAUUUAAUUUCUUAAAGAACUGGGAUAGCUCCACAAGUGGUUCAUAAAUAUUUUCAGGGAGUAGUCCACGCAGAGCAAGAGGGAGUAUAUGAUUUAAAAUAACAUGACAUUCAUGGCUCUUCAAUCCUGACAUUUUCCGCUCUUUCAUAUUAACGCAACGACUUAUAUUUGAAGAAAAUCCAUCAGGAACUUUCAAUUCUUUAAAAAAACUGAGCAGUGCAUUUUUUUGGUCUGGAGAUAACGUGUAAGGCGUAGGUUGCAAAACCACCUUUCCUCCAUCAUCUACUGGAUGCAAGUCUGGCCUCAGGUUCAUGAGUUUUAAGUCACUACGGGUAUUAAUAUUGUCCUUGGUCUUCCCUUUGACAUUAUUAGUGUUCCAAUAAUGCUAUCACAUAUAUUUUUUUCUAUAUGCAUCUCAUCAAGAUUAUGACGUAGCAAUAGAGUUUUAAAAUAUGGUAACUCAAAAAAAAUGCUCCUUUUCUUCCAGUUAUCUCCCCUAUCACUGCGUGAUACUUUUGUCUUCUUACUCAGAUCCUUUGACAAUAUAAUUCCCUGUAAAUCCUGCACUUGCUUGAGCACAUCAUCUCCGGAUAACUCCUUUGGUGGUCCUCGGCUCUCUUUUGUACCAUCAAAAGAAGUUCUAUCAUUUCUCCAUCUGUGGCUUCUGCGAAGAAAGCGCCGAUGACCCAUGUAGCAAAACUUCUGACCUUUCUUAAGCCACAUUGAAUUUGUUUCUUUAUGACAAACUGGACAUGCCAACUUUCCCUUUGUGCUAUGGCCUGAUAUAUUUCCAUAAGCAGGGAAGUCAUGCACUGUCCAAAGAAGAGCUGCACGUAGCUUGAAAUUUGUCUUGGUUGAUGAAUCAUAUGUGUCAACUCCAUCUUCCAAAGUUCUAUCAGUUCCUCUAUCAAUGGUUGCAGAUAAACAUCGAUUGCAUCCCCAGGACCAUCAGGUCCUGGUAGUAGCAUUGACAACAUUACAUUUUGUUGCUUCAUGCACAUCCAAGGAGGCAAAUUAAGAGGAACAAGGAAUACAUGCCAAAUGGAAUAGGAGGUUCGCAUGUUAGCAAACGGCUUAAACCCACCGCUAGCAAGACAAAGCCUCACAUUCCGAGGUUCAGAUGCAAAUGAUGAAUGGAUUUUAUCAAACUCCUUCCAUGCUUUUGAAUCAGCAGGAUGUCGCAUAACUCCAUCAUCAACCCUACACUCUUUGUGCCACUUAGCAUAUGCGGCCGUUUUCCUACACAUAAAUAACCUCUGCAAUCUAGGUUUUAUAGGAAAGUACCGCAUAGUUUUAUGUGGAAUCUUCUUCCCAGCUGAAGAGUGCUUAAUUUCCCCUGUGUGUUUUUCUUCUUUCCACCUAGAUGAUCCACAAACCUUGCAGGAUUUAGCAUCUAUAUCUUCUUUCCAGUACAGCAUGCAAUCAUUCUUGCAAACAUCAAUUUUUAUGUAACUUAGUCCUAGUUCACGAAUAGUUUUUUUUGCUUCAUAAUAAGAAUUUGGCAGUGUAGAGUCAUGAGGUAGAAAGUCCUUGCGCAGCAAUUCCAACAAUGCGGUGAAGGACUUAUUACUCCAUUUCCCCAAAUUCUUAACAUGAAGCAAAUUAACUAAGGCAGAUAAUUUAGAGGUUCUGGACCGGUUGGUUGUAUUUGUCAAGCAGAGCAUAGAACUUGGCCGCAUCAGUGUUUGGCUCCUCUUCAGGUCCCUGAUCAGUAGAUUCAUGUGUCGCUUCGUCUCGACCAGGGGUAUUGCACUGAGGAAAUAAAUCUUCCAUCAGGUCUUGCAUUCCAUUAUAUCCUUCCCCAUUAAAUUCCUGUGAAUCAUAGUCAUCAACUUCUAUGCCAUUCUCUUGUUCUGCUAAGACUUCACCAUGAUGGUACCAAAAUGUGUAGCUCCUCAGUAUUUCAUACGCUUUCAGGUGAGAAGACACUAUGUGACGAGGCAAAGAAUAUGUAUUGCAGUACUUGAUGCAUGGGCAACGUAUAACCUGGACACCAUCUAAUUUACUGAAUGCAUAAUCUAUGAACUUCUCUACACCCUCUAAGUACUCAUGAUUUAGCCGAUCAUCCACAAGGCCCAUCCAUGCCUUGCUUGGAGCCAUCCCCUCUAAUUGCUAGUUGAUAUUAAGUUUUAUAUAACCCUGUAUAUACAAUUAAUGUCAAAGCAGAGUUUUUUUUUUCAGAAUAAUGUGAAGGCAGAGUUACAAUACACUGUUAGGUAAAAUGUCAAGACUAGAUAGGUAUCAUAUAAAUUAUUAUUUGGCAAUAUGAUUAAUUGCACUGCAUUCUGUUUUUAGUUGACUCUAGAUGAAAUAAUUCAUACACAAAAAAAGUGACAGCCCAGCGCUAUAAAAUAUGUUUGAUUCAAAAAACAACAAUUCCGACAUGUCUAGCAAAUGCGGACAUGCAACAGAUUGAUUAAGGAUUGAUUAACGAUAGAAUCAAAACAUCAUGGAUUGAUUAAGGAUAGAGGACAGGCACCAGAUCAGAAACGACAUGAUUUCAAUGCAAAGGGAGAAGCAGUGACCUGUAGUAGAACUUUCUAGGGUUUGAUUGAAGAAGCACUCGGACAGGAACCACCGGAUCAGUAGCACGAUGAGGCCGCGCGGCACGGUGCCGCGCUGGAGAAGUAGAGGAUCAGCCGAUCGGCACCAAUGAUUAGCGCUCCGUCCGUGGUUCUCUCAAUCUGGUGAGGGAGGGGAUGUGAGAGGGGAGAAGAUAUUGGGUCUAUUAUGAAUGGAGGAGAAGAUAUGUACAUGAACAUAUGCCUAAAACUCCUCCUUUGAGCGCCAAAAAAAAUAAAAAAGGUAUGUAAUCACCCGCCAUAAUUUUUUCCAUGCAUCUGAAAUUUUUUUUAAAAGCCACAACUUAUUUUCUUUAAUGUCCCUGAUGUGAAGUGUACUAAUAAUUUUUUUAGACUCAUUUUUUUGGUAAUCACACAACACAUUUUCUCUGUUCUUUUUAACUGAAAAUUCAUUUACAAUAUAUAUUAUUUUAGUACAAUAUAUUUUAUUGUGUUUAUUCAAAGUUUUAUGCACUAUAUAUAAUGGUUAUCUUCUUCUAUUGUAAUAAUCUUGUUGGAACAGUCAAUCCUCUAAUACCUAAUGGCUUCUUGAACUAUGCUGAUAUACCCAAUGGCGUUGGAUCGGUUAUGACCUUGUAGGAAGGAGUAAACUUUGUAACUAUACUAAUUUUUGUCAUAAUCGGACAAUACAUUUUCUCUGUUCUUUUUUACGUGAAAAUUCAUUUACAAUAUACACUAUUUUAGUACAAUAUAUUUCACGGCAUAUAUUUUAUUGUAUUUUUUUGAAAGUUUUAUGAAAUAUAAUGGUUGUUUUCUUCUACUGUAAUAACUAGUUUGAACGGUCGAUCCUCUAACGCCUAAUGCCUUCAUGAACUAUGCCGAAUAUACACCUGAUGGUGUUGGAUCGGUUUAUGACCUUAUACGAAAGAGUACACUUUUAUAACUAGACAACAGUGUUGGAUUGGUUGUCUAAACCUCUUAACCCAAGAACAAAGAUACGUAGGAUAGCGACAAAUCCAUAAACUAUACUGAAUUUGGUGUUAACAUUGUAAUUAAUAAAAAAUAUCUUGUUCUCAUAGCAUGAUUUUGGAGCAUAUAGUAGAUGUAUUUUUUUAAAAAAAUAAAACCUUAUGGAAAAGAAAGUAAAAUCAUUAGAAAAACUUCUGUUCAGGGGACUCGAACCCAACACCUGCACCUUUCUAACUUUAGGUAUAACACAAUAUCCAACUGGGCAAGGCUACUUUGAUAUUUAUCGUAUUGCUACUUUAUACAAAUACUAACUGAAAUAAAAGGACGACCAGAAAAUCGAACACAUCAUGUUUAGAGCAGAAAAAAAAAGGUAAGAUGCAUUUUCUGAGCUGUAAAGCAUAGCUCAUGUACACAAAUAUUUCGAUUUCGAUGUUAUGCUUACAGAUUUACAGGCUUACAGCAUUAGCAUACCCUUGAAAUACACAUAGCAGUGUACAGGCUGCACUUAAAUCAUGUUCAACUUCCUUGAACAAAUCAAGCACCCUUCAUCUAGACCUGUACUUGAAUACUUUACAACUUUGUUGAACAAAUCAUAUUGCACUGUACAAUGGAUACAAAGUCUAAAAGGGAUAGAACAAACAAAUCAUUGGCAGAGUCCCAGUCCCUGUGGUGUCUAGCAUAACUUAUAGUUCUAGUUGAAGUGAAACUUUCAGACUGUAUAUUGUCCAGCAAAGUACUGUCUUACUGCUGCAGAGAAUGAUACUAUAAACUGAAACAAGAAUGCACACAGUGAACAUAGAUCAAUCAAGUCAGACCCCACAAUAAGACAGUAUAUAGUCUUCAUUGAAGAUACUAAAGUGAUAGCAGAGUUACAGAUGCAUGAGUUAUUCUUUGCUAACAAAUAACUGGCCAUGAACUGGAUGCUGAUCGAAUUUAUAUAUUAUCUAUCUAACUGAAUUUACUUUUUUCUUAGAGUAAAAUACAAAGGGACAUAAAUUUUCAAAAAUUCAUCUCUAAUCUCUUCAAGUGAUUUUUCAUAACGAGCUUCAGCUUCUUUUCUUUCCAAGGCAUUUGCCUCAUCUCUAGUGAAGAUUAAUGCACCCUUUUCAUAUUCUGCCUUCAAGUAUUCAUCUUCAUCACUCUCUUCCAUGGUGUCUGUUACCAAGGAGUCUUCUACAACCUGCUGGUCCAUGAUGUCUGCUACCACUUGCUGAUCCAUGGUGACCUCAACAACUGAAGCUAAGGAGUACCAGCCCAUAUGGUCAUCUUCAUUAAUCUCUUUCUCUUUCAUGGUGUCUUCAACAACGUUUGCCAUAAAAUUAACCUUGGAGUCUCUAAGUAAUUCCUUUGGUUCAUCUUCCUUUACAACUUGGUACAUCUUAUCCUCGACAGCAUCACCCAUAGUGUCCUCAACCACUGAAACAAAGGAGUAGCUAUGGUCUUUGGACUCAACUGAAUCCGAGGAGAAGCUAUGGUCUUCAGACCCUUCAAUUCAAGUAUGUAUUGAGUUAGCUGGAUGCAGAACUCAAUUUUAAGUAAAUAUAAAUAACUUGUAUUGCUAGCAUUAUAGAAGAGGUGAAAACAAGAGAUGUACACCAUUUAAGUAAAGCACUACUGAUACUAUAAUUAUUUCAAAUUACAAUUAAAAUCAACAAACUAGUAGUACCAUCAUGAAAAACAGUCUAGGAGAAGAAUAUAUGUCAAAUUAGGAAGAACUAAUGCACAUGUAACUAUAAUUGUUAAUUGCACAGAAGUCACACCUAAUGUUUCUGUUUAUAAAAUAUAAUUAUGAAUUCAUUCUGUGAAUAAAGCUAGAACACUUUCUGUUCUUGCCUACAGACAAACAAAUUGCCUACAUUCCUCUAUUACUAAUGCUAAUGAAAGUGCCAUAGCUACCACAAAAAUAAAUUGUCAGGACCAUAUCAAACAUUUCAGGUUGAGGGCAGCAUAGAAAUAAUUAGUAUCCACCAAGCAAACUUUGCAGCUUUUAUUAGUUUCGAAGAGGACAAUACAACCAACACUUUAACCUGGCAAGAUUUAACAUUUAACCUAGCACAUAAUUCAGUAUUUUUCACAAAUCAUAUGCAAAUGUUUACAUUAGGAGAUUGGAGAAUACCUGUUGUGACUAUUUUCGUCGAUUGACGAGUCCCAAGUGAACUGGAACAAAUAACAGAGUGGCUGGGCAGAUCAGGUGGAGAGAUGUACUCAUGGAGGAGCUUGGCAUCAAGAUGUUCAGUGGUGGGGAGGAUUGACAUUCUGGAGCCCUGAGGAGACCAUGUAGGCCAUUCGAUGCAGCCCCUAGUUGUCACCUUCGGUGAUAAACUGCGGUUGCGAGACAUGGCGGUGAAUCAACACUCCUCUCAUCUCUCAACCUCAUGAUUUAUACUGAUUUGGGGCGAAAUAUGUGGGGGUAGCAGAGGGGAUCUCGGAUUUGGAAUCAAAAACUGUUGAUUUAUAUUGAUUUGGGGCGAAAUAUGUUUGGGGAAAAGAGGGGAUUUGGGAAUUGGAAGGGAGCAGCGGAUUGGAGGGGAUCUGAUAGACUUUUCCUAUGCCAAUGAUGGGGAUUCUUCCUCCCGCUGUGCCGCUACCUCCUUUGUGUGGCAAAGAGCAGCAAAGAGCAAAGUUAUAGAGAGUGUUGGAUUGAUAGACUCAACGUGUAUUCCUUUGAUGCAUAGCACGGAGUAUAAAUAGGCACUGAACCUUCCAUAUCCUGCUCUACCGGUUUAUAGAAACACACCCGGGAGGGAUUAGGAAGCAGCGGCCAAAAGAAAAUAUACAUGAGCAUGCCAUAUAUAGAGGAUACAAUGCUAUAUGCUUAACACCCCCCCGCAGUCGCAGCAUCGGCAGGCCGUACGUUGAGACUAGAGUGAAAAUCGGUGAAGACGGCGGUCGGCAAUCCCUUGGUGAAGAUGUCCGCGUACUGAGAGGACGUGGGCACAUGUAGAACCCGGAUGGUGCGACGCAGUCACGAACGAAGUGAAGAUCGAUCUCGACGUGUUUGGUGCGCUGGUGCUGAACGGGGUUGGUGGACAAGUAAACUGCACUGACGUUGUCACAAUAAACCAAGGUAGCCCGAGACGGAGGUGUAUGUAGCUCAUGAAGAAGUUGGCGAAGCCAGCUUGUUUUGGCGACAGCAUUGGCAACAUCACGAUAUUCUGCCUCGGCACUAGAGCGAGAGACAGUGUUCUGGCGCUUAGAGGACUAGGAGAUCAGGUUGUCCCCGAGAAAAACAGCAUAGCCAGAAGUGGAUUUGCGAGUAUCAGGACAACCCGCCCAAUCAGCAUCAGAGUAGGCGACCAAGUCAAGCUGGGCAGAACGCUGGAUGUGCAGGCCAAGAUCAAGAGUGCCGCGUAUGUACCGAAGAAUGCGCUUGAGAGCAGCAAGGUGAGGCUCCCGAGGAUCGUGCAUGUGAAGACAGACCUGCUGAACUGCAUAAGAGAUGUCUGGCCGAGUGAAGGUGAGAUACUGUAAAACGCCGGCGAGACUGCGAUAGUCCGUAGGGUCGGCAACAGGCGAACCAUCAGAUGAGGACAUCUUGGAGCAUGUGUCAACAGGAGUGGAGCAAGGCUUGCACUCUAACAUACCGGCACGCUCGAGGAUCUCGAGACAAUACUGUCGCUUACUGAGGAAAAGGCCAGAGAGGUCACGACGGACGCUGAUCCCCAGGAAGUGAUGGAGAGGCCCAAGAUCCUUCAUUGAGAACUCAGACUGCAGAGCUGUGAUGGUCCAUCUGAGAAGAGCAUCGGAUGAGGCUGUCAAGACAAUGUCAUCGACAUAAAGGAGAAGAUAUACCAGCUCGGAGCCUCAGCGGAGCACGAAUAGGGAGGUGUCGGAUUUGGCUUCAGUGAAGCCAAGAGUGAGCAAAAAACUAGCAAACCGGCUGUACCACGCACGGGGAGCUUGCUUCAACCCGUAGAGUGAUUUGUUGAGGCGGCAGACCAUGUCGGGCUUGGACGGAUCAGCAAAGCCGGCAGGUUGGGAACAGUAGUGUGGAGAUUAUGGAUACCCCAUAUCUGCAUGACAGUUAUACUUUAGUCGGAUAUAUGGUACCAAAUAUAGAUAGAAUAUCUUUAUGAGGACUCGGGUUAGAUUCUAAACUUGUAUGUCGAGAAAAUACCCGGGAUCCUAGUCAGCUACGAUUGUAUUUUAUCUGUAAUCCCAUAUUCCAUUAGGAUAUGGACUAUACCUUGUAUUACGGAUCCCUUCCCCUAUAUAAGGAGGGUCCGUGUGCCUCUUGGGGCACGAUUCUUUUUUUUCCCAAUCAUAGAAUCAAUAAUACACUCGGCGGAAUCAUCCCUGGACAGGAGUAGGGUAUUACUUCUUGAAUAAGAAGGCCUGAACCUAUAUAAAAUUCCUUGUCUCCAAACCCAUCCACUUUCCUAGCUUGAAAGCCACCCCCUUUUAUUAUUGCCGAAAUCUUGUUUCGACAAGUACACCAUCUCCUGGAGGGUCCCAUGAAGGAAGGCGUUCUUAACGUCGAGUUGGUGGACCGGCCAGUUGCGAGAGACGGCGAUGCUGAGCACAGAGUGCACUGUGGCCGGUUUGACAACCGGGCUGAAUGUCUUGUCGAAGUCAACACCGGGGCGUUGAGUGAAACCCCGGAGGACCCAGCGAGCCUUGUAGCGAUCCAAUGAACCGUCAGCUUGAAACUUGUGCCAGAAGAUCCAUUUGCCAGUGACGACGUUGGCGCCGGGUGGACGAGGAACAAGGUCCCACGUGUUGUUGGCGAGCAGGGCGGCGAACUCAUCCUCCAUGGCCGCCCGCCAAUGAGGAUUGCGAGGGCGGCGCGGUAUGUGCUGGGAAUAGGAGAGAGUGGCGCGGCGUGGAGGUUGAAGCAUGUAGCCGGACGGUGGACGCCAACCUUGCCGCGAGUCACCAUGGCGUGGUCGUUGAAGACGGGGGAGACUCCGAGUUGUGCCGGAGGAGGCCGAACACCGGGAACGCGGGCACUCUGGGGCGCGUGACAGCGCCAGUUGGUGGUGGAGCGAGCCAUGAGGUUCCAGGUGAAGGGCGAGUGACGCCAGUUGCACCUGGGGCAGGAGAAGCCGACGCCGGGGAAGUGGCGCCAAGCGAGCGAAGGGGCGACGCAUGCCUUGGCGAUGAAGACGGCGCGGGCGACCGGGAAGCAGGAGGCGAUGUAGCGGUAGGUCGUGGCCUGGGAGAGGCCGACGAGCCGACCGAGGUCGGUGCGGUUGUGGACGGCCCGUCCGACCAGGCCGGGGUCGGUGGAGGCCCAGUUGGCGGCAGCCCAGCCGUGGGGGGCGUAUGACACCGUGCUCCAGUACGGGGCCCGCCAGUACGGCGCCUGAUGGGCGUAGGCGCGGUGGCGGAGAAGUCAUCCAAGAAGUUGAGGCUUGUAGCAUCUGCAUCUUUGGUUAGGUCAGCAAAUGGAAGCACAUGCUCAUCAAAAACCACAUGACGAGAGAUAAUAACCCAGUUAGAAAUGGGGUCAAAACACCGGUACCCUUUAUGGUUAGGUGGAUAUCCCAAAAAGACACACAUGACAGAGCGGGGGGCAAGUUUGUGGGGGGUGCUGGCGGAUAUGUUGGGGUAGCAGUUGCAACCAAAAACUCGUAAGUGGGUGUAGGAGGGAUGGGCACCGUAGAGAGCAAAAUAGGGUGUGUGGUGUUGAAGGGUUUUGGUGGGGUGACGGUUGAUGAGAUGUGUGGCGGUGUGAAGAGCCUCGACCCAAAAGAAAGAAGGAAGGCUGGCCUGAAAGAGCAAAGAGCGCACGAUGUUAUUAAGGGAACGAAGCAUGCACUCAGCCUUACCAUUCUGAGGGGAGGUGUGGGGACAGGACAUCCGUAAAGAGACACCGUUAAGGAGAAAAAACUGUCGAGCGCUAGCAUUGUCGAACUCACGGCCAUUGUCGCAUUGGAUGCCUUGUAUGCUGCAAGAGAACUGAGUUUUUACAAAGGCAAAAAAAUGUGAUAGAGUGGUAAAGGUGUCGGAUUUAAAACGGAGCGGAAAGGUCCACACAUAAUGAGAGAAAUCAUCAAGUAUGACUAAGUAAUAUUUAAAACCGGACACACUUGGUAUGGGAGAGGUCCACAAAUCACAAUGAAUAAGUUCGAACUUGGCCGUAGCCCUAGUAAAAUUGUUAACAAAAGGUAGGUGAGUAUGGCGGCCGAGUUGACAUGCAUGACAAAGAGUGGAGACGCCUUUCGGUGGAGGAAUAACAGUAGCUUGUGCCAAACGUAGGAGAGCGUCAUGGCUAAGAUGCCCGAGCCGCCGGUGCCAGAGCUCAAUGGAGGAGGUGGACGCCACAAAAGUAUGAGCCAAGGCUGUCGAAGGUAGAGACUCUGCCGAGAAGGGGUACAGGUCGCCGGAACUAUUGCACCUAGCGAUCUCGAUCCUGGUUUGGUAGUCCUUCACAGAGAAGCCAAAAGGGUCAAGACAAACAGAGCACGAGUUAUCGCGAGCAAAGCGGCGAGCCGAAAUGAGAUCUUUAAUAAUAUGAGGCGAAACAAGGACAUCAUUUAGAACAAAAGAAUGGUUAGGAUGAUGUAAAUAUGUAGAGCCAAUAGAUGUAAUGGGAAUGCGGGAACCGUCACCGACCACUAUAUGAGAAGGGGAUGUGGGAGAGGGGUUAUAUAGGCUAAGAGUACCGGUAUUAGAAGUCAUGUGGGAAGAGGCACCUGAAUCCAUAUACCACUCGUUGGAGUUGGGAGUAGCCAGUGUCGCGGUGUUGUGGGAGGCAGCCAGGGCCUGUGGGUCCCACUGGGAUGGCCCAGUUAUCCACUGUAGAGGCGGUUGUGGAACCGCCAUUGGCGAGGGAGGCAGAACGGACGGUGGAGUCGCGUAGUGGGCCGGCCCGGGAAGCUGGAGAGGAGCCGGCGGCAGGAAGCCGGCUUGGUGGGCCUGCCCCUGGAAGCUAGGCGGCCCGUGGACUGCAGAACCAGCGAAGGGCGCGCGGGGAGGCAGGCUCGGUGCGGGGCCCAACAAGCCGGGGCCUGUGAGCUGGAUUGUGCCGGCCCACGGGUUGAAGGCAGUCGGCCACUGCACCGCAGGCCGCGGAGCCGAGCCGGCCGUGGGCGGUGUCGUGGUGGACGCGCCACCGUUGCCGCCGUUGCCGCCUUUGCUUGCGGCGGUUCUUGUUGUUGCCGGUGCUACCGCCGUUGCCGCCGGUGGUGCCGGAGGUGCUGCCGGUGCCGCCCCUGCCGCCAGCAGUCAUGGCGAUGAAGGCGGUCGCGCCGCCGGUCGGGAAACCUUGGCCCUUAUUGAUCUCGGCAAGUAGUAGUUGCGAUCAUGCCUCCAGGAACGUCGGGAACGGGCGUUGCAUAGGAAGAAUGGUCUGCAGAUUGUGGUAUUUUUCAUUCAAACCUCGGAGAAAAUUGAGGACGAGCGUCUUGUCAGUGAUCGGUUCGCCUAGGUCGGCGAGGGAGUCUGCCAUGGCACGAAGACGACGGCAGUAGUCGGCGCCGGACAUGUCGCCUUGGACGAAGGUGUAGAAUUCGGCGGUGAGGUUGAUGGCGCGAAGCUCGGAGUUGCCGAGGAACUGGUGCUCGAGGUUGCGCCAAACGAUGGGUGCGGUCGACGUCGGGGACAGGACCUCCUGGAAGAGAUCAGAGGAGAUGGUCCCGUAGAGCCACGUGAGGACAACACAGUCCAUCUGUGCCCAGUCCGGAUGGGAGGGAGGAUCGUCGGAGAGCACGUGGUCGGUGAGGGCGUACUUGCCGAGGACGACGAGGAACAUGCCGCGCCAGCGGGUGUAGUUCGCGGUGGCGAGGUCGAGCGUGACGGGGAUCAAUGCCUUGAUGUUGAGGACGGCGAUGGCUUGCUGGUGAAGAGUGGCGAGCGUUUCAGCGUCGAGAACCAGUGGUGGCGCGGGAGGAGUCGAUGACGAUGGUGGGAGAACUUGCCUUGGCGACGUCGAGAGGGCGCCGAGUUGUGCAGCAACGGCGGCAAGAUCCGCCGCGGAGAGAGCGAUCGGCGUUGGUGGAACGGCGGUGGCAGGAGCUGCUGUAGCUGGUGCCGCCGUGGGGUCGACGAGGGUUGAUGCCGUGUCGAUGAGCUCGCCGGAGGCCGGCGCUUGGAGAUGAGGCCGGAGAAGAGUGGCGAUGGCAUCGCGGGCAGCAGUUUCGCAUGGCGGCCGCGGCGUCGGCGACGGCGCGGACGGAGGAGGGGUCGACGAGGAGACCCUCGGGCGCGGUGUAGCUGGCGCGGACCGAGUCGGCGAUGGCCUGGACCACCUGAGCGAGAACGGCAUCGUGCGCCGAAGGAGGUGGUGGCGACGACAUGGCGUCGUGGGCACGACGACGACGCAGGAGGUUUAGGGUUUAGAGAGAGCGGAAGCGAGAGAAAUCUGAUACCAUGUUGGAUUGAUAGACUCAACGUGUAUUCCAUUGAUGCAUAGCACGGAGUACAAAUAGGCACUGAACCUUCCAUAUCCUGCUCUACCGGUUUAUAGAAACACACCCGGGAGGGAUUAGGAAGGAGCGGACAAAAGGAAAUAUACAUGAGCAUGCCAUAUACAGAGGAUACAAUGCUAUAUGCUUAACAGAGAGCAUGGGCAGCAGCUGCAGGCUUGCAGCUGUGGAGCGAAUCGAAGGCGGUGGCCGAAGCCGAGGGCGGCGGCGGCGGCAGUGGCCGGAGAGCUGAGGACACAGGUCGCUGAGUAAUAACGACCAUUUGCAGUUGCCCAUCGAACCUGAGUAAAUAACAACAACAACCGCAGCCCACUACGCAUUAGCGACCACAUAAAACUAGCGUCGUCGGAUAGCAGAAAUCGGCCCAAAGCAGUAUCAACGACCAAGAUUAUGUAGCCGUCGUUAGUUUUUGGUCGUUGACAUUCACUAUUCUAGUAGUGUAGACCAGGAUCUGCCCGAGGAGACGGACAUGGCGACGACUCCUUUAGGUUGGUUCUUGUUGUUUCCAUUUCCUUUACCUCGUCUGUCUUGAUUAGCUUGACUUAGGUGUUUGCAUGUUGAGCAGACCUCGAGAAUGCGCUUGCUGAUCGAGACCGUCGCAUCCAGUAUUGGAGGACGAAGUUCGAGGUCGCUGAACUUGAGAGGACUAUAUUGGAAGUGAAGAGGGACCGGGCUGUGGAGGCGCUCCGAGGUCGCGAGGUAUGGUUCAACUCGUACCUCAGGAGUUGUUGCACAACCAUGGCCGAUGUCUGUAGAGAGCUCCGAGUACCUCGCGGGGAUCCCCGCCGAAUUGGCUAGAUCACCCAGCGAAUUGGCUCCUGUCGUCUCUGGCUUCGUAGGCUGUGGUCGUUGUGUAGGCUAUGAGAUUCGAUGCCUUAGGUCCCCCCGGGGGGUCAGGUGGUCUCCAAGUAGGACUCAGAAACAUCGGACCAUGCACGAUAUAGUAAUGACCCAGUCCUAUAUGGGUAGGAACCUUUCCAUUGGUGGACUUCGCGAUGGAUUUCCUUACCUUAUUCAGAGAACGUCCGUAUGUGUACCGAUAUACCGUAUUGCCGUAUAGCAUACAUUCAAGGGUAGAGGGUAUACCUUAUCCGUAACCCUGACAGUUUGUUUUAACAUUAGGUACUUUAGUCCAAUUAUGUUAUAUAAAUCAUAGAUCUAUACCAAAUCAAAACGCAGAAAUAUAUUUAUCCAUAUUCAACUUAAAAAUACAUAUGGGUCAUCCAGUUGAGUCUUGAGGUGAGAGUCGAUAACUUAUAGUGAGUGUAGAUCAGCUAUGACAUUAAGGUUAGGCGUAUCAUGUGCAUCAUACUAAUAUCUACAUUCUUGGUUUUUAGUUUUAAUUCGUCAUAUUUUUACAGUUGGAAAUUUAUCUCGGAUUUCUUGCAGUUUCUUUAUUGAUUUAUUCAUUCUUCAAUUGCGGGUAUCUCAGGCAAGUCCAACAUCUUUGAUCAACUAUUGUUAUAUUUUCAUAAUUGUAAUCUAUAUGUAUCACCUUGCAUUAAAUUAUAUUUUCUAUAAUUGAAAUAAAUAUGCUGAUUGUGAUGGAUUGGAUUGACUGGUGCAGCAGUCGAUCAUACUGUAGAUGUAUUCUGAACAUGCCUUGGUGGUGGGGGUUCAGUUGCAUAUAUUUAUCAUCAUAAGGUUAAACAACAACUGUUAUAUGGCAUUCAAGCGCCGUAGCGAUCGUGUCGACCAUAUGACCUGGAAUGGGACAGGCUGGCUUAGUAGUUCUUUCUUAAUGGCUUUAUCCUGCGGGCUUAAGGACUUCCGCAAAUCCCGUGAGCGUGGGCUAGCGAUGAGGGUUGCCGUUGUUGCGGAAUCCGAUUAGAUGAUGUGGAUCGCCGUUGUUGCGGGAUCCGAUGAUUCGCCAUUGUUGCGGGAAUCACCCGCAGAGAUAAUUGACAAAUGGGAUUGAUGAAAGGCUUGUGACCUUAACCUUGCUGGCAUACACCAUGAAGUGUGCUUAGGCGCUGGCGUGGUGGCGGUGUAGCGUGGGCGUUAAAAGGUUUAAGGCGUCUAUGGGUACAGCGACACACCUCUGCAGAGUGUAUGAAUUGUGAUAUGUCACUCCCUAUUUCGGGUAGAAAUUGCGAACGCGACAGGAAAGGUACCUAUCGGAGGUUCUAAUACCUGUGGUGCCUUAUAUGCAGUAGAUUUUAUAAUUACUUAAUAUGAUCUUUUAUAACACUAUUUUAUGAACAUGCAUAAAUUUCCUUGUUGGAUUAUGGGUCUUUGAAGAUAUAUGUAUUAUGCAGGUGGAUUAUGGGCAUAUAUUUGUUGGAUUGUUAUAGUUGGACUUGUUGAGUACCAUUCGUACUCAUCCCCUAUAUAUAUAUAUAUAUAUAUAUAUUAUUCCUUGUAGUGUUGAGCUAACAAUUAGGUGGAGAGAAGAUUCUACAAAAUUGAUCAAGUGUUACAUAUCUCUACAUUAACUUAAUGUUGAAGGUGUUGAAGAUCUAGAAGAGUAAGGUACUGUUAGUGUUAUUAUUUUGGUAAACACUAAUUUCUUAUGGUUUUUAUUUAAUGGGUUUCGCUGAAAUUGUUUCUGCUAUGCUACUCUGGUGUGCCCAUUUCUUGGUAAGUUGGUUCUUACUAAGGAAUGAGCCGUAGACCGGUAUUCUACCUUGGAAGUGGCAUACGAGGGUCGCUACACUCCGGCCCAUCCUUUCUAUUCUUCCCUCACCGAGAAGUCUAUUCUGCCUCCCUCCUCUCAAUUCAAAUAAUUUUUCGGGUAGUAAAUGAUUUCGAAUGAAAAAAUUACCAACAACAAAGUUGUAUAACUUAUCAAGAUAUACAACUUUUGUUUUGGUCAUUUUGCUAUAUGACUUUGUUUCAAUAAUUUGAAUUUGAAUUUCAAAUUAUAACAACUUCAAAGAACGUUUUCAAAUAUUAAAUGAUUUCAACUGAAAAAGUCAUCAACAACGAAGUUGUAAAACUCAUUAAUAUCUACAACUUUUGUUUUGGUCAUUUUGCUAUAUGACUUUAUUUCAAUAAUUUGAAUUUGAAUUUUAAAUUAUGACAACUUCAAACAACAUUUUCAAAUACUAAAAGAUUUCAACUGAAAAAGUCAUCGACAACAAAUUUGUAUAACUCAUCAAUAUCUAUAACUUUUACUUUGGUAAUUUCUUCAUCCGGCGAAGUGAUAGUAACAUUGUUCACAAAUUUUAUAUAUCUCUUAUAUGGUUUUAUAAACUAUAAGAGAUAUGGUUUUAUAAACUUUGCUGGAUGAAGAAAUGAUCAAAAUAAAAGUUACAGAUAUUGAUGAGUUAUACAACUUUGUUGUUGAUGACUUUUUCUGUUGAAAUCAUUUAGUAUUUGAAAAUGUUGUUUGAAGUUGUCAUAAUUUGAAAUUCAAAUUCAAAUUAUUGAAACAAAGUCAUAUAGCUAAAUGACCGAAAUAAAAGUUAUAGAUAUUGACGAGUUAUACAAUUUUGUUGUUGAUGACUUUUUCAUUUGAAAUCAUUUAGUAUUUGAAAAUAUUGUUUGAAGUUGUCAUAAUUUGAAGUUCAAAUAUUAUAUAGGUCAAUCAAAGACAGAUGGAGAAAUAACCAAAAUAAAAUUAGUAGAUCUCAAUAAGUUAUACAACUUUGUUUUUGACAGCUUUUUCACAUAAGUUCAUUUAAUAUGAUUUUUUUGUGUGUUACUUCACAAUGGUACAAUAAAAUACAAAGAAAAGAAAGGUUAAAAAGAGAUGGGAUGAAAGAAGAACUGUUAUGGGCCAGCCCAUUUGCUCUACCCUCGCCGAGAAGUCCAUUCUACCUCCCUCCUUUCGAUUAAUUUCAUAAUAUUAAAACUUCGAAUCGAAUUUUAUCAUACUAAAUGAACUUAUGUGAAAAGUUGUCAAAAAAAAGUUGUACAACUUAUUGAGAUAUACCUAUUUCAUUUUGGUUAUUUCUCCAUUUGAGUUUGAUUGACCUAUAUAAAAUUUGAAUUUCAAAUUAUGACAACUUCAAACAACAUUUUUAAAUACUAAAUGAUUUCAAAUAAAAAAGUCAUCAGCAAUAAAGUUGUGUAACUCAUCAAUAUCUAAAACUUUUGUUUUGGUCAUUUUUAUAUAUGACUUUUCUUUGAACAGUUUGAAUUUGAAUUUCAAAUUACGACAACUUCAAACAACAUUUAUAAGUACUAAAUGAUUUUAACUGAAAAAGUCGUCAAUAACAAAGUUCUAUAACUCAUCAAGAUCUACAACUUUUAUUUGGGUCAUUUCUUCAUCCGAGAAAGUGAUUUGUAACAUUGUUCACAAAAUGUACAUAUCUCUUAUACAUUGUCGUAAUUUGAAAUUCAAAUUCAAACUGUUCAAACAAAGUCAUAUAGAAAAAUGACCAAAACAAAAGUUGUAGAUCUUGAUAAGUUAUACAAUUUUGUUGUUGACAACUUUCCCAUUUAAAUUCAUUUACUACCCGAUAAAUUAUUUGAAUUUCUUAUAUUUUAAAAUUUAAAUUGUAUAUAGUUCAACCAAACUCGGAUGGAGAAAUAACCAAAAUAAAAUUGGUAGAUCUCAUUUUUGACAACUUUUUCACAUGAGUUCAUUUAGUAUCAUAAAAUCCGAUUCGAAAUUAUGUUUUGCUUCGAAGUUUGAUUUGCCUCCUCUCCCUCUUCCCCACUUUAAAAAUUUCACCAACCUUAUCUUCUCCUCCUCUCCUCUCCUCACCUCUCCUGUUAGUCUCUCGCUUUCUCUCCUCCUCUCCUCUCUCUCUCACUGAUGACAACGAGGGCGAGAGCGGCCACCACGGCGGGCUCGACCGCCAGAGCCCUCCCCCUCCUAGAUCCAGCAGCGGCGUGCUCGGGAGGGCCGGGAGCGGCCACGGCGACAGGCAGGAGCGGUGCGGCAGCAGCGGGCUCGACGGCCGGCGUCCUCCCCCUCCCAGAUCCAGCGGCGGCACGCUCGGGAGGGCCGGGAGCGGCCACGGCGGCGGGUAGGAGCGGUCCGGUACCGACGGGCUCAACGGCCGGCGUCGUCCCCCUCCCAGAUCCAACGACAACGCGCUCGGGAAGGGCUGGGAGCGGCCACGCCGGUGGGCGGGAGCGGCGGGCUCGACGGCCGGCGCCCUCCCCUCCUAGAUCCAGUGACGGCGCGCUCAGGAGGGGCGAAAACCAUAGACGCCGUCGCCCCGCCGGUGCGUCGCCAUCGAUACCUCGUCGUCGCCGUCGUCUCCAUGACUUUCUCCGCCGAGACCGCAAACUCAGUUUCUCCUGGCUCACCGAUCUCCUCCGUGCCGUUCUCGAUCUCCACCGUCGCCCCGCCUCGAUCUGCUGGUAUAGAAAUCCUAUCUUCCCCCAUCCCUUCCCUCUUCUCUCUCGGUCUGACAACCCACUAAGAUUGCUAGGAUUGGGGCAUUGCUUGUAUGCGGAACAGUGAUUGGGGCAUAGUGAUUGGGGCAUUGUGGAGAUUAUAGAUACCCCAUAUCUACACGGCAUGUAUAGUCCGGCUGGGUACGGGGUACCAAAUAUAGAUAGAAUAUCUUUAAAAGGACUCGAGUUAGUUUCUAAACUUGUAUGUUAAGGAAAUACCCGGGAUCCUAGUCGGUUACGAUUGUAUUUUAUCUGUAAUCACAUAUUUCGUUAGGGAUAUGGACUAGAUUUUGUAAUACGGACCCCUUCCCCUAUAUAAGGAGGGGUCCGGGUCCCUCUAGGGACACGAUUUUCUCCCAGAUCAUACGAUCAAUAAUACACUCGGCGGAUCAAUCCCCGGAUAGGAGUAGGGUAUUACUUCUUGAUUAAGAAGGCCUGAACCUAUAUAAAAUUCCUUGUCUUCAAAUCCAUCCACUUUUGUAGCUUGAUAGCCACCCCCUUUUAGUAUUGCCGAAAUCUUGUUUCGACAGUUGGCGUGCCAGGUAGGGGUAGCGUCAAGUUUUUCGCCGACUAGUGCGAUGGGUUUCGUCUCCGGCAUCGACGACUUCGCCUUCCCUCCUGGGCAGGCGUUCCGGUUCAGCAACCUCGACUUCAUCACCAACGACUUCGGCAAGAUCUCUCUCCUUGACUCGGAUUCGAACCAGUCAGGGAGAGACCAGGUCUCAGCCCCGUUCGGUAUUCCGAACUCGGCUAAGAUCUACCCCAAGCUUAUCUCGAUCGAGUCGGCUCCAAACCACUCGGACGAGAUCCCUUCUACUCUAACACCACCAGAUCAAGACGAUGGGGCCUACCCGCCAAUCCUGAUAAAACUCCCCGGCGAUCUGGCUGCCGUCUUGACCACAAGGACGUCUUCUCCCCGUAGGCUUAGGCGGGACUCGACUUCAGCACCGAUCCGGCCUAGCUCCAGGGAAGUUGGCGUCAUACUCCAGCCACUCGGCACGGUUUCGAUGGAUCAAUUGGAAGGCUACAUUAGCUCCCCCGGCGUCGACUCAAGACCAACAGAGAUCAUAGAGUAUGACGAAUUCGGCUACCGCUACGGCAACCGCGACCUCGACGACUUCGACGAAAGCUUUGAAGAUAACUACACCCCUCUCUAUUUUGGCGUCUUCAUGGCCGAUAACGAGACAGAAGAACAGCGCCAAGCCCGAGAAAUAGAAGCGCGACGCGUACAACAGGAGGCCGAGCGACGCCGACUGGAAGAGGAGCGCCAGGCACAAGAGCAAGAACGGCUGCAGCGCAUACAACAAGAACGUGAACGGGCUGCAAAGGAGGCCGAGGACCGAUGACAGCGAGCCUUGGACGCAGGGCGACGAGCGCGAGAUCUUAUCGGGUAGCAAGACGUUGAGGGGACAGCGGUCUUCCGCACCCCUCAACAGAACGCUGUUGCGGCGAUCACUCUCCUUGACACCCUCCUCAAGGAAGACGCACUCAACCAAGCUGAUCACGUCGUCAACAUCUUGAACCAGACCAAGACCAUGAUUGCCGCCUCGGUCCCGGUUAACUCCGGAAGCGUCCGCACACCGACUGGCAGCCAGGUCCCCCAUCUUCGAUCUCAAGAUUAUCACCAGCCAAGCCUCAGCAUCGCCGGCGCAGGAUCCAAUCGCAGGAGCAGGGGUCACGACGAGCGAUCUAUCCACUCGCCUCCCGAACGACACAGGGAGCGCCGAGUUGAACGGUCUCGCUCUCCACCUCGUCGACGCCCCGUUGAUCAUCGUGAUACAAUCAAUCAACGCCGUGCAGCACGAGGCUACGCCCGCCACCAUUCACCGGAUCGCUACGACGACAACGUGGAUGGAGUAGCUGCCUUUACCAACGACCUGCGUCGAGUGGAUUGGCCAGCCGGCUUCAAGCCGUUUGGAAUCGAGAAGUAUGACGGCACCACUAAUCCGGAGUCUUGGCUCACCGUCUACGGUCUCGCAAUCCGCGCAGCAGGAGGAGAUAACAAAGCCAUGGCAAACUACUUACCUGUGGCCCUGGCGGAUUCUGCCCGGUCCUGGCUUCAUGGGUUACCCCGUGGCACGAUCGGAUCAUGGGCGGAACUUCGUGACCACUUCAUCGCCAACUUCCAGGGCACCUUUGAAUGCCCUGGCACACAGUUUGAUCUCUACAUCGUCAUUCAGAAGUCUAGGGAAUCCCUUCGAGAUUAUAUCCGGCGCUUUUCUGAACAACGCAACAAGAUCUCCGACAUUACCGAUGAUGUCAUCAUUGCUUCUUUCACCAAUGGGAUUCAUCACGAAGAUCUAGGUGGCAAGUUCGGGUGCAAGCCUCCCAAGACGGUCAAAUAGAUGUUCGAAAAAGCCAACGAGUAUGCCAAAGCCGAAGACGCCAUUAUCGCAUCCAAGCAGUCGGGUCCCACUUGGAAGCGAAAGAAAGAUGCGCCGACCACAGGAGGGGGUGGAAAUACCAAUCGCCAGGACCGUAAGCGUAAGCCCAAGGAACUUGUUGCAACUACUACACAUUCCUCCCGACAACGUUCGCGCGUCAAUACCUUCGACAAGAUCAUGAACUCCCAAUGUCCGCAUCAUCCCAACUCCAAUCAUGCAGCCAAAGAUUGCUUCGUCUACAAACAGUUUGCAGAGCAAUACGCCAAGAAUACACGGAAGGCCUCCGACGGAGAUCAAAGCACGUCAAAAAAGAAGGAUGAUGACGAUGAUGCCCCGACAGGCUUCCAAGACCAUCGCAAGGAGCUCAACCGCAUCUUUGGCGGACCUCUGGCUUAUGAAUCCAAAAGAAAACAAAAAUUGACCGAACGAGAGAUUAAUGCUGUUCAGCCCGAUACGCCCCAAUAUCUUCGGUGGUCGGAGACAACAAUCAAGUUCGAUCGCUUGGAUCAUCCAGACCGAGUGGUCCACCCGGGGCGGUACCCCCUGGUACUAGACCAAGUGGUUCGCAACGUCAAGCUUCGCAGAUCCCUCAUCGAUGGCGGCAGCGCACUCAACAUCCUCUUUGUCAAGACCUUGGAUGACAUGCAGAUCGCUCGCACAGAAUUGAAGCCAAGUAACGCACCCUUUCACGGAGUCAUCCCAGGGUUAUCCGCUACGCCACUCGGCUAGAUCACUCUUCCGGUCACCUUCGGUACUCGGGUGAACUUCUGCACAGAGAACAUCUGCUUCGAAGUCACUGAUUUCGAGACAGCGUAUCAUGCCAUACUCGGGCGCCCGGUGUUAGCCAAAUUUAUGGCCGUCCCACACUAUACCUACAUGAUGAUGAAGAUGCCUGGUCCUCGAGGAGUCAUAUCCCUGCGGAGCGACAUCAAACAAGCCGUCACAUGCGACAAGGAAAGCUACGAGAUGGCCCAAAACUGCGAGAUCGUGAUCGCCCGAGAAGACAUUCGACUGGCUGCGACCACGGCAAGCGAAGGAGAAGUGCCUACAACCAAGAUCUCAAAGAGUGGGGAAAGCGAAGCCAAGACCAAGAAAAUUCCUCUAGAUCCUUCUGAUCCUACUAAAACUGCUGUAAUAGGCGCCGAGUUAGAUUGUAAAUAGGAAAGUGCGCUCAUCACCUUUCUUCAAAAUAAUGAAGAUAUCUUUGCGUGGAAACCAUCCGAUAUGCCUGGUAUUCCUAGAGAGGUGAUUGAGCACUCUUUGCAUGUUAAGGAAGACGCUAAACCCAUCAAACAACGACUCCACCGCUUCGCACAAGACAGGAAGGACGCAAUCAAAGAGGAAUUGACCAAGCUGUUAGCAGCGGGCUUCAUCAAAGAAGUCCUUCAUCCCGACUGGCUGGCUAACCCAGUCCUGGUUCGGAAGAUGACCGGGCAAUGGCGUAUGUGUGUCGAUUACACCGACCUCAACAAGUCUUGCCCCAAAGAUCCUUUUGGGUUGCCUCGCAUUGACCAGGUAGUCGACUCAACCGCCGGCUGCGAGCUACUCAGUUUUUUAGAUUGCUACUCAGGAUAUCAUCAAAUCCAAUUGAAGGAAUCCGACUGCUUGAAGACUUUAUUCAUCACGCCCUUUGGGGCCUACUGCUACAUCACUAUGUCUUUCGGAUAGAAGAACGCAGGAGCAACUUACCAACGCAUGAUCCAGAGAUGUUUUUCAACUCAGAUCGGCCACAACGUCGAAGCUUAUGUGGAUGAUGUAGUUGUCAAAACCAAGCAGAAGGAUGAUUUGAUUACGGAUCUAGAAGAAACCUUUGCAAGCAUCCGCGUUUUCAGGAUGAAAUUAAACCCUGAAAAGUGCAUCUUCGGAGUACUGUAAGGGAAGCUGCUUGGAUUUAUGGUGUUUCAUAGAGGCAUACAAGCCAACCUGGAGAAAAUCAAUGCCAUCCUCAACAUGAAACCGCCAAGUUCUCAGAAAGAUGUCCAAAAGCUGACUGGUUGCAUGGCGGCGCUCAGCCGGUUCGUUUCACGACUCGGCGAGCGGUGGAUGCCCUUCUUCCAGCUGUUAAAGAAGACAGACAAUUUCUAGUGGGGACCCGAAGCACAGAAAGCCUUUGAAGACUUCGAGAAACUUCUCACCACUCUACUAGUUUUGGCCUCACCACAUCCGCAAGAGCCGCUAUUGUUAUACGUGUCGGCAACUUCUCAGGUUGUGAGCACGGUCCUGGUUGUUGAGCGUGAAGAAGAAGGCCAUGUUCAGAAUGUCCAACGACCAAUUUACUUCGUUAGCGAGGUUUUGGCCGACUCCAAGACGAGAUAUCCUCAAGUUCAGAAGCUGUUAUAUGGUGUUCUAAUUACCGUCAGGAAAUUAUCUCACUACUUCCAAGGUCACUCGGUCACGGUGGUUACAUCGUUUCCACUCGGGGAUAUACUUCAUAAUCGCGAAGCCAAUGGGCGGAUCGCAAAAUGGGUCUUAGAACUGAUGUCCUUGGAUAUAUCAUUCAAACCGCGAACUUUGAUCAAGUCCCAAGCUUUAGCCGACUUCUUCGCCGAGUGGACCGAGUGCCAAGAAGAUAUGCCCGAGGAGAAGAUGGAGUAUUGGACUAUGCACUUUGACGGGUCGAAGAGACUUUCAGGCACCGGGGCUGGGGUUCUUUUGAUUUCCCCGACUGGAGAAAGACUAAACUACGUGUUAUGAAUACAUUUUUCUGCAUCUCACAACGUGGCGGAAUACGAGGCGCUUCUUCACGGGCUACGGAUUGCAAUCUCUUUGGGAAUUAGGCGUUUGAUAGUUCGCGGAGAUUCACAGUUGGUUGUUAAUCAAGUUAUGAAAGAGUGGUCCUGCCUUGAUGACAACAUGACCGCCUAUCGGCAAGAGGUACGCAAGUUGGAAGACAAGUUUGAUGGGCUCGAACUCACCCACGUCCUUCGGCACAAUAACGAAGCGGCCGACAGACUCACUAACUUCGGUUCAAAACAAGAAACAGCUCCUUCCGACGUGUUCGUUGAACACCUUUACGAACCAACCGUACCAAGGAAAGAAACAAUCGAGGCCACGAACACUCAAGAUGUAGCUAUGAUCGAAGCCGACUAGAGAGAGCCCCUUAUAAGAUUUCUGACCAAACAAGAACUCCCCCAAGAUAAGGAUGAAGCCGAGCGGAUCUCCAGGUUUAGCCGGCUCUAUAUCAUUCAUGAGGCCGAGCUGUACAAGAAAAGUCCAUCAGGAAUCCUGCAACGCUGUGUGUCUUUGGAGGAAGGGAGACAAUUGUUGAAGGAUAUACAUUCUGGUAUUUGUGGCAAUCACGCUGCUGCGCGGACCAUUGUUGGCAAGGCUUACCGGCAAGGUUUUUUCUGGCCUACAGUUGUGUCUGAUGCUGACAAGAUCGUGCGGACAUGUGAAGGUUGUCAAUUUUUCGCCAGACAAACUCAUCUGCCAGCCCAAGAGUUGCAAACCAUCCUGUUGUCCUGGCCGUUUGCGGUUUGGGGGCUUGACAGGCUUGACAUGGUCCGCCCGUUUAAAAAGGCAGUCAGUAGUUACACUCAUCUCUUUGUGGCUGUCGAUAAAUUCUCCAAGUGGAUUGAAGCUAAACCGGUCAUCACAAUCACGGCAGACAAAGCUAGAGAUUUUUUCAUCAACAUUGUGCAUCGGUUUGGGGUACCAAAUCGGAGCAUCACUGAUAAUGGCACUCAAUUCACUAGCGGAGUAUUUAAAGACUUCUGUGAAGACUUCGGCAUUAAAAUCUGUUACGCCUUCGUAGCGCAUCCUAUGCGCAAUGGACAAGUCGAACGAGCCAACGGCAUGGUACUCCAAGGAAUAAAGGCACGAGUUUUCGACCGACUGAAUCCCUAUGCCAGCAAGUGGGUAGAACAGCUACCGUCGAUACUUUGGUCCUUGUGCACUACUCCCAGUAGGGCCACGGGCCAGUCGCCGUUCUUCUUAGUUUAUGGAGCAGAAACAAUGUUGCCUAGUGAAGUGGAAUUCGAAUCUUUACGUUUUCGCAACUUUCGCGAGGAGCGCUAUGGAGAAGACCAAGUGGAUGAUCUACACCGACUGGAAGAGGCCCACGAAGCAGCCUUAAUUCAGUCGGCCCGAUACUUGCAAGGGUUGCGUCGUUAUCAUAAUCGUAAUAUUCGAUCACGAGCCUUCUUAGUCGGUGACCUGGUUUUGAGAAAAAUUCAAACCACACGAGAUCGGCACAAGUUAUCCCCCUUAUGGGAAGGGCCAUUUAUAAUCUCAGAAGUCACUCGGCCAGGUUCCUACCGACUCAAGUGGGAAGGUGGUACUCCUAUCGACAACUCUUGGAAUAUCGAACAUCUUCGUCGUUUUUAUGCUUAAGUACUACUUUUGUAUUUCCCUAUCUUGACUGCUAACAUCAAGCCUUCUCUUGAAGUUACUAGUCGGGGGCUACUAUAAUAAUAAUGGAGUGUAAUCUUUAUCAAUUCAAUUUGCUUACUCGAUUUAUCAUUGCCUUGCUUGAUUUUUCGACUUAGUCAAUGAGGACUGAAAGUUUUUUAAUAGCUUUUGCGGGUUUUAGGGUCAAUAAGGUUUGACAAAAGCUUUUAAGAAAUCAGAAGCUAAGUUUGAAAUACUGAGCACAGCAUAAAUUCAUCAGUAUUGUACAAAUUGUGUCUCCAUCAUCAUCAUCAGAAUCAUUGUUAUCAAAUUACAUCAAUCAGUAUCAGUUUUUUCAUUAUCAGAGUUAUCAGGACCAGUCGGCCGAAGAUCGGUGUCCUGGAAUCUCUCAACUACAUCAACCGCUAUCUUAUCGGUGGCUUUUUGCGCAUCGUUGAUGAGGUCAAGAGCAGCUUCUUCGCUCGUCCCCUCUGCAAAGCCAUCAAUGGCAUCAAUGUCAAUCUUCGGGGAUAGAGACUUGGUCAUUGCCAACGCCAGGCUCGCUCCCAUACUCCCAGCCUCGUUGAUAUUCUUGAAAUAUGUAUCCGGAGCAACUGUCAGCUUGUCGAAGAUUUCGGAAGCAUCGAAUGUACUCGGACCAUUGUUAUUGAAGAACAUGGCUUGGACGAGUGCGGUAGUAGCGUUAGCAACUUCAUCCCUGGCCCCUUCAAGCCUUUUGAUUUUGCCGACUAAGACGUCGAACUGAGCCUGCGACUUGAUCUUGCGGUCUGCAUCAAUAGAUUCACAUUAAUGAGUUAGUGUAUAGAAGAUAAUGGCUUUUGAGGUAUUGGUUGCUAGUACCUUCAACAUCUUUCAAAGCCGAGUCCCUCUGUCUUGCCAGUUCUGCCUUGUCAUUUUCCAAAGUCUGAAUCUGCUUUUCCAGUUGAGAUAUCCUGGCAGCUUGCACUAUAUUGCCUCUGGUUAAUCGAAAUUACAAAGAUGGCAGCACAAGUAAGUUAGACAGAGUUUGAUUGUACCUUUUGAUGAGCCACUCAGUUCAAAAUUGGAUUCCUGGAGCUCGGCAAUCCGAUCCCUCAGAUCAUGCUCAGUUUUCCUGGCAAGUUCUUUGGCUUCGUGCAGUUGAUCUCUGGUGGCCUCAAGGGUUCCGAGAUGAGGAACUAAUUUAUCUAGGGUUGCGGUUUUUGCUUCAUUCCUGAGAUGAAUCCUCUGCAAAACAGUUUUAUUAGCGCUUCUGCUAAAUGGCGAACAAGAUGGUUGAGGCCGGGCGUGAAGAAACUUACGUUCACAAUGCGGGUAGCCUGGCUGAGUGCCUUUUUCAGCAGGCAUACCUCCUCAUCUUCUUUUUGCAUAUUUAUUACAAUUCCCUGAGGUUGCAUGUCGUCAUCCCACCACUUGACCAGAAUGGGAGGGCGCGAAUCUUCAGCCGCUCGUAUCAGGAGGAUUUCUUCUUCAUCACCAAUCAUCAGCCCUAAUGUAUCCAUGAAUAAAGGUGAAACAAUCGAAUAAAGUCUGUUGGAUCAAAAUGAUUUCAGAUAAUGUGUUUACCUGUUAUGAUUUCCGGUCGGGGACAAGUGGGCUCUUGUGCUUUUAUAGGAGAUCUAGAUCCUGGGUCAGUGCUGGCAUCCUUUCCGGGAGGGCUGUCUGCUUGAGCUUCAACUUCAGGGAUCUCUUGGCUUGGUCCUGUGUCCGACUGGUUUCCAGUCGGGGACUCCUGGUUAAUUCCAAUUCCAGCUUCGGCCGACUGGCUUCCAGUCGGGGGUUCGUUGCUAGGUUCUACAUUGUCGGUUGCCGGCUGAUUGUCACUCGGGUGAUCUUUUGCAGUCGGCCCGGUUUCUUUUGAGGAACCUGUCUCCAUGUUAAUCGGAUCAGAGUCUUUUCCAGAAGGAUCUAUGUCAGAUGGCUUUCUACAAGUUUGAGUUGUGCUAUCAGUAUUAUUUUCAUGAUGGGUGAGCAUCAAUACAAGGAAGAUCGUUAUAUGAUUUGUACCUGGAAGACUUCCUGAUUUUCGGCAUAGGACGACUGGAUGUUUUCUUCUUCGGAUUGGCUUGCUUCGGUAGUUUUCCGGUUGCCCCUUUAUCUCCAAGUUUUCCAGCAUCAUCGCCUUCGUCGUCACUCAGAAGCAAUUUCCUCUUGCGGGAAUCUGACUGGCCGGCUGGAUUAGAGGUGUUUGGUUGAGUUUCAGACCGAAUUUUUGGUCCUCCACUUCCUUGACCAGGUUGCCGGCGAGGUGAUCGGCGCUGAGCAAUUGGAGGAUCCGACUUCAUCAAAGCAAACUCCUGAGCAUAAUGUCUUCAAUUGUCAACUGACUUAACAAGAGACAAGAUCAUGCUUUAAGAAAGGUUGAGGUGUUUGAAUACAUACCGGUGGAGGAGGAUUGAAUGCGUUGUAUGGCACCACCGGCAGCAAGUGUGAAUAGCUGACUACGAUAGCAUUUGAGAAGAUCUUGUACAUUCUCUCCUUCAUGACCUUAAAGUCAAGAGAAUCUGGAUCUUCACGGUUUGGAUCAUGCUUGCCGUCGAAUUCGAAGGCUGUACGAGAUCUCUCCUUGAUUGGGGCUAACCGGCUCUUGAUAAAAUGCCGGGUGAUCUGUUCUCCUUGCAGACCUUGCUCCUUUAGCUUUAUCAUGCGGUCCAUCAGUUCCAGCGCCUGAGCGGCUUCAUCUCCCAUCGGUAGUGAGUUCCAAGUGUCCUGAUAAACUGUAGGGAGACAGGAGUACUCGGGGAGUGCAGGCUCAGGGUUUUGAACAUAGAACAAAUUUGCAUGCCAGCCUUUGUUCGAGGUUUUGAAGGGCAUGGAGAAGUAUUUUUGGCUUAAAGUUCCCCUAAGUUGGAAGCCAGCCCCCCUGUCACGUCCCAAAACGACUCUAAAAUAUAUCCCUUAAAUGAUGCCUAGAAUAAUUAAAAUCCGUGUGAAAACCUCCAACAAUUAAAAUGUGCAAAGUUAAAAGCCAAAUAAGGCUUAGAGGAUUUUUGUAAAUUUCCUAAAAGCCUAAACCAAAAAUAUAGGUUAGAUUUUAUCAUGCUAGGUGAGACAAUCUAGUUCUCCAUGUUGAAAUGAUGAAUAGUUGCUCUGUUUUAUAUCUUUAAUGUAUAUGUUCAUAGUUGAGUACUCUCUCAAGUUUUAAGUAAAAUUAGCCAACCAUUAUCCGGGAAACUGAGAGACAUGAGUUGCACAUUGCGUGAUCUAAGCCUAAGUUAUUGUGAGAUAUGAUAUAGUGAAAUGGAGUUUCCAUAAUCUUGAUCCAAAUUUGGCUUGAAUUCUGGAUGAUUUGAUUUCCCAAAAUGAUAAAUUGUAAGUUCCUCAUUUGAUAUAAAUUCCUACCACAGCCAAAUAUAGUUCUUACACUUAAAAACCAUAUGCAAUAUUUGGUUGCUUGUAUGUCCAUUGAACUUUGUCAAAAUUAUGUGACUUGCAUAGAAGCUUUUCGUACUCUAUGAUCAAGAUCAUACACCCACAUAUGCACACUUAUGCUAAGCUUCUACACUGGAAGAUAGCAUACAUGUCAUCCACCAUAUCCAUGUCAUCAUCCACAAAUAAGCUCUCCAUUCAUGCUUCCUUUCCAAAGGAAAACAAAUCCUUUGAAAAAAAAAGAGAAAGAGGGAAAGGUGUGGCUAUGAAAAAUAAUAAAUUCUUGCUCUCCCAAAAUUGGGGCAUGAUGAAAAGAAAAGAAAAGAAAUGAUGAACCCUGAGUUCCUCUCGACACUCAAGGCUGUUGUUGGCCCGAUCUUUCGGUGAGUUGUGAUAACUACGAUUUGGGAGAAACGUUGACGAUCCGACUACAACCGUACGAGACGUUGUGUUGCGCCUUAUCGAUCGAUACACCUCUCCGUGGGUUGUUGAUCUUGCCGGUGCAGAUCAACCCUAUUCCUGCAAGCAAAUCGAAGAAACAAGCAAGAACAAGAUAAAAGCAAUCUGAUAUUGCAAAUAGGAAUUUAAUACAAAUGAUAAGUUGGGGUUCCGAAGAACAAGCAGACGGACGGUCUAGCCGACACGCGCGCUGCAAGCAAGUAGCAAUGGCUAAACUUUAAUCUAUCAAAACCCAAGAAACCCUGAAGGGGUACCUAACUAUUUAUAGAGGUGGGAGGACGACCAAGAGGGUCCAAGGGUCGUGCUCCACCAGAUUGGGGCGCACCCCACAUGGGCCCCACAUGGGCCAGGGUCCCAAACAAAGUUACAAGCCCAUUGGCCCAAUACAGGAGACGCAACACCUUGCUUUUGUGAUUGCGGCCAAACGAGAUAGAUUUCCGAGAUGAGGCUGGAUCCGUUGGAAGGAGGACUUCGAGAGCUUUCCAUCAAGUACUACGGGCCCAAAACGGAGCACGUAUGUAGAUUUGGCGGCCGUUUGAAGUCAGCAAUGUAACACGUGGCCGAAUCAGAUUGCAGCACAUGGAGGACUUGAUCUUGAUGUCUUCUUGUUGAUUCAUGAUGUGAGCAAUGGUCGUAUCCAUAGUAGCCAUGGUCACAUCAUCCUCCCCUUCUUCACAGAAAACCGUCCUCGGUUUUUCCAUAUGGUGCUCUUCGCGCAGUCCACUGAAAACAACCUAUUUCUUGCAAUCAAAACAAGACAAACUGGAGACAAUAUGAUUAGCAGUAACAUGUCUCUCUAGCUUGCAUAUUUUAUCCGGAACUACAAGAUGUUCUAAAUCUGAACAAAUGUAAACUCUAUGCACCAAAAAUAUUCCUCUAUCAUUAUAUUCGCCAAAGAUAUGAAAAAUAGCAUUAGUUGGACAUGGCAAAUCAGAUUUAGCAAAUAAUUUCUCCUUCAAAUUAUCGAGCUCACAAAAAUCAUCAAACUGAACAUAGCCCAAUGUAUUUAAAGAAGAUUACAAUUGAAGUUCAUCAUUCUCGCUGGACGUGUGAAUAACAUGCUUAAAUUCAGUACAUGGAGAAUCAAUAUUAAAAGUAGCAUGUUCAUUCACUAGUUGUGGAAUGGAUAUAAGUGAAGUACUAUCGCACAACUCUUCUUUAUCACAAGGAACAGAAUGCAAACCAACCUGUGACAAAGGCAAUUCAGAAGUAGGUUCCACUAAAGUUUGCUCUAGGUCAGCAUGGAAAGUGGAAAAAUGUAAUUCAUCAGAAGCAUACUCACCUUGAGUAAUUUCUGCACCAUUUAAUUUACCUUUUAUGCCCUCUUCAGAUAAUGUAGGUGCAUCAGCCUUCUCCUCAUUCGCGAGUGAUGGAAGUGACAUCUCAAACAUAUCGUUCUUCUCAUUUUGGGGAUUGUUCUGAACUUCCUGCAAAACAUCAGCGAUAGGAGGCACACGCAUAGCUUGUUGCUCCGUUGGGUUCUCCAAAAUUUUGUGCUCAACAUUGCAAGCAAGCAUAAACAAUUGGCCUAUAUGAUUAUAUGUCACAUUAACAAGCCCAGCCUGAAUAUUGGAAUUAAGCCCUCUGAAAAAUCUAGUCAUUGUGUUCUCAUUAGAUUCUUGUAAACCACUAUAAGUGAUACAAAUUUUAAAAUCAUGAAAGUACUCCCUAACAGUUUUGUCACCUUGUUUUAGAUGUUCAAAUUUCUCAAGGAGAGCACGUCUAUAGUAUGAAAACACAAAUCUUUUUCUCAUUAGUAUUUUGCAUUCAUCCCAAGUUUCAAGCUUAUUUCCCACAGUAUGCCACCAAAAAGAUGCAGAACCGGUACACUUAUUACUAGCAGCCUUAAUCAUUUGAGCAUUAGAAAAAUCAUACUCAUCAAAUUGUUUUUCUACUGCUAGCUCCCAAUUAAUGUAUGCAGCGGAAUCAUACUUUCCAUCAUAGACUGGUAACUUACAUGCAACUUGUGCAAAAUUAUAGUCAUGUACCUCAUAUGCAUCACGUGAAGAAGUCGUCAUAUCUCGUCGAAGGUGUAGAUGUUGACGUUGAGCAUGACCAUCUUGUUUCCCCUUGCGCAAUCCUGCCAUGGUUAGCAGCAAACAAGAAACAUACACAAGAAUAUACACGCUCUUAUCAACUACUAGGUACUGGCAGCUCAAAUCUCACACACACUCAAGCUUUUAACCAAGCUCUUACAAGAUCUUACCAAUGCAAGUGGAAUGGUGAUGUACACCGACUCAACCAAGCACCCCAAUAGAGGUUGGAUAUAUCGAUGCCUCGGCAAACACUUGUUGUACGGCUGCAAUCAAAUCUGUGGAGCUCUGGGUAGGCUUAAAUAUGUAGCAAAGGAAUAGCAAAUGCUCAAAUCAGAGAACGCAAAGUUGAAUAAUUGUUCAAAGUCAAGUAUCGUGCUAGUCCUAGGCUAGAACGUACUAGAGACGCGAGCCUAGACACAAACGAUACCACAAGAUAGCACUAGGAACAACUCAUGCACAACUCUGAUAUAUGAAGUUCAGCUCAAACAUAACAGUAUUUUCUCUUUUCUUUCUUUCUUCUUUCUUCUUUUCUUUUUUUUUCUUUCCUUUUCUUUUCUAUUUUUUUUGUGCGGCUUUUUCUUUUCUUUUCUUUUUUUUUUUUGCACCUUUCUGCCUUUUUUUUUCUCACUUUUUUCUUGAUUUUUUUAACAAAAACUGACUCAAGGACCUUAAUGUAAGGUUACAGGGACUCAAACGUAAAUAAAAAAUUUACAGGGACUCAAAUGUAAAAGUCUAAACCCAAAAUUAAAAUUAUACAAAAAUGGAAUGCUGAAUUUAUGCCGGUUCCGUUUUUCCAAACAGAUCUCGAAACUGACACCAAACAAAAAUUCGCCAAGGUGUUUGACACAACUCGGAACCGUGAAAGAGAGGGAGGGAGUCGGACUCGGCCAAAGGGGCGAGUGGGACUCGGCCAGGAGGUGGAGUGGAUGGCAGCCGAAUUUGGUGUAUGGGAUAAAAAGGAAACUGAUUUUUAACCAAUCCAAUCUACUAUAUCUUUCCAAAACAAACUUGACUACUUCCAAAAUCAGAUAUGGUAAUUCACCUUCCUCCUCUCGUGCACGACACAGGCACGGCCAAAACAAACACACACAAGGAUCGGCAAACUCUAGAUGCAACUCAAGAACUCCAAAACUAACCGACAGAAACUUCUGAAAACUACAAAAAUAGAAUCGUGGCAGCGAGCCGAUUCCGUUUUCGUAGGUCCCGACAACAACAGAGACACGGUGGCAGCGACGACUGUGGUACAAAACGUGACCAGAACUCGAAACUCUAAACGAACUAGACGCUAAGACCAGCAACACGACGUGACGAUGCAACAUAAAAUUCAACAAAGCAAAAACUGAAAAGAACAAUGCAAUGGCACAAUAUGGCUAGGUAAAUGAUACGAAUUUUUUUGUAUGGCUAUUUUCUGGUUAUAGGAAGAUAAAAACUCACCGAGCGACGAAAGCUCUGAUACCACCUGAUGAACCCUGAGUUCCUCUCGACACUCAAGGCUGUUGUUGGCCCGAUCUUUCGGUGAGUUGUGAUAACUACGAUUUGGGAGAAACGUUGACGAUCCGACUACAACCGUACGAGACGUUGUGUUGCGCCUUAGCGAUCGAUACACCUCUCCGUGGGUUGUUGAUCUUGCCGGUGCAGAUCAACCCUAUUCCUGCAAGCAAAUCGAAGAAACAAGCAAGAACAAGAUAAAAGAAAUAUGAUAUUGCAAAUAGGAAUUUAAUACAAAUGAUAAGUUGGGGUUCCGAAGAACAAGCAGACGGACGGUCUAGCCGACACGCGCGCUGCAAGCAAGUAGCAAUGGCUAAACUUUAAUCUAUCAAAACCCAAGAAACCCUGAAGGGGUACCUAACUAUUUAUAGAGGUGGGAGGACGACCAAGAGGGUCCAAGGGUCGUGCUCCACCAGAUUGGGGCGCACCCCACAUGGGCCCCACAUGGGCCAGGGUCCCAAACAAAGUUACAAGCCCAUUGGCCCAAUACAGGAGACGCAGCACCUUGCUUUUGUGAUUGCGGCCAAACGAGAUAGAUUUCCGAGAUGAGGCUGGAUCCGUUGGAAGGAGGACUUCGAGAGCUUUGCAUCAAGUACUCACGGGCCCAAAACGGAGCACGUAUGUAGAUUUGGCGGCCGUUUGAAGUCAGCAAUGUAACACGUGGCCGAAUCAGAUUGCAGCACAUGGAGGACUUGAUCUUGAUGUCUUCUUGUUGAUUCAUGAUGUGAGCAAUGGUCGUAUCCAUAGUAGCCAUGGUCACAUCAAGAAAAGUAGCAAUACCCUCUCUUUAAAAAUUAGAGGAUAUUUUGGAGGAAAAGCAUAAGCAUAAAGGAGAAGCAUUUUCUUUAUUCACAUUUUGUUUCCCCUCAUAUUUUCCAUCACACAUUCCACACACAUUCUGCACGACCUUGAUCUAAGUAUGACUUAGUGAUAAAUGUGAAUGCAAGUAUGCCUCAUUUGAUCCUUACCAAGCUCCACAUAUUAAACUUUAGAGUAGGAAUCAAAGAGGCAAUGUUUUUGGUGAGGAAUAAAUAUCCAUACACUCUGAGUGAUAGAGAGAAUCAUUUGAGGAACUUAGUUUUUAUUUGCAAACUUUUGAAAACUAACUAAGGACAUUGAAAAUGGUACUCUAUGAUCUAUUAUGUCUCUCAAUUGCCCAUGGUGGUGAGAAGCGUGUGUUCCACAAAUUUUAGGCGUAAGGGUAAGCCUCCGUGAAUAUUUACUUAACAUGAGAGAGAGAGUACCUAUGUACUUGUACAUUUUAGAUAUACAGCAUGGUAGCAACUCCUGAUCAACAACUAAGUUUGUUUCCCUUUCGUCCUUUACUCGGGACGAGCAAAGGUUCAAGCUUGGGGGGUUUUGUUGAUGGUAGUUACCGACAAAUUUUGGCCAUCAAUAUAAUUAAAAUAAUGGAGAACUAGCUAUACUUACAAUGCAUGUUUAUUUCCAAAAUAAUAUAUUUCCACUUGUACUUGGAGAAUAACAUGUUGCAGGAAUUUAUCAAAAAAAUAAAGAGAAAAGUGAAGAAACCUCACUCCUAAGCAAACAAAUGGAUAAGGAGGGCCCACAUGUUAGAAGCAACCGUUGGAAACCGACUUUUAAUUGCCACAACCGCCUAAGGGACCCACUUGCUAGCGACCUGCCAAAGCUGGAGGCCUGCUGGGCUGGCCCAGGUUCGGCCGAACCCUGGCAGCUACGGCUCCGGCUGGCCUUACACGUGGAUGUCACGGAUUGCUUCUUAAUGACGGCUAUAAGGGUAAAAUCGACAUUUUGUUUUUCUACAAUCGUCAUACCGACCUAUAAAAGGUGGAGCUCAUUCACUCUCUCAACACACUCAAGCAUGCUAAAUUCCUCUUCAUACUUUAGUAUUAGUAGUAUAGUGCUAAGUGAAGUAGAAUAGAAUAGUGUCGGAAGUCCUCGGAGUCUUCGGAAGAGUUUUCGGUAUGGCUCUAGCAGCUCUUGUAAUCUCUUCUGUAAUACUUUCCAAAUUAAUGAAAUACUCUUCUUUAUAUAUCUUCGGUACUUUACUUAGUUUGAGUACUAGUCUUAUUUUAUAUAUGUAUUAUGUUAAUUGUGUGGGUAGCCUACCAGAGAGGUGUAAUGGUGUGGGUUUAAUGUCUGAUUUAUCAGUUAAUCUAUGUCGGGCUUGCCGGUAUUGUUGAUAGAAAACACGUGGUCUGGGAGAUCUGCUUAACUCCAGUGCAGGUCCAAAGCUCGCCUUCGGAUGUGUUAGCGUGCCAGCUGAUUUGAUCCUGUAAUCAACAAGAAAUUGAAGCAAAGAAACCGUGGUUAAAUCUAUAAAUGAUAGCCGAUCGGCUAGAUGCCGAUGACAUACCAUUUAUCUUUGAGCCGAUGUCAUCUGUGUAUCGAUCGACAGUCAUGAAUAAGUAAAGAAGAACUAAAUCUACUCGAUCGGCUGUAGAUAUUAACGAUAUAUAUUCUUUAUAUCGAUAUAUACUUAAACCAAGUGAUUGGGAUAGAUCGGUCACCAUGCCGAGACAGUAUAAAUCACUUAGAUCAAAAUAUAUAUCAAUAACAAGACUAUAUAUGUUUAUAGCGUAGCCGAUCAGAUAGAUCUAGCGUGUAUCGCCUAAUACUCCAAUACUACUCUAUAUCAGGAUGUUAAAGCAGGUAUAAAAUAUCAAACAAAGGCCUAACAUAUUUAGAUACAGCAAUAUCUUGAUAUAAAAGGCAGAUUUAACAUGUCAAUGAGGCAUAUAAAACAAAUAUAGUUAAAUCAGAUAAGAUCGGCUGAAACUCCGAUGUUAUUCUAAUCGGCAACUAGAGGGCAGGCUAGAGAUCAAUAUUCUAAGCACGACUUAAUAGAUCAAACUCAACUGAUACAACAUUAAGUAUGAAAAAAAGAACGAUAUCUAGACAAUCAAGCCACUAGAAGUUUCAUAGAAUGGUAGAUAUCUCAUAUAAUCUAGAUCAACGUCAAGAUCUAACCUAAUCGGCUGCCUUUUGCAUACAAAUGUUAGCCGAUUGUAGGUUAGAUAGCGAUAUCGCUAGAGAUUAUACAAGAUAUAUGAUAACUCGACGAAUUACAUAAACAAGAUUAGAGUAUCAUGAAGAUGGAAGCACUAAUCCUAAGAACACAAUCCGUCAUAACGAAUUUUACCUCUUGUUGAAGAUCGAAACCGAUGCAGCUCAACCCAAAAGCAAGAACUCGUCGAAACAAAACUAAAGCAAAAAGGGUGGCGAUGCGCCGAAAUUGUAUUGAACGUGUGUGUUAAAAAUUACAUAGGGCUCAGGGUUUAUUUAUACCCGAGAAUUACAAGAUAUGCCCAUACCGGACACGACUAUUAUCUCUAACAAACUCUAAGAUACCAUAAGUCUUUGCGACAGACUUUUGCCCACAUUUAUCUAUAAGGAAUUUACAUAAGAUAUCAUAACUAAUAGAUACAAUUGCCUUCCCAGGACUCUAUCCGCGCGUGGCAAUCAUCUUGAAGUACAUUAACUUGAACCCGAUGUCGCGUACAAGUCGUAUUGUCGGAAUCGGCUGUAUCGACUUAUUUAGCCCGACUCAGACCCAGCCGAUCCUAACCAUAGCCGAUCUGGACUCCGGCCGAUUCCUGCUCUGUUUCUGAACUCGAUCUCCGCCUCCGACUUCGCUUUGAUCCAAUCCUCUUUCCUGACAAAGAUGUUACCAAAUUUGGUUGUUAACAUAUGCCCCCCAAGUCCGAGAUAUUCGAUAAUGUUCCGGAUUUGCCGUGUACCGACUCCGAGCAAGUUUCGCACUCCGCCACUUUUGACCGUUAAUCCAGCACUUUAAAUACUAACCGUUACCCCUGAGAAAUCUCACACCAUGACUUCCGUUUUCACCGCUCAAACGAAACCUUUUCUCUCUCUUCUCCGGCGACUUCCCCGGCGCAAAGGCAAUCUCUUGGCGACUUCCUCCUCGACGAGAUCUCCUCUCGCAACAAUGUCGUCUUCCGCUAGCCCAUCUAGUGCGCCAUCAGCCGAAUAUGCUGAGGUAAGUUCUCAUCGGCUAAAUCAUUUCUUUAGCAGCAGAUCGAUCUUCUCCUAUCUCAUAUCGCUCUCUUCCUCUGAAUCGCUUUGGAUUUGUAGCACCUCUCCAACCUAGUUGCAAUUCCCAGACUGUCGCAUGAAAACCACUACUUUCUUGGCCCAGUCGGCAAUCCAGACCCCACCAAGUUCAUUAUUGGUGAAACCAAUAGGAUCCCCUUCAGAUUAACCAACCCAGAUCUAGGUCACUGGAAGAAUACCUUCAAGUCCUGGCCGUCUCUAGAGAAAGUUCCACCAGAAAAGAACUGGACUACAUGGUUCAAAUGUGUACCAGCCAGCAAGAGGGUCCACUGGGAUGAAAUCGAAAUCGGCCAAGCACUUGACCUUACUAUAGCAAACCCGGCCAAAGAUGAACCCCUGAUGGCAGCUGCUUCUUACUUCUGGUCAAACACCAUUAAUGCCUUUUUGUUCAAUCAAGGGCCGAUGACUCCAACUCUCAUAGAUAUCAGCAUGAUCACAGGUCUGGACGUCACCUCAUCGGGCAACUCUAUGAGCUUGAACACAAAGAACCAAUAUGACUUCAAGACCAAAAGCAUAGGAGGUUGGUCAGGCUAUGUAGCGGCAUACAUGGGCCAGGGCUCGGUCACCCCUCGGGAACAUGUGGCUUUUUUGUUAAUGUGGCUAGACAAAUUUCUUUUCUGUGGAUCAAGUUGCGGCCCCACAACCAACUGGCAAUUUCUAGCUGAAGCUCUAGAAACAAAGAGACAAUUCCCCCUGGGCAAAAUUCUCCUCGGCUAUCUAUACCAGAUGUUGAACAAUACAUCGGCUAAGAUAGCCGUCGGCUCAGUAGUUGGAGUAGGUGAACCCUGAUGGCUGCUACAAACCUGGUUAAACUUGAUAGUUAUGAAGGCUGUCAAUCAGCCAUCCGUAUCAGAAGUUGAGUUCCCAAGACUAGAGCCGAUUGUAGGGGAUGAUGAGGAAGAGCGUACUCAUCGGAGAUGCACAUCAUACGGAGAAUACGCUUCUACACCAACUGAUGCUGGGGCAAAACUAUCGGCUGAACUACUCAAAGAUUGGUUUUGCAGCUUCUAUGAAGGCUUUCAAAAAGAUGCUCGAGUUUGGUUUCUUUAUGAGGAUUCUGCAGAACGUGAACACCUAGUGGAUUUCAGAUUCGAAGACAUCAACCAUGAAGUAUACCAAUCAUCCAGGGAAAUUUUCUCGGCUGCAAUCAGCCCAUGCAUCCUUCCUGUUGACAUUCAUCAAGGAAGAAACAUCCAAGCUUCCUAUGAAUUCUAUCAUCCAAUGAGCUCAGCUAGACAACUUGGAAUGGGCCAACUCCCAAUCGGCUUAUACUUUGCCGACAAGAUCCAAUGCCGAGGAGGAAUUUCAUCAACCCUGAUGAUGGAUCGGCUGCACAACCUUCAAGGACCCCCUUUGGGCAGUAUUGACAACAUAGAACUGGCAACAUUCAAAAGCAAAAACUUUGAUAGGUGGUGGGGCGAAUGGAAGCUGCAUCUAUUCCACCAACCAGCUUCAAUGUAUAUGACGGACCUCUUUCUAGAUGUUGUCCCUCAAGUAAGUCUUUAACUUUGCUUGAUUUCAUUUACAUAGCUGCUUGGCCGAUUAAUCUCAACUAAUCCUCCUUUUGAUUUGCAGACAACAGAAUCCUCCCCUCCUCAUCAAAGCAACAGUGGAAAGGACAUCCAAUAUGCCCCAGGCUUAAUUCCUAACGGAGGUGGUCUAUCUCCUCCGGUUAUUGGCUAUGAUGCCCCCAAGACCUCAGCUCUUCUUCAAGGGCUCAUCAGGGAACCAGCCGAUGCCGGCAAAAAGAGGAAAACCAGAUCAUCGGCUGUAAGCAUCGCAGCCCCAACUAAGAAGAAGAAGACAAAGAAAACCAAGCCAGCUGAUGAUCUGCCUACCCUAGAUCCAUCCAUUGAACAAGCUCUGGAUGAAGAGAUAAUUGAAGACGAAGUUGAUCAAGCCGUAGCCGAAGUAAGCGAUAUUGAAAGAACACCAUCGGCUUCGCCUAAGCAAACCCCUCCAACUCCUUCUGCUCCAGUCCACUUUUCAAGAGUAAGCAACUUUCUUUAAUUCUUCUCAUAAUUAUUUGUCUUAUAGCCGAUCACUCCCAAGUUUUUAUAACUGCAGAAAAAGAAGACUGUGGUGAAGAAGAAAUCGGCUGCAACAACAUCUAAACCAGCUCCACUAGUAAGAUAGUUUAACUUUCAUUAGUUAAUUUUCAGCCGAUUCUGUCUGACACUUGUUUCCUUUCAACCUUCCCCUCCUCCUUCUCCUUCUGAACAUCAAUCAUUAAGUGACCAGACCCCUUCAGCUGUGGGGAGUCAUCACGUCGAGGAAGAAGAACAACCAGCUGCUCCUGCUAUCCUAGUAAGUUUCUUUUUGUCUCAACAGGCAUUCAGAUCGGCUAUGACUGUUUUAACCUCUAACUGCUUCUAAAUUGUCGCUACAGGUAUUAGCCGAUCUUUUCUCUUUUGACAUCAGAGACUAUCUUGAUGAAAGAGAAGAAGAUACCACAAGCAAAGCCUUAGCCCCUUUAUCUGAUGAUGUGAAGAAAACUCUGGAAAGUAUCUUGGAUCGGCUAGAAGCAUCAUCGCUAGAUAGCUUGGUGGUUGAUUGUGGCUCAAUCAGGGCUCGGCUACACGAGAUUCAGGCUCUAAUCCCAGAUGAGUUAGCCGACAUCCUUACCCCAGCCGUUUACCUUGAGCAACACCAAUUCAAAUUGGAGAAAGCCAAGUUAAGACUGGCCAAACGGCGAGAGCGUAAGGAUAUUGAAGCCACUAUCCAAGCCAAUCGACAACUUGUGCAUGAAGAGAAAUCCAGGCUUGAUCAACUAUCUGAAGGCCCAAUCAAGUCUAAUAUCGAUCGGCUCGAGGCUCGCAAGAUUGAACUCUUAGCACAACUUGAAGAAUGCAACACUAAGCUGGAUAUGGAGCACAAAAAACUAGCUGAUCUCCCAAAGUCUAUUGAAGAACAGAAAGCAAGACUCAAAUCGGCUAUCAAGCAUGUUGCUGAUCUGACCAAGUCUCUGAAAGUUAUCCCUGGAACCGACGCUCAGGAUGCCCAAGCCAUAGAAGAAGUAGAGCAGAUUAGGCAGAAGGCUAUAUCGGUCAUCCAGCGAUACUUAUCUCAAUAAUCUUUGUGUAAUAAAACUUAGAGUUUUUGUAAUCGGCUAAAACAUUCUGAUACUUUACUGUCUUAACAAUCCUUUGUGCCGAUUAAUAUGACUUUGAAAUUUGCUCAAAAAUUUUGCACUGCAUUUUGAUAUAUAUGUGCCCCCCUAGUUUUACAAUGUCAAGAGCAUUGAUAAAAUUAUAAAACAACUAAGGGCGAUAUAACAAUAUCGGCCAUUGUAUAUUAGUAAACCACAACCGAUUGCACUAUGAAAAACAACUAAGGGCGAUAUAACAAUAUCGGCCAUCUUAAGGCGAUGUAAACACAUCGGCUGUCAUGCAUCGGCAAUAUGAGCCGAUCAUGCGUUAACCCAAACACUUGGGUAAUAUUUCUUCAAAUAUUUGCCAUUGAGCGCUCGCCCAUAGACUUCACCAUCAAGCCCUUGCAACAUAUAUGCUCCCUUAGACACAACCUUAUGAAUUUGGAACGGUCCUUCCCAAUUCGGCGACCACUUGCCGAAUCUACUAUCACGAGUACCAAUUGGCAAAAUCAGCUUCCAUACAAGUUCUCCUUCCGAAAAAUCUUUAGGUACCACUUUCUUAUUAUAAUGCCGAGCAACACGUUCCUUAUCCCUAGUAACCUUCACAAGGGCUCGCAAUCGUGACUGAACCAAAUCCUCCCUCUCAUCAGCCAUAAGGUUGUAAUACUCAUUGGCUGUUAAAUCGUUUUGCAACUCCAUUCGUUGAGACCCGAUUCUAACCUCCCAUGGCAAAACAGCCUCAUGACCAUAAACAAGUUUGUAAGGAGGGACUUGAAUCGAUCCAUGACAAGCCAUCCUAUAAGACCACAAUGCUUCGGCCAAUCGAGUAUGCCAUUGCCGAGGAUAAUCAGAAAUUUUCCGCUUCAUCAAUUUGAUCAAACUUUUAUUAGACGCCUCGGCUUGCCCAUUAGCUUGUGCAUAAUAAGGUGAAGAAUUCAACAACUUGAUACCCACGCUAUCAGCAAACUGAACAAACUCAUCGGACACGAAGAUUGAACCUUGAUCUGUAGUAAUAGUUUGAGGAAGACCAAAUCGGUAGAUUAUAUGCUCCUGAACAAAUUGGAUAGCAUCCCCAGAAUCAACUUUCUUCAAAAGAAUCGCCUCUACCCACUUGGUAAAAUAAUUAGUUGCCACCAGUAUAAAUUUAUGUCCUUUACUCGAUGGUGGGUUUAUCAUACCGAUCAUAUCAAUUCUCCAACCUUUGAACGGCCAUGGCUUAAUAAUAGGAUUUAUAGCCGACGCUGGUGCUCGUUGAAUUGCUCCGAACUUCUGACAAUCCUGACACCGCUUAUAAUAUCUGAAACAAUUUUCCAGCAUUGUCGGCCAAAAGUACCCUGCACACCGAAGCAACCACUUCAUCUUGUGAGCCGAUUGAUGAGUACCACAGAUCCCUUCAUGAACUUCGCCGAUUGCAGCCUUAGCCUGAUCGGCAUUCAAGCACUUAAGUAAUACUCCAUCAAUCGUCCGAUAAUAAAACUCAUCAUCCAACAGUGUAUAUUUUAAUGCCUUAUAUCUUAAUUUCCUAGAAGCCGAUUGAGAUGGAUUAGUCAAAUACUGAUGCACACCAUACCUCCAAUCAUCAGCUGACAUCGCUGCAAUUUCAACAUUAACAUCUUUGAUCAUCGGCUUAUACCCCGAUGCCCGUUGGGCUAAAUCAUUAGCUUCAAGAUUUUGUUCUCGAGAUACAUGCUUUAAAGUAACAAGCCGAAACUCUUUCAUUAAUUCCAGGCACUUCUCAUUAUAAAUCAUCAAUGUAUCGUUCUUGCAUUCAUAUUCUCCUGCCAAUUGGCUGAUUACUAGCAAAGAAUCCCCCAUGAUUUCAAUGGUAUCGGCUUCAACUUCCUUGAGUAAUUGCAACCCCUUGAGCACUGCUUCAUACUCAGCUUGAUUAUUGGUCGCAUAUGGUUUAAUAGUAUAAGCAAACUCGAAACAUGCCCCCUAGGGGAAAUUAUAACUAAGCCGAUGCCACAGCCAUGAGUACAUAACGACCCAUCAAAGAAUAAAGUCCAUGGCACUAUUUCAAUCGAGCCGAUUGAAUCAUCACGAUGCUCUACAAUAAAAUCGGCUAUAGCUUGUCCCUUAAUUGCUUUCGGUGACUCAUACCGAAGAUCAAACUCAGUCAAGGAAAAUAUCCACUUUCCAACUCUUCCCUUUAAUAUUGGAGUCGAUAGCAUGUACCUGACUACGUCGGAUUUGCAUAUAACAGUGCACUCGUUAGAUAAUAGAUAAUGCCUCAACCUUGUACACGAAAAAUACAGACACAAGCAUAACUUCUCCACAGGAGAAUACCGAGUCUCAGCAUCCAAGAGCCGUCGACUGAGAUAAAAUACAACUCGUUCCUUCCCUUCCAACUCUUGAAUCAAAACUAAGCCGAUUGACUUCUCACCAACCGAUAAAUAUAAUUUAAACGGUAUUCCUUUCUGUGGUGGAAUCAAAACAAGAGAAGAGCUGAGAUACUCCUUAAUAUUAUCCAAAGCCUUUUGCUGCUCUACCCCCCAAGUAAAUUGCUGAUCGGCUUUCAACCUCAAUAAGGGUGUAAAAGGUUCCAACCUUCCGGACAAAUUGGAAAUAAAUCUUCUAACAAAAUUUAUCUUGCCGAUCAUCUCUUAUAGCUCUGUCUUAUUUUCCGGAGGCUGAAUCUUCUUGAUCGCAUUAACGCUCCUUUGGGUUGCCUCGAUCCCCAUUUCAUGAACAAGAAAUCCCAAAAACUGGCCGGCCGACACACCAAAAGCACAUUUUGUCGGAUUCAUCUUCAAGCUAUAUUUUCUGGUUCUCUCGAAAACUUUCCUUAAAUCAGCUAUGUGGUCCUCCACUUCUUUAGAUUUGGCAACCACAUCGUCAAUAUAGACUUCAACCAACCAGCCGAUUAAAUCAUGAUAUAUAUAAUUCAUGUCCCUUCGAUAUGUUGCUCCAGCACUCUUCAAGCCGAAAGUCAUGACGACCCAUUCAAAUAAGCCGAUUGCAUCAGGGCAUCGAAAAGCUGUCUUAUGGAUAUCUUCCUCAGCCAUAAAGAUCUGAUUAUAUCCUGCGUUCCCAUCCAUAAAACUCAAAAUUUUGUUCCCUGAUGCAGCAUCAACCAGCUGAUCGGCUACUGGCAUUGGAUAUUCGUCCUUUGGUGUAGCUUUAUUCAAAUCUCGAAAAUCAAUGCACACCCUGACCUUGCCAUUCUUUUUAAUGACUAGAACUAUGCUAGAAACCCAUUCAGCAUAUCGGCAGGGAUGAAUAAAACCAGCAUCAUACAAUCGUUUGAUCUCAGCUUUAACAGGUUCAAGCAUAUCGGCUUUACAUCUCCUCGGAGGUUGCUGGCGUGGUCUAACCCCUGGCUUGAUAGGUAGCCGAUGUUCAACAAUCGAUCGGCUGAGUCCGGGCAUCUCAUAAUACUCCCAAGCGAAGCAGUCUCUAAAGUCUUUUAAGAGCUCUAUCAGCUUAGUUCUAAACUCUGGAGACAAUUUUAUGCUAAUAUAUGUCGGCCUUGGCCGAUCGCCUGGACCUAUGUCUAUUUCUUCCAACUCAUCGGCCGACAUAAAACCUUGACCUUGCUUGUCAUCGAGAUCAUCUACUGUAUCCUUGGCGUAGACAUUUGAACCCUCCACGACGCCCUCAAAGUGCUUGGGUUCUCCAUCUUCGAUUGGCUGUAUAUCAGAAUCGGACACUUUUAGAAAAUCUCCAUCCCAGACUUUUCCAGAUAAACAAUCAAGGCCAUCCAUCUCCCAAAGGGCUAAAUCGAAACUGGCAACAUUAACUGACCUGUCGGCUGGCACGAUCUCUCUCUUGUCACCUUGCCAUUGAAUCAAGCAUUGAUGCAUAGUCGAAGGGAUGCAACAAUUGGCGUGGAUCCAAUCCCUUCCAAGCAACAAGCUGUAAGAACCCUUCCCGUCGAUGACAAAAAAUGUGGUAGGAAUAGUCUUACUGCCGACCGUCAGCUCCACAUUUAGAACACCUUUGGUUUCCGAUGGAUUACCACCAAAGUCUUUGAGCACCAUAUUUGUCUUGAUGAGAUCCUCGACGUUUCUACCCAACUUCCUGAACAUAGCAUAAGGCAUCAAAUUUACCGCGGCCCCCCCAUCGACUAUCAUCUUUGACAUCGGCUUCCCAUUAACAUAGCCAUUUAUAUAGAAUGGUUUAAGAUGCCGAUUCUCUGUCCCCUCGGGUUUCUCGAAUACUGCCUGUUCUGGUGACAGAACCAACUUAGCCGAUCCCUCUUCCACUUCAUCGACAUCGGCCUAAUCGAUCUCGAAUUCAGCUGGCAAUGUAAAGACCAUGUUAAUUGGUGCUGCUAUAACACUCUUCCCUUUUGCCAACCUCUUCACCUCAUCGGCUGCAGCAUCAUCGGCUACAGGAACCUGAUUCUUGACACGCCACUCCUGUCUUGGCUUUGGUUUCCUCAGCCGAUGGUUGAUUUCCUUUUCAACCUCCUGAAAACGCUCCCUGUUCCUCAAUCUCUGGACCCUCCUUUUCUAAUUCUUCGUGAAAAUACCAGAAUGACACCAUUGAUUCUUCCCGAUUACCUCAUCCUCUCAGCCACGAUCUUGAUUCAUCGGACCCAAUCUUUGAUGAACAGGAAGUCUUGCCUGUCUUAGCCGAUUACCUCUAUUAUAUGAUCGGCUCGAGCUCUCGAUGAUAUCACUGCACCCAGGGCAGUUUUCGAUGGAUGGCAACCUCAUCCCUUCAUUCUAGCAGAAUCUGAAGAACUCACAAUCCCAAUGAGGAUCAAAACCAUCAUCGUAUUCUUCAUAAUGCCUCUCCUGCUGCUUAUCAUGCUUCCUUUGACACUUGUUGAUAAUCUUAGCCGAAUUUACUUGAAAACCCUUUGCACGGAACCUAUCGGCUGCUUGACCAGCUGUAUGCACCAUGUUAACAGGAAAAGGAUUACCAUCGACCUUCAUCGGUUUUUUGGAAUCAUCAAACCUAAUCUUUCCCCCUUCAAUGGCAACCUGGAUUUGUUGUCUAAAAACCUUGCAAUCGUUAGUAGAAUGAGACCCAGAAUUAUGCCACUUGCAACAUCUCUUCUUGCCCAAUUCCUCAGCCAAUGGGAUUGUAUGACCAGCAGGAAGCUGAAUCUGCUUUUCUCGGAGUAGUAAAUCAAAGAUCUUGUCAGCUUUGGUAAUAUCAAAGUCAUACUUUUCCUCUUUUCCAGGACUUUUUACCCAUUGGCAUGGUAUGACCUUUUUGCUCCUCACCCACUCGGCUGCAGCUAUCUCAGAAUCAUCUUCUUCAUCAUCCGACCCAUACAUGUAUGGACAAACAUGAUUAACUUUCUUAGAGCUUUUCCUGACUUCUGCUAACCUAUGCUCAUGCAAGGUUACCUUCUGUAUCAGAUGCGAUAAGCUAUCAAAUUCUUCGGACGAGAAUUUCUCCCUGAUUGGAGGAAUCAUACCCUGGAAGGCCAAAUCGGCUAACUGAGCAUCAGUCAAACUCAAGCUAAAGCAUUUGUUCCUCAUCUCCCUGAACCUCUGAAUAUACUCGUGCAUGGGUUCAUCAUGUCGCUGCUUAAUCGCUGUCAAGUCGGACAACUUCAUCUCAUGAACCCCACUAUAGAAAUAGCUGUGGAACUGCUGCUCCAAAUCGGCCCAACUAUUGAUCGAUCCAUAUGGCAAAGAAGAAAACCAAGUAAAAGCUGAUCCAGACAGAGGUAACCGGAAUAACCUAACUCUCAGAACGUCUACAACCGAUGCUUCACCACACUAAGCAAGGAAUCGGAUGAUGUGCUCAUAAGUUGACACGCCCUCUUGUCCCAAAAAUUUGGGGAAAUAUGGAACUUUAAACCGAUUGGGGAGAGGGACUCUUUCAAACCACUCAGGAUAAGGCUGCCGAUACAAGCUUCCAGUCUCUUUUGGUUUAAGCCCGAAUUGUUCCCUCAUCACAUCAGCAAUCACAUGAGCCCAUGGUCGUUGCUGAGCUGCUCCUUGUGGCUGUUGUUGCAUGGGCUCGAACUGACCAUACUGAGAUGCGAACUGGGGCUGAGCCAAUCCCCCUGGCUGAUAUUAGGCUUGCGGGGAAGGAGGCUGAUAUUGAUAGCUCAAGUUACCCCCUUGGUAAUUAUGGAGAUUCGGCUGGAUGUUGCGCACCAAGUGCUCAGGAACCAUCUGAGGCAUUACUGUGCUGUCCGGCUGUGCAUGGUGAACCAAAUGCUCUGGGAUGACCUGAUUUACAAACUGUUGUACAGGCUGACCACCAGGUACUGCGAACCCGGCCGAUGCAUUUACUGACCCCGGGUGCUGAACCGGCUGAACGAUCUGCUGUCUCAACGGAGUCUGUUGGAUUGGCUGCUGAGGCUGCUGCCUUGGUGGUGUCUGCUGAAUCGGUUGCAGAGGCUGCUGCCUUGGUGCUGUUUGCUGAGCUGGUUGUACGACCUGUUGUUGGAUUGGUUGUACAACUGGUUGGAUUGUUGGUGUCUGCUGAAUCGGCUGCUGCUGCACUGGAUCAAUAAUAGGUGGAGGUGGCAGAAACAUGGCAACAACUUGAUCUUGAGUCGUCCAAUUCGCAAUCUGCCCAGUAGGCUGUGGAUGCUCCCUCAUUAACAACCGAGGGUUCAUCGUCUGGCUUGGCGCCAUAGCUGACAUAGCAGGCUAGGGAGUUGAUGCUGGCGCCAUCGGCUGAGUUGUGGGUGCAACAGAUGGAACUGCUUGAACAGAUGGCUAAACAUCGGUGAUCAAAGAUCGAUAAUUUGGGAAACACCUCCUUGCAAGUAAACUGGGCCUGUAGCCUGAUGCUCAGCUAUCGAACCAUCGGCUAUUGUCUUCAUCAUGUUUGAUAAUGUAUUGACUAAUACCCCGGACUGAUUGAUCAAAGCAUGAUGCACAGCGUAAUCGACCCGAUCUUGGAAGUUGUUGAAAAAAUCUUGUGCUAGUUCACUAUUCUGAUUAAGAUUUCCUCCUUGUGGCUCCUGAGCACCAUUACCUUGAAAGCCAUGAACUCCUUGAGAAUUGUCGCCUUAAUCGCUUGGGGAGCCGUCGGUAGCAAUUUUAGUACUCGGCUGAGCCGAGCCGCCUGGAGCUUGUUUCACUUCUCCAUCUUUAGAAGAACCGGUCCCAGGACUAUCAGCAACCACUUUUAUUUUAUACUUCUGAACUAGUGUCCCCUUGCGGGUCUGCAUGAAUGAGUUCAGGAACUGAUCCUGUGCUUGCUGCAGCGUUGCUUCAAACUCCUCCUUCUGCUCAGGCGUGAAUUUCUCUAGAUCGAUCGGCAUGACGUUGUCAUCUAUGAUGUCAGUCAAUCCCAGCUUCAAUGCCUUGUCUUUAACGGAACCUGGGCUAGAUGGUGGUGGCUGUUUCUCGGCCAUGAGGAAGAACUGACGUCUGAUUUCUUACAGGUCCCACUGGGCGUGCCAAAAGCGUGUUAAUAGAAAACACGUGGCCUGGGAGAUCUGCUUAACUCCAGUGCAGGUCCAAAGCUCGCCUUCGGAUGUGUUAGCGUGCCAGCUGAUUUGAUCCUAUAAUCAACAAGAAAUUGAAGCAAAGAAACCGUGGUUAAAUCUAUAAAUGAUAGCCGAUCGGCUAGAUGCCGAUGACAUACCAUUUAUCUUUGAGCCGAUGUCAUCUGUGUAUCGAUCGACAGUCAUGAAUAAGUAAAGAAGAACUAAAUCUACUCGAUUGGCUAUAGAUAUUAACGAUAUAUAUUCCUUAUAUCGAUAUAUACUUAAACCAAGUGAUUGGGAUAGAUCGGUCAACAUGCCGAGAUAGUAUAAAUCACUUAGAUCAAAAUAUAUAUCAAUAACAAGACUAUAUAUGUUUAUAGCGUAGCCGAUCAGAUAGAUCUAGCGUGUAUCGCCUAAUACUCCAAUACUACUCUAUAUCAGGAUGUUAAAGCAGGUAUAAAAUAUCAAACAAAGGCCUAACAUAUUUAGAUACAGCAAUAUCUUGAUAUAAAGGGCAGAUUUAACAUGUCAAUGAGGCAUAUAAAACAAAUAUAGUUAAAUCAGAUAAGAUCGGCUGAAACUCCGAUGCUAUUCUAAUAGGCAACUAGAGGGCAGGCUAGAGAUCGAUAUUCUAAGCACGACUUAAUAGAUCAAACUCAACUGAUACAGCAUUAAGUAUGAAAAGAAGAACGAUAUCUAGACAAUCAAGCCACUAGAAGUUUCAUAGAAUGGUAGAUAUCUCAUAUAAUCUAGAUCAACGUCAAGAUCUAACCUAAUCGGCUGCCUUUUGCAUACAAAUGUUAGCCGAUAGUAGGUUAGAUAGCGAUAUCGCUAGAGAUUAUACAAGAUAUAUGAUAACUCAACGAAUUACAUAAACAAGAUUAGAGUAUCAUGAAGAUGGAAGCACUAAUCCUAAGAACACAAUCCGUCAUAACGAAUUUUACCUCUUGUUGAAGAUCGAAACCGAUGCAGCUCAACCCAAAAGCAAGAACUCGUCGAAACAAAACUAAAGCAAAAAAGGGUGGCGAUGCGCCGAAAUUGUAUUGAACGUGUGUGUUAAAAAUUAUAUAGGGCUCGGGGUCUAUUUAUACCCGAGAAUUACAAGAUAUACCCAUACCGGACACGACUAUUAUCUCUAACAAACUCUAAGAUACCAUAAGUCUUUGCGACAGACUUUUGCCCACAUUUAUCUAUAAGGAAUUUACAUAAGAUAUCCUAAUUAACAGAUACAAUUGCCUUCCCAGGACUCUAUCUGCGUGUGGCAAUCAUCUUGAAGUACAUUAACUUGAACCCGAUGUCGCGUACAAGUCGUAUUGUCGGAAUCGGCUGUAUCGACUUAUUUAGCCCGACUCAGACCCAAACGAUCCUAACCAUAGCCGAUCUGGACUCCGGCCGAUUCCUGCUCUGUUUCCGAACUCGAUCUCCGCCUCCGACUUCGCUUUGAUCCAAUCCUCUUUCCUGACACAGAUGUUACCAAAGUUGGUUGUUAACAGGUAUAGAGUAGUAUUUAAUAAUGUAAGCAUGAUGCUUAGAUUAUUAAGUAUCAUUAAUUGGGAAUAUAUGCUGCGGGACAGUAGAGGUGGGCCGCCGAUGGUGACAGCUCAGUACAGGUAUUCCUCCACGUUAGUAUAUAUUCCUAAUACAAUUUCCUAGGGAGGGUACUCCUCCGUAUUUAGCCCCGAUUGGACGGCCAUGACAGAUUGUCGUAAGAAACUCGGCAACCCGGAAUGGUCUCUCGAAGUACCAAGAGGAUACUGUUUGGGGUAAUUGCCACAUAAUUGUACAUUAGUAGAUGUAAGUUAGGAUUUGAGUGUAUGCUAGAAGUAUAGAAUUGAGUGCUUUCUAUUUCUUCUUCCACUUAGUAGAAUUAUUCGUUAUGAGGAUUGGAUAGCUUUGCUUCAUGUCACUCUACCCUUAUAUUAUACUUAACCCUUGUUUAGGCUCUGACAAUUAUAAGUAAUAUAUGUAUAAAGUGCAUUAGUAAAGUUCACUCUUAUUAUCUUCCCUUAAGAUUAAAAAUAAGAUACAUUGGAAUACUUCCAGGUGAAAUACUACAAUGAUAUAUCUGUGCACUUGCGGAUUAAUUCUGUAACCAUAAAUAUACCAGGACUAUUUCUGGCGCCAUUGCUAGAAUGACUAUUUCUAGUAAUAUCAUUAAGAAAUACCAAUAGUCGAGGACAUCCACGCUUGGCACCCGCGCCGCCGUUGUGCUAACCCAUCUACCCCAUGCCCUCGGUCUUUGGCCCCGUCCCCAGAGAACCUCGUCCACUAGCUCCUGAUCCCAUGCACCUCCAACGUUCGGCUUCUCAUCAACCUGUUCGGGAGUAGGGGCAUGGGAGACGACGAUCGAUGAGACGAUGAAGCGGCGGCGGCGAUGUUGGAUUCUGGUAGCGGCAGUCUACGAGCUCCAACUGCUCCGGCCAUCUCUAGAUUCGGAAGGAAACCUAGCAGCGAGAAGCUCAUGUCGGUGCAAGGGAUGGCCAGAAGCAUGUCCGCCCGGAGAAUCGCCGGCCGCUCUGCCAUCGAGAGAGAUGGUAAUAGGGACCAGUCGUCUCGAGUGCACCGCAGGGAGAAGAGGCCUAGUACUCAUACCGUGCAUUUUCCAUCCACGGAGAACGAUCAGAAUCGCACAUGAUGUGGAUGAUGUAUGACUUACGAAAAAUCGAAAUCGAGCGCGGACAGUAAUCUGGCUUGGACAAAGACGACGUACGAAAUUUAUACAGCAAAAACAUUUUCAAUUUUUAUAAUAGAUAGAGAUUUAGGGUAUUCAUGAAUCCUGAUCAGUUUUUUACUACUAUUGAAGAGUCUGCUCUCAUCUACACCUGGCGCCCGACAGAAGAGGUUAUAAUGUACAUUUCUAUUGCACAUAAAUCAAUGAAUGAACGUAUCAGCUACAUGGAUAGACAAAGAAGGAGAAUUAUGGGGUUGUUUUUCUCUUGUCAUGGACGAUUCUAGUGCUUCUGGAAGGUCACCAUGCAGAAGAAUGCCACGCAGCGGAAAACUAUACCAUUGGCAAUAAGAACCACUAUGCAAAGAGCCUUGUCGUUGAUGUCAUAGCCGCUCUUGACCAGCGAACCGCACCGUGUAAUCAGCCACACCCCGGAGUAGCUGCGACAAGAGACAGAAACAGUUUGAGUAGGUUAGACUUUCAAAACCAAAAGGAUUAAUUGCAGUGUCUAUUGACUUCAGAUUUUGAGCAAAGGGAUAAGACGUACUUUUGAGCAUUUGCCAUCACAAACCCUUCUAGAGCCCACUUUGUGUAGCACAGGUCAGCAAAGAAAGUGUUCUUCCGCUGAGUUGCUAUCAGAGUCAAAACGACCGGAAGCAGCGCAGACCACUGCACAGAAAUUAAGCAUGAGGAUGUAUAGCUUACCACAAAAAUGUGCAUCGUGAAUUCUAUCUUUGUUCUACUGGAAAUUAAUCCAGCCUGCAUACAAGUACAUCUACAACACUCACCAACUGUGCAGAGCCUGGCUGAAAGAAGAUGGCGAAAGUGUAGCCGAUGCCAGUGACGCAGUAGACGAGGGCAACAAGAAUGACGUAGUUCUCCCAGAUGGAUGACCUGGGGUUGUUGAAGAAGUAGAACAUAGAGAGGUAGACUAUGGGCUUGACGAUGGUGUUGAGGUGGUCUAUGGUGUCCUUGGACAUGAAGUAGGCGAGAGAGCUCAUCCCGGAGGCCCUCUCCCUCCAAUAGUAUAUCUUGUCAAGCGCGAAUGAUCUCAAGGCUCCAAUUUUGCACAGCAGAGCUGCACCAUAUUAGACUCAACUUUAGCUUCAAAGAAAAUACAAGCUUUGCCAAGCUCCAAACUCCAAAGAGAAGAUAAGCCGUACCACCAUUCGUGGAUUGAAAAUUUUGAACAAAAAUUAAGUUAUUUAUAAACACUAAUUAUCGCAUGAAAUUCAAAUAUCUGCCUUUCCCAAUUUAUGCCUACAAUAAACAGUUUUUUAGUCAAUAUUUUUUAUGUUUGACUUAGUUUAUAGAAAAAAUUUAGCAACAUUUAUAACACUAAAUUAGUUUCAUUAAAUAUAUCAUAGGAUAUAUUUUCAUAGUACAAUUUUUGUUUUGUGUUUUAUAUGUUGCUGUCUUUUUCUUAUAAACUUAGUCAAACUUUCAAAACUUUAACUUAAAGAAGUCAAAACAUCUCACAAUAUGAAGCGUAUUGAUUAUUUUGUAAUGUGCCAUUUAUUUGUUACCCACAGUACUAAAUAAAAUUAUUAAGGGUAAAAUAGUUGUAUAUGGAUAAUAUAGUUAUUGCUUAGUUUUGUACGUAUAGCAAAAAUAAUAUCAAUUAAAAGAGAACCAGAGAGGACUAAUACUUACAAACAGCAAUGACUGUGUAUGUGUAUCCAAGCGCUCCAAACGUCUCGUCACUGACUUUGGCCAGUGUCCCCAGGCAUAUCCCGGCAAGGCAGAGUAUGAGGUAAUCAACCCCUUGUAUUCUCGCUUCACGGAGCCUUUGCUUGCCACACCUAAAGGAGACGACGAAGAGAGAUGCAAUAGGCAUUAGAGAUAGGCACUGGCAUCUAUUAGAGCUAAAGAAAAAAUUCAGAUAAAGGAAACUCUAAGCAUAUAGAGACAGAGAAGAGAUUACCUUCCGAGGAAGUACCUGUACUGCCUAAGAAUGCCAGGAGUGCAGCGGUUCGACAAAUCUUCAGUGCUCUUGUUGUAGUCAUACUCGUCCUUCUUCUGGCCGACGAUGUCCUUGACGUUGCCCCAUACCUCGGCCGCGACGGAGGCAUCGCCGGAGGCCGGGCUCGUGCUCCCUCGGAAGGAGGACUCAGAGUCGGAGGAGCUCUGCAGCAUGUCCCGGGGGACGUCGUAGCCAUUGUGCAGCAUCCACCUGAGCGGCAGGUCCUUGACGCUGACGCCGGCGCUCAUGGUGGGCUUGACGAUGCCCUCCAGGAUGUCGAUGUAGUAGUCCGGCGGAUUCACUCGCUCCGGCACGGUGAUGCCCAGCCCCGUGAAGUACUCCUCCACCUUCUUCACAGGCCCAUGGUACACCGUCAUCCCUCCCUUGGCUAGAAGUAUCAGGUCGUCGAACAUCCUGUACAGAGUGUAGCUGAAUUGCACCAAAAGCCACCAUUAAUAAAUUGUUUAGCUCGAGGCCAUGAUUUCUUGGUUGAGAGUCGAUCUCAACACCAACCUGGGUUGAUGAACAACCAUGGAGAUGUUGACGCCCUCGAGAGCUUCACGGCGAAGGGCGCGGAGCAGGAGGAGGGAGGAGGCGCUGUCCAGACCGGACGUUGGCUCAUCCAGAAUCAGCACCGAUGGCUCCAUCACCAUUUCCAGGCCAACAUUGACUCGCUUGCGCUGCCCACCGGAGAUGCCGCGCUGUUCCACUGUCCCGACCAGAGAAUCUCGAACAGCCUGCAGUCCCAGUGACUCAAUCACCCUCUCCACGACCAGCACCUUGUCAGCUUUCGACAUGUCUGCUGAAAGCCUGGAAUUGUGGAACUGCAGGUCAAUGCUUCCAAUCGCUCCUCCGUUGAAAAAUAUAAGAAACACAUAUAUUUGCAAAACUCAACAUUUGUAAUACUCAAGUAGUAUUACAACUGAUGGAGGGAUGAAAAUUAAGUGCACACGCAAAACGAGGCAAGUUAUAUGCAUAUGUUUAAUUGAGUUCUAAUUAUUGAAAAUUUGAAAAAAUAUUUUAUUCGAUUUUUUAUAGCGGCUUCUAUGUAGAAAGUUUUCGCACAAAACAAACCAUUUAACAAUUUGAAAAACGUGUUAAUGAAAAUCGAGGAAAAAUAUGCUUGUUGGAGUUUAGACCAGGAGCGUAGUAGCAGUUAAGCUAACAUGUAAGUUUUCAGUGCCAUACUAGUAGUAGGUACAGAUAAGUUUAAAUGUGAAAGCAAUUUUAUAUGAAUUUAAUUCAGUAGUCAUCAAUAAUAAUAUUAUAUGAAAGAAACUAGCAAUUGAAAAGGUUUACAUUAAAGACUAUCAAAAACUAAUACGACAUCUUAUAUUUAUCAAAGGAAUUGAUGGAUACUAGCAAGGUUAAAAGGCUCAACAUUUUUGUUUGGCAAAAUGAGUCAUCAAACAACAAGUACCUGCAUCUUGCAUUGAACCAGAGAUUUUCUUGGACGGUGAGGUUUCCAUGAACGAUAUCAUCCUGGGGGACAAAGCCAAUGAUCCUCUUAUACGCGCGGAUGGGUUCUACCUUCCCAUUGAUGAGCACCAUGCCUGACGUCUCGCAGCCAGUCGCCUUCCCGGCAAUGGCGCUGAGAAACGUGGUCUUCCCCGCGCCAGAUGGGCCCAUCACGGCGGCCACACGGCCAGGCCUGAGCUUCCCUGUCACGGACCUCAAGAGCUUCUUCUUGCUCCCCUUCAGCGUCAGCGUAAGGUCCUUGAAGGCGAUCUCGAUGACGGGCCUCGUGCUGACGUCGUGCUCCUUGGCCAUGCUGAUCACGCCUGAGAAGGUCAGGUUGUGGUUCUCCUGCUGCAUCGCCUUCUCCUUCUCGAUCUGGCCAUACGCAUACUUGAAGAUCUGGCUCCGGCUGUGCAUCUGCUUCCCUUUCGGCAUGUUCUUCCUCAGGCCCUUGUCUCCUAUCUCCAGGUUAAAUCCUUCAUCGUUAUCCGGGUUGUCCUCGAGCGACUGCAUCAUGUCGGUCAGGUUCUUCUUCCUCCCGCCCCCAUCUUCUCCGCUUGGAGGCAGGCUGCUGCCGCCGCCGCCACCACCUUUCGGUGUCUGGGCAGCCUUCUUCCGUGAGAAGGUGCGAGACAAUUGUGACUGAAGACCCGUUCCGGCUUUCUUGGCGACAUCCUUUGCUGAUUUCCACCUCUCUCGAGCUUGCGCAGUCUCUCUCGCAUACCUUGCAGCAGCCUCUCGGGAUUUUGCUUGCUUCUUCUCGCGGUUCGUCAAAAUUUGGCCGGAGAAGUUGUAGAUGAUCAGGAGCACUAAACAGGAGGCAACCUACACAACAGUACGAGGAAACAGAAAUUCAUAAUUACUUCUUCAACCUAUAUAUUGCAUGCUACAGGUCAGCCGUAAAUUAAUUACCACUAACAAUGCACCAAAUAUUGUAAUGUCCUGUGUAGCAGAGUUUGGUGGACAAGAGCUCUUCUUGUAGCAUCCUGAAUCAAUAAGCAACCGCAUUAUUUGAUGAUUGAAUUGAUGAAUUGUCAUACACAAAAACAAGAAAAAGAAAAAGAAGAACUGACGCUCAGGAUUCCAACAAUCUAAGGUGAAGUGGACUUACUAGUUUGUGAGGUUGAUCCCUUCCUGCAGUAAAACCUGCAACACGAUUCCUAACCUCUUAGAAUUUGGAUAAAAGCAAUACUGAAGCCUUUUCACACGAAAAGAUUAAUUUGUUUCGAGGUAUUACUUGAAUAAUUUAUCAAAAUAAAACAAAAAACUAGAUAGAUAGGAUUACCCACUACUACAAGGGAGUUUCUGUGUCGUGCUCGGGCAGUAGAAUCCAGGUGGGCAGAAAAUAUCGUCAGUGCUAACCACGUCUGCCCAAUUGUCAGCACCACCGCAAGAAUGAUUCGGAUUUCCAGCGGGUGGUUGAUAGUUGUAUCUGAAAUUCAUCUUCAUUGUUACUAGCAAAUAGCCUUCAAUUUAAUCAUCUGGAUAUAUGCAAGAGUAUUAACGACGUCCAACAUACGGGUCACAGAUGCCUGUAGUUUUGUUCAAGCUGGACAGCGGGCAGUAUGCACCCAGAGGGCAAGCUGCAGGUAACAGCAACAAAUAGAAUCAUCACAGGCCCAUUGUUGACAUUCAGUAGCAUGAUAAGAUAUUGUAGGAAAACAAUUCGAUAGACUGAAAUGUGGAAAUACAAAUCGAAACAUCCAAGGAAAUAUUCUGAUUUCUGAAUAAUCAAAUAUUUGUGAGAAAUGUACAUUUACUUCCUCUAUUCUAAAUACAAGUAUUUCUCGGUUGUUUAAGAAAGAUUUUAAGAUGAAGGGUCAAAUUUCGGAUUUUGAAUUGCUUGGAUUCCCAUUAUUGGAAUAAAAUAUGUACAAAAAUUUGAAUUCCAGAAAUGGUUAUAUUUGGGAUCGGAGGGAGUAGCUAGAGCUAGGCGUGGGAACUCACGUAUCAUGCAAGUGAGACCAUGGGGGCAGAAGAAGCCAGGGCAACAAGCUUGGCAGUCAAGAGCUCUGUAAGGGAUAUCCUUAGCAUCCUGCAGAUUGAUUUUCUGCUCUUUUCCAACAGUGCAUGCCCAGCCCGGCUCGCAGCCGUCCAUCCAGGAUGACAGAUUGCAGUUUUUGUUGGGCCUGACAUAAUUAAUCUCCCCGCUCUUCUCCCCGGCGUCGAUCAAACUGUUGAAGUAGAACUUCAUCUCUGCGGCUGUGCAGACACGCUGCUGCAGGUCUCCUGCUCAUUUUGGUCAGCGUGAUGCGUCAUGCAUCAUCUCACGAUCGAGGCCAAGGCGAUGUAGUAUGUGGUUAUCAAAUGCUCCUCAAACAGAUGAUAAUUUGAAGCUGCGUUUUGCUUAAGCAAGCAUGCAUACCGUUGGUCUGCUUCAUGCAAUUGGUGAGGAAGGUGGUGUCCUUGGAGAAAUUGAACGCAGCAUUCCACUCCUUGUCGCUGUAAACGCAAACAGAGCUAGAGAUCGGAAAUUGAGAAUCGAAAAGCGCUGCGGUGGGAGGGACGGAGGGAUGAUUGACGGGGUGGGGGUGACUGACGUGUCCUUGAUGCAGUAGUCGAGCUUGUCGCCAAUAGCCUUGGCAAAGGAGGAGGUAAGCGCCUUGAGACGGUCGUUCAUGACCCCGGCUACGAUGGGACUCCCGGCGAUGGUCUUCGCCCCUUUAUCCCCCGCCGUGCCUCCGAUCCCAUCGUCGUAGUCGCUGGCGAUCUCCUGGAGGAAGAGGCGUGGCACUUCGUUGGCCCGCGCGGGUGCUGCGGCGACGGAGAGGAGCAGCAGCGUGAGGGCCGCGCCGACCAGCUGCGCCGCCACAGAGGCCAUGGCGACGACGGGAUCAGUCUCGUAGAGGAACGGUGGUGGUCGCCGCAGGCAUGGGGGUGGUGGAGGAGGGCGGAGGUAGUGGACGGAGAGGAGAAAUAGGAGGGCAGAGAAAGCGGGGGAAGACGAUGGUCGGAGGAGGAAAAAGCACAGGAAAGGAGGACGAAACGGAUGGUCAGGACAGCCGGACAAGCACAAAUUUUGACAAUUUGACCCUUUAAAAAAACAAAUUUUACAAAUGAACCGCCGCUAAAACUUAUAUUAAAAAUAACCAUUUUGUUCAGCGCCAAAUCAUCUGGUGCUGAACUUAGACACCUCAGCGCUAUGUCAACUGGCACUGAAUGCCGUGCCACCGCGGAUGGGAGGCUAAGUCAGCAUGCCAACACACAUUCCGCGCCACGCUAUAUGGCGCCGAGGUGUCUAAGUUCAGCUCCACACGAUUUGGCGCUGAACAAAAUAGUCAUUUUUUAAAUAAGUUUUGGCGGCAGUUCAUUUGUAAAAAUAGUCUUUACAAAGGGUUAAAUUGUCAAAAUUUGUGGCCGGAUAGGGGUGGCCUAUGGUCCAAGUGUUCAGAUGGCUCAGAUGCUGUGACGGACACGUGGAUGGUUGGAUGGAUGCUUUGGAAUUGGUUCUGUCGACUAUGUGUAGGAUCGGGGAAAAAGUACACCGAAGGUCCCUCAACUUGUCAUCGAGUUACAAAAUCAUCCCUCAACCGUAAAACCGGAUACGACGUAUCCCUUAAGUUACAAAAUCAGUGCAAACUAGGUCUCUUGGCGGUUUUGACUCCGGUUUUAUCCGACGUGGCAGCUGACUCAGUGUGGGUCCCACACGUUAGCCUCUUAUUCCUCCCCCCUCCACCUCUCUCCUCUCCUCUGAUCCUCUCCACCUGGCGACAGGGGAGCAGCUGGGUGCGUUCGCCGCGGCGUGGCAGCCGAAGUCGCAGAGGAGGCACGAGUGCCACGCGGGAGGCAGCCAGCUUGUCGGUGGCGUGGAGGAGCGAGGCCGACGCGAUGACCGUGGCGGCGAGCUCACGGGCGUUGGCCUGGAUGAGGAGGCGGCGACUGACCGUCGAGCACGAAGCAGCGCACGCUGUAGCCCUCUUGCAGGCAGUGCCCGAGCUCCCGGAGCGCGUCCACGUGUCCCAGCGACGCCGCUCGCGCACAGCGCUGCCCUGGCGCAGAGGUCGCGGUCCGGCCACCACGCCCUUCCGCUUCCUCCCUCCACCGCCAUUGUCGCCGCCACGGGCACCCUGCCGGCACAGAACGCACAUGACCUCAACAACAGGAGAAGGGGAAGCAAACGGAGAUAGGGAGAGAGAUAGGGCAGCAAGGAGAGGCGGCGGCGGCGCCAUGGCUGACGCGGGGCGGGAAGAUGGCGUGCGAAGAGGAGGGUGGUUCGUUCCGGUGGGUUUCCCCUGAAGCCGCUCUCGGCGACGGCGAGCAGCUAGCUCAAGACCAGUAUGAUCUCUCAAGAUCACGAGCUCUCACAGGGAAUCGAGUGUGUUUGGGUCGUUUGUGCCGUGCCAAGCGGGAGCGGAGGGAUGCAGGGCACAACGACGACCAAGGCCGGGCGCAAUGGCUUCCGCACCGGCGCCGGCGUGGAAGGCCCCAGCGUGACGAGGGCGACUGACUGGAGGGGCGACGCCACCGUGGCAGCCCGCAAGGUCGGGACAUGCGCGGCAUGUCGGGUGUGGAGGCCAAGGACUCCCUGACCAUCGUCACGCUGCAGUCGCCAGUCACCGUCGAGUGCCCCGUCCACGACGACCUCGAGGAGCACAUCCCCAAGCCAUGUAAGAACAAAUGCGAUACCUUCUAAUUUGAGCAUAUAUUCUUCAUGGUUGAAUACUUGAACUGCAAUACAAUUAGCUCAAAAUGCGUCUCUCGUUGCAUGAACGUGUCCCACGCAUCGAUGAGAUCAAUGACGGCAUAAAGCUAGCUACCUCGCCGUCAUCAGCGCCACUCCUGACCCGCCCGCACGCGGCUCCUCCCACUGCCGCCCAUGCCCCACUACUCCGCCUCCUGCCGCCGCUCGCGCCUGCUUCCACCUCCGCGCCCAUCGCCGCGGCGCUUGCCUGCACCUGGCCCAUCGCCGCCGCGUCGCGAUGCCACCUUGCCGCUCGUUUCCUGCCUCGCCCCGCCGGCGGCCCACACGAGGGGAGCGGGGAGGCCGGCUAGCUCGCGCCGACCGCACCACCCUCUGGCGGCGCGCGCCACUGUGGGCGGCAGCCCUAGCGCCGUCCCUGUGCAAGAGCAGAGAGCGAGAGGAAGGAGAGAAACAGAGGAAGAGAAGAGGGGAAAAGUGAGUAGGUGCUGACGGGGACACCCUGAUGUGUGGGGCCCGCGUGGGUCCCACGCUGAGUCUGGUACCACGUCGGACAAAACUGGAGUCAAAACCGCCGAGGGACCUAGUUUGCACUGGUUUUAUAAGUUAAGGGAUGCGUUGUAUCCGGUUUUGCGGUUGAGGGACGAUUUUGUAACUCGAUGACAAGUUGAGGGACCUUCGGUGUACUUUUUCCUAGGAUUGGUCUAGUGGCGUUCGCAGCCCGCGAACGCUUUCAGCCCAGCCCAACAUCUCUCCACCUUAUCUUUUCCAUCUAUCUUAUGUCUUACUCUCCUCUCUCGCAGUCGUUCUUUUCCUUCUCUCCACUUGAGCGACAACAGCGACGACGACCGGUGAGCCACCCGCCUAUCCCAUCCAACGAGCCCCCUCCUCCACCAACUUUUCCGGCGUGCCCCCAUCCACCACCUCCUCCCUUUGACGAGAUCGUCGGGCAACUAGGUCAACUCUUUCUUUACCGCCACCCCCCUAUACCAUGUCGUUGCCCCGCCUUCCAAUAGGCGUCAAUGUGCUGGCGUGGCCCCGCUUGGCUGACUUCCUCCCCCUCCCCUUCACCAUGCUUUGUGCCCGCCACCAACACCGGCCACCGCCCACUGCCGACCCCGCGGCUCCGGCAGCGCCGCCGCGGCCUCACCGUCCACCCUUGUCCGCCACCCACUGCAUGUCGGCCGCCUCCUAGGCCAUCAUUCUAGGCCCAAAUCCACCACUUCCCCCUCCCAAGCGCCACCCUCCCCCCCCCCCCCCACACCCCCACCCCCGAAACCCUAACCCUAUCCCCUAGCCUUCAUCACUAUGCAGUUGGAAACCCGGCCGCGAAAUACCUAGUUCGCACAUGUUCAUGAACUAGCCUUUCCGCUGUGUGUAUCCAGCAUUCAGGGGUGACCCGAGAAUCUGCUCGGCUUGUUUACGAAGUUGGGCUCCACCUUCAUGUUUUUACUCAUGAGCCUAUGUUUAUUGAAAACAAUUAGUGGGCCUGUAGAUCAUCUAUUGUUAUAACCAAGAUCAAAGACCGAGUUAAUAUCAAGGACGAGACUAUGGAUUGGACACUCAAAAAAGGAAAAAAAAAUCAAGCACUCGCCCUCCUUCUCAGUUGUUUGAUGCAUGCACUCUCUUAUAUACUCUAUGUGUCACAUGCUUUCCCUCACAGUCUCUACACACUGUGUAUGUACUCAUGAUCCCUCUUUCUCUCUACACACCAACAUUUGCUUGCAUGCAUGCAUGAAGCCAUUUUUCUCCUACGUUACUUAUCCGAUUGUUCAAUAGUAUUCAUUGCAAUUAAAAUCUUUAUAGCAACUUAUCAUAUUAUUGUCAAACAAUGAAACAAUGCUAAAUUCCAAUUGAAACAUUUAUAUAUCACACAUAAAAACUGUUAACACCUUUUCUGGCCAACACAGAUUCACCUAAUGAUUUUGCGGUGUUAACAGAGUAGCCAACCACCUCAACCGAGAAAAGCUCUCGAUCAAGAUCGGUUUAGAAAAGAUUAAGCUGACUAGCAAAGCUGAUAUGGAGAUCAAACCAACCUAUAGUCUAAUUUAGAACGAUACAGGGAUAAGGGUUACGGCUGGAAAAACCAUAUGUUUACAGGCCACGGAAAUCUCUCGUACUCUCCAAAGAGAGGUGAGGCGCUUACGCUUCAUAUGAGACUUAAUGAAUUCACUACAAGAGAUCUUAUGAUAGAUGACGCUUCACUUACAUCACGAAUAUUGAAUUUUUCGUCACGUUUCGUAAUCUGUGACGCUCGCGUGAUGAAAAUUCAUUCGUCACCUAUCAUGCGUCUCUAAUGGUAUUCUAUGACGAAACCUUAUUUUUUCGUCAUUAAUCUAGUGACGAUCCUUCCGUUGUCAUAUAGUCUAUGACGCUCGUGUUCGCCAUUAUCUAAGCUUGAGAACGUCACAAAAUAUUGUGUAUCCUAUCUAGGUCCAUGUAGUGAGCAGCCUAUUUAUGGGCUGAGCCCAAUUGCAAGCCGAAUUAAAUUAAGGCUUGGCCCAUUUGAGGUGUAGCACUUUGCAAAAACUUUUCGGCCCAGUUGCAUUAUAUCCAUUUGCAUUAAGAUCAAAUAAUAAGUGGGCCAAGCCAAUUUCUAAAGCCCAUAUAGGCCCAAGCAUUAUACGAAAUAACGGCCUAGUAGGCCCAUAUAUCACAAAGGUUAUACAAGACCAGUUAACAUCCAAUAUACCACAAGCCCAAUAACAUACAUACAUGCAGGUUCACUGACCAAAACUCAGUGAUCAAAACAGGUUCUUAUACAAGUGCAUUGACAAUAGCAAAAUAAACAAGUUUGGUGCAUCACAAAAACCGAUCUUGUUGCAGCAAAGGCACUCCUUGAAAAGAUCAACUGCAGUGGGUGGCACGUCUUCAUACUUAAUUUGCUUCUGAAAUUACAUGCAGACAGUUUGUAAAUACAACAUGACAUCGUCUCCCAAAGUUUUUUCAUAUGCACAAGUGCUAAAUACAACAUGCCAUCGCUGUAAAGUUCUCCUAUCCACAAUAUAUCAUCCAAUGUGUCAAUGACAUAUGGCUGCUAGGUGCACACCCAUAAUGUCAGGACCACGACAAGGGAUUAUGUAGUUAAAAUACACUUGGCUACAUAAGAAUAGAGGGUGAUGGAACAAAAGUUUUACUAACUCCUCAAAAAUGCAUGUCUAGUUUUAGUGGCCAAACAUAGCAUUUAGGUACAGCUCAUACUAGUAAAACAGAUCAAAGAAACUUAUGUACAAAGUGUAUCGAUAACAAUUUUCUCAUUUAUCAAAUAACAGUAAAUAAAGGAACUAGCACAUUUUUUCUAUCUUACCACGACUUGGGAAUGCAGAAUGUAGCACCAAGAGUAAGUCCUUUGCUGGUAUCAAACAUUAUCACGGUUAAGUUUGUUUUUCAGGCACUUGUCCUAUAGGGAAGCAAAUGUUGGAAUUAAUGAAUGGGCCUUAGCCCACUCGAAGAUUAAUUCUUUGGAAAAUCACAAAAGCCCACCUCAUGGGAUGGCAUGCAUGUGGAGUUUAGUACCACCUUGCUUAUUCUAGGAGAGGGGGACCUCCUUAAAAGGGAGGAUGCCCUCCUAGUCGCUUGAAGCAUGUGUGGUGGAGAGAAGAGGGGAAACACACGCGCGCGCUCGCCUGGCCGGGCCGGGCAGGCGGCGCGCGUGCACGACGUACGCGUCGAAUGGUCCGAAAAAUUGGCUCCUCACCCUUGCGCAGAUGCAGCCUCCUUUUGCAGUUUUGUUUUGUUGCAAAUUCGGAUUCAUUUUUGUUUUGGAAACGUUCCGAAAGAUCCGGUGCGUGCAAACGGCGUUCCGAAAGAUCCGGUGCGUGCAAACGGCGUGGAGUCCGGAUAAGUUACGCGCGACUUAUCCGGUUCGGUUACGCGCAGUAGAGAUCGUGCGGGCGCCCUGAUCAAGCGACCCUUCUCUAUAUAAACCGACCUGCCGUCUUCACGCAACAUACGCAAAAUCAAUCUAGGGUUUGCUUCCUACUCUGUACUGCGCCGUCGCUCGUAGACUACUCCAUCCCGCUCGCCGGCGUGCACCGGCGAUCGGGAGAGCAGGUCUCCGGAACCUCUACCUUCGACGUUCUGCACCGGGAGAAGGCGGCAAUAAGGUUUUUGGGAAGCGCUUCGCGCGACUGCUCCCUGUUCGUUCGCGACGGCUCGCCUUCCUCUUCGCUCGCGUGUUUCGUGCCUUCGUAGACACUUGCGAAAAGUUUCGACCAAGAAGCCGGUCUUUCCGUCACCUCGGUACGUGUUCAAUAUGUUGCGCAUAUUUGAUCUGUUCAUGUUAUACUGUGUAGUUUACAUGUGUAGAUCUAAUGAUGCGUUCAUGCUAGUUUUCAUCUGUAAUGUCAUGAUUUAUUUAUGGAAUAGAUUAAAUCAUUAUAUGUCUAUAAUCUCAACAAUCCAAAAACCUUAUUAUAGGCACUGUGAUUUUACUAUGGCUGGUUUUGCCGAUGCACUGAGGCCGGAUAAAUUCACCGGUGUGCAUUUUAAGAGAUGGCAGAUCAGGGUCACUCUGUGGCUGACAGCUAUGAAAUGCUUCUGGGUGAGUACUGGCAAACCUGAAGGAGUUCUUACUGCUGAACAGCAGAAGCAAUUCGAGGAAGCCACUACUCUCUUUGUGGGAUGCAUUCUUAGCGUUCUUGGCGAUCGUCUGGUCGAGGUGUAUAUGCAUAUGACCGACGCUAAGGAGUUGUGGGAUGCACUGAAUACUAAAUUCGGUGCUACUGAUGCUAGCAAUGAUCUGUAUAUCAUGGAGCAGUUUCAUGACUACAAAAUGGCUGACAACCGUUCUGUAGUCGAACAGGCUCAUGAGAUACAAACCAUGGCUAAGGAACUCGAACUCCUUAAGUGUGUCUUACCCGACAAAUUUGUGGCCGGGUGCAUUAUUGCAAAACUACCUCCAUCUUGGAGGAGUUUCGGUACUGCACUCAAACACAAGAGACAGGAAUACUCCGUUGAGGGGUUGAUUGCGUCUCUUGAUGUUGAGGAGAAAGCUCGGGAAAAAGAUGCCGCGUCUAAGGGCGAUGGUGGGCAGUCCAGUGCCAAUGUUGUGCACAAGGCCCAGAACAAGAGCAAGGGGAAAUACAAAGCUCAGCAGACCACCAACUUUAAGAAGCAGAAGAAGAACAAGAACAAUCCUAAUCAGGAUGAGAGGACUUGCUUUGUGUGUGGCCAAGUUGGUCAUCUGGCUAGGAAGUGUCCACAGCGCAAGGGGAUGAAGGCACCUGCAGGGCAGACUUCUAAGUCUGCUAAUGUGACCAUUGGCAACACUGGAGAUGGAAGCGGGUAUGGUAAUUUACCUACUGUUUUUUCAGUUAAUCAAUCUACUAAUUGGUGGGUUGAUACUGGGGCCAAUGUACAUGUUUGUGCUGACAUCUCAUUGUUUUCUUCUUAUCAGGUCGCACGGGGUUCCACCGUCCUAAUGGGGAAUGGGUCACAUGCUUCUGUUCAUGGUGUUGGCACGGUAGAUCUGAAGUUUACUUCGGGAAAGAUCGUGCAGCUGAAGAACGUGCAGCAUGUCCCUUCUAUCGACAGGAAUCUUGUUAGUGGCUCCCGUCUGACUAGAGACGGAUUUAAGUUGGUUUUUGAGUCUAAUAAAGUAGUCGUGUCUAAACAUGGAUAUUUUAUUGGUAAAGGUUAUGAGUGCGGAGGCCUGUUCCGCUUUUCCCUUUCUGAUUUCUGCAAUAAGUCUGUGAACCAUAUUUGUGGCAGUGUGGAUGAUGAGGCUAAUGUUUGGCAUUCACGUUUAUGUCAUAUUAAUUUUGGCUUGAUGUCUCGGCUUUCCAGCAUGUGUUUAAUUCCUAAGUUUUCCAUUGUCAAAGGUUCUAAGUGCCAUAGUUGUGUGCAAUCGAAGCAACCUCGCAAGCCUCACAAGGCUGCCGAGGAGAGAAACUUGGCAUCACUAGAACUCCUACAUUCAGAUCUUUGUGAAAUGAAUGGGGUGUUGACGAAGGGUGGAAAACGAUAUUUCAUGACAUUGAUUGAUGAUGCUACUAGAUUUUGCUAUGUGUACUUGUUGAAAACGAAAGACGAGGCUCUAGACUAUUUUAAAAUUUAUAAGGCAGAAGUUGAAAAUCAACUUGACAGAAAGAUAAAAAGGCUUAGGUCUGAUCGUGGUGGAGAGUUUUUCUCGAACGAGUUUGACUUAUUCUGUGAGGAACAUGGCAUCAUACAUGAGAGGACGCCUCCCUAUUCUCCCGAGUCUAAUGGGAUUGCUGAAAGGAAGAACCGCACACUGACUGACUUGGUGAAUGCCAUGUUGGACACCGCGGGACUGCCUAAGGCAUGGUGGGGGGAGGCAUUGUUGACCUCAAAUCAUGUGUUAAACAGAGUUCCUAACAGAAAUAAGGACAAAACACCAUAUGAGAUAUGGAUUGGUAGAAAAUCAUCACUUUCUUAUUUGCGCACAUGGGGGUGCUUGGCGAAAGUCAAUGUACCAAUAACGAAGAAGCGCAAACUUGGACCUAAGACUGUGGACUGUGUUUUUCUGGGAUAUGCUCAUCAUAGCAUUGCCUAUAGAUUUUUAAUAGUUAAAUCCGAGGUACCGGGCAUGCAUGUUGGUACAAUUAUGGAGUCUCGUGAUGCUACCUUCUUUGAGAGCUUUUUCCCAAUGAAGGAUACACAUAGUGGUUCGAACCAACCCUCUGAAAUAAUUCCCAGUUCAAUCACACCACCAGAACAAACUGAACAUACACAUGAACUUGUCUCUGAGGAGGAUGUCAGUGAAGCUCCUCGAAGGAGUAAGAGACAAAGGACGGCUAAGUCUUUUGGUGAUGAUUUCACUAUGUACCUCGUGGAUGACACUCCUAAGUCAAUUUCAGAAGCAUAUGCAUCUCCUGAUGCAGACUACUGGAAGGAGGCUGUCCGUAGUGAAAUGGAUUCCAUUAUCGCUAACGGGACUUGGGAGGUGACAGAGCGACCCUAUGGGUGUAAACCUGUGGGGUGCAAGUGGGUGUUCAAGAAGAAGCUUAGGCCUGACGGUACUAUUGAAAAGUACAAGGCUCGGCUCGGCUUGUUGCUAAGGGCUAUACUCAGAAAGAAGGCGAAGAUUUCUUUGACACUUACUCACCUGUUGCUAGAUUGACCACAAUUCGUGUGCUACUUUCCCUAGCAGCCUCACAUGGUCUUCUCGUUCAUCAAAAGGACGUUAAGACAGCUUUUCUUAAUGGAGAGCUGGAUGAGGAGAUCUAUAUGGAUCAACCUGAUGGGUUUGUAGUUGAAGGUCAAGAAGGCAAAGUGUGCAAAUUGUUGAAGUCUUUGUAUGGUCUGAAACAAGCUCCUAAGCAAUGGCAUGAGAAAUUUGACAAAACAUUGACAUCUGCAGGCUUUGCAGUCAAUGAGGCAGAUAAAUGUGUGUACUAUCGCCAUGGUGGGGGUGAGGGAGUUAUUUUGUGCUUGUAUGUUGACGACAUACUGAUAUUUGGGACAAACUUUGAGGUGAUAAAUGAGGUUAAAUCAUUCUUGUCUCAAAAUUUUGAUAUGAAAGAUUUGGGAGUAGCUGAUGUUAUCUUAAACAUUAAGCUAAUUAGAGGUGAGAAUGGGAUUACACUCUUGCAAUCCCAUUAUGUGGAGAAGAUCUUGAAUCGCUUUGGCUACAUUGAUAGUAAGCCUUCUCCAACACCUUAUGAUCCUAGCUUGUUGCUUCGCAAGAACAAGAGAAUUGCUAGGAAUCAACUGGAAUACUCCCAAAUCAUUGGCUCGUUGAUGUACCUGGCUAGUGCAACUAGGCCUGAUAUCUCCUUUGCUGUGAGCAAGUUGAGCCGAUUUACCUCUAAUCCGGGAGAUGAUCACUGGCGUGCGCUUGAGCGAGUAAUGCGCUAUCUGAAAGGUACUGUGGAAUUGGGGCUUCACUAUACUGGGUAUCCUGCGGUACUGGAGGGUUAUAGUGAUUCUAACUGGAUCUCUGAUGUGGAUGAGAUCAAAGCCACUAGUGGAUAUGUUUUCACACUGGGUGGUGGUGCUGUUUCAUGGAGGUCUUGCAAACAGACAAUUUUGACGAGGUCAACCAUGGAAGCAGAGCUAACGGCACUGGAUACUGCUACUGUUGAGGCAGAAUGGCUGCGUGAUCUAUUAAUGGAUCUGCCUGUUGUUGAAAAACCGGUGCCGGCUAUCCUUAUGAACUGUGACAAUCAAACGGUAAUUGUCAAAGUGAAUAGUUCUAAGGAUAAUAUGAAAUCGUCUAGACAUGUGAAAAGACGAUUGAAGUCUGUCAGGAAAUUAAGAAACUCCGGAGUUAUAACGUUGGAUUACAUCCAAACAGCGAGAAACCUGGCAGAUCCCUUCACGAAGGGACUAUCACGAAAUGUGAUAGACAAUGCAUCGAAGGAGAUGGGUUUGAGACCCAUGUGAGUUAUACUAUGGUGGUAACCCAAUCUAUGUGAUCGGAGAUCUCGUGAAUUAGAUCCUGGGAAGAACAAACCAUUAAUAAACUAGAGGAGAGUACCAAUAUAUAUACCCUCUCCAAGUGAAGAUGCAUAUACUCUCGUGAGCUGCAAGGCAGGUUGGCUAUGCCUUAAUGAGUUCUGUUGGCUUUAAUUAGCAAAGAUGUUGUCCUGCAGAGCAUUCUUGAAAGAACUCACCUUUGUGAGCUUGACUGUUGGUCGCAGUCUAUGAAGAUUUUGGGUGAAUCUUCUAGGAAGCUUACUAAAGACCUAGGAGUAUGACUUAUACGCUCCACCCGAGGGGUAGUCUACAGACGGUCUAGUACCAGAUAAGACUUUGAGUGAAACUUGCUUGCACAAGACUUGCAAUUCAAGGCGUAGUCCAUUGUUCAAGUUGUGAGUAAGUGUAGCUUGGAGUUCUAGGUGGAUGUUCAACCUUAAUUGGUCUCCAUCGAACCGCUGGUAUAUAAACAGUACAUUGGAAAAGGCAAAUCUCAGUGGGAUUUUGAGAUUUGGUGGGGGAUUGUUGGAAUUAAUGAAUGGGCCUUAGCCCACUCGAAGAUUAAUUCUUUGGAAAAUCACAAAAGCCCACCUCAUGGGAUGGCAUGCAUGUGGAGUUUAGUACCACCUUGCUUAUUCUAGGAGAGGGGGACCUCCUUAAAAGGGAGGAUGCCCUCCUAGUCGCUUGAAGCAUGUGUGGUGGAGAGAAGAGGGGAAACACACGCGCGCGCUCGCCUCGCCUCGCCUGGCCGGGCAGGGCAGGCGGCGCGCGUGCACGACGUACGCGUCGAAUGGUCCGAAAAAUUGGCUCCUCACCCUUGCGCAGAUGCAGCCUCCUUUUGCAGUUUUGUUUUGUUGCAAAUUCGGAUUCGUUUUUGUUUUGGAAACGUUCCGAAAGAUCCGGUGCGUGCAAACGGCGUGGAGUCCGGAUAAGUUACACGCGACUUAUCCGGUUCGGUUACGCGCAGUAGAGAUCGUGCGGGCGCCCUGAUCAAGCGACCCUUCUCUAUAUAAACCGACCUGCCGUCUUCACGCAACAUACGCAAAAUCAAUCUAGGGUUUGCUUCCUACUCUGUACUGCGCCGUCGCUCGUAGACUACUCCAUCCCGCUCGCCGGCGUGCACCGGCGAUCGGGAGAGCAGGUCUCCGGAACCUCUGCCUUCGACGUUCUGCACCGGGAGAAGGCGGCAAUAAGGUUUUUGGGAAGCGCUUCGCGCGACUGCUCCCUGUUCGUUCGCGACGGCUCGCCUUCCUCUUCGCUCGCGUGUUUCGUGCCUUCGUAGACACUUGCGAAAAGUUUCGACCAAGCAGCCGGUCUUUCCGUCACCUCGGUACGUGUUCAAUAUGUUGCGCAUAUUUGAUCUGUUCAUGUUAUACUGUGUAGUUUACAUGUGUAGAUCUAAUGAUGCAUUCAUGCUAGUUUUCAUCUGUAAUGUCAUGAUUUAUUUAUGGAAUAGAUUAAAUCAUUAUAUGUCUAUAAUCUCAACAGCAAACACUAGUAAUACAAGUAGCUUACUUCUAUCACAUAUAGGAAAGACAGCCACACGUGAUAUUUGCAGAUGGGGAGAAGAGACACAUUCUAUAAUUUUCACUUGAAAAUAAGACAUGACAAGUCAACAAUAGUUUAUUUUUAGGUUCUGAUUUUCAAGUCAACAAUAGAUAACUAGGCCGCACUUUGCCACGGAUACAGUGAACUGCAUAAGGAAGAACAUGUUUGCACAUAGAAAGUAAAAUGUGUGAAAAGGAAGAUAUCUAUAAAGACAAUCUAAACAUUAACACCUAUCAGCUAAGAAAGUUAAUUAUAUGUGACUGAAUACGGCUAACAACCAUCCUGAUGCUUCCAAAACCUUAAAAAAACACUACUGCUAACAACCAUCCUGAUGCAUGUCACCAAAUCCUUUAAAAAACAACACUAAAAAUAGCACUGCGCUAAAAGGCUGUAAUCCACGAAUAUAGAAGCCUACCAAUACUUGGUCCCAUUGUUAUCAAUAUACUCAAAACAACUAUUCUAACAUUGAUGAUGUACUCAAAACCGUUCCUCCAAACUGGUGUGGUGCCAAAAAGGUUUAUCUAGAGAGUAUCCCUUUGCUGCAGACACCGUGAAGAGCAUAACAGACAAACAUGAACGCAUCAAGACAACAAAAUGUGAGUAGAGAAAUAUUUAUCCAGAGACAUCCUAAGUAUUAUCAUGUAAGAGACUAAGAGCUAAUAAGUUACAUGUGCCUUAAUACUGUACAUACAGCUUGUUAGUAUAAUGUGAAUAUAACAAAACCUAAAUAAACAAUACCUGGCCCAUAAGUCUGGAAUCCAAAGUCAAAUAUAGCAGCUUGCCAUGGUAGGAGAACCAUCGAUAUACUCAAAACAAAUCUAAAAAUAUGCAAGUACAUGAAUAGCAUCCAAAAAUUCAGUUGAAUUCUAUACUACUCCAAAAGGUGUGAAUCUAGAAGUGCAAGUUAGAUAAAGUAAGAAAAGACCAAAAUAGCUUUGAUUUAUCACUUGUCAAGUUAUCAGUUCAUAUCUAUUUCUAAAAGCUAUCAAACAAAAUAGAAAAUGCAUAAGCAAACCAUGCAGUAAAGCUAAGUUACCAUCAAAUUAAUCCAUGGGAGAAAGGAUGCAGCAUAAUGGGAACAAAGACCAUAUAUAUCCUAGUUUGAUGAGUAUAGGUAUACUGGAUUAAAUAUGAAAAUAACAAAAACUCCAUUAACAAACUAACUAAAAACACAUGUUGAACUUGCCAAUUUGAAGCUAGCUGCUAGCAAGGUGCACCUGAAUUGAUUUUAAAAUUUUAAAAGUAAAAAGGAUACGAUUGAGAUCCAUAUUUUCAAGAUGCUCAACCAAUUGUAUAUGUUCAUGCAGAAAAACAUUAGGUAACCACAAAAGAAAAAAUGACAUGCCUCAUGCCAUCUCUUUGUAAAAGCAAUUAUUCAAUCACCAAUAUUGUAUGAAAAAUCAAUUCUUAAGCUUAGUACAAAAUGCAUAUUGUAAUCGUUACCUUCUAUCUAAAUUAAUUUCCAUGGUAGGACAAUGAAGCAAAUAUUUUUUUUAUUCUUUCUAUCUAAGAUCCUGCAUAGAAAAUUAUGGUUCGGCUAAAUUUGGAUUAUUUCAUUUAAAGAUCACUAAAGCUCCAAAAAGAAUGAUUAUCAAUAAUGGUAGGUAGUCCUGGGUUAGUUUUUGGUUCAGAAAGUUACCACAUCCAUCAAAGAAAGCUAAGAUGAUGUUGGUGUUGUUGAUGGUGGCCGGAUCGUCCCAGGGUAUACUGGUGCUGCUGAUGGCAGCUGGAUCGGCCUACCGACGAGCUCAUGGCGGUCGGAUAUGGCCGCCACCGAGCUUGACGACGGAAGCCAGCGGGAGGCACCGCUUCAGGAGACAGAGGAAGAUCGGGGCGAGGGAGGGCGGCGGCCCGUAGAUCAGGGUGGGGGAGGGCCGCCGCCGGUAGAUUGGGACGGGGGAAGGUAGCCGGCGGCGGAUUCAGGUGGGGGAGUGCCCACGCCCGUCCCCAUCAUGGCCCUCGCCCACCGCCGCCGCCGGAGUCCGCAUCGCGGGGCGGCGCCGCUCCUUGUUGCUGCGGCCCGGCGCCCGCUGCUCGGCCGCGGCGCCUGCCGCCCGCCGCCCGCUCCCGGCGCCUCCUCCUCGCCGUGGCGCUUGCCGCCUCGUCCUCGUCGCGGCGCCGCCCACCGACCGCUGCUCGACACCACCCGCCGCCCACUCCCAACGCCAGCUCCACGGCCACACCGCCCGCCGCCCACUGCUCGGGGCCGCCGGCCGCCCGCUCUCGGCGCCUCCUCCUAGGCUGCGUGUUGCGCGUAGAGGAGAGAAAGAGAGAGAGAGGAAGAGAAAGAGAAAGAGAGUGAGGGACGGAGGGAGAAGAAGAGAGAAAAAGAGAGGGGUGAGGAUAUCAAAGAGAGGAGAGAGAGAUGGGGAGAGGAGAAGAGAUGAAAAUUUUUGAAAGGGUGAGGAGGGAAAGAAUUGUUAAUGUGAAAAACUUUGAAUCAAAUUUUAUGAUAUUAAAUGAAUUUUUAUGAAAAAGUUGUCAAAAUAAAGUUGUAGAACUCGUUAAGAUCUACCAAUUUUAUUUUGGUCAUUUCUCGAUAACUCAUCAAUAUCUAUAACUUUUGUUUUGGUCAUUUUGCUAUGACUUUAUUUCAAUAAUUUGAAUUUGAAUUUCAAAUUGUGACAUCUUCAAACAACAUUUUCAAAUAUUGAAACAAAGUCAUAUAGCAAAAUGACCAAAACAAAAGUUAUAGAUCUUGAUAAGUUAUACAACUUUGUUAUUGGUAAUUUUUUUAUUUGAAAUCAUUUACUACUCGAAAAAUUAUUUGAAUUGAGAGGAGAGAGGCAAAAUAGACUUCUCGGUAAGGGAGGAACAAAAGGGCUGGGCCGGCAGCCCGAAGAGGGCUGGGCCGGCAGCCCGAAGAGGGAGGAGGAGGGAGAGAGAGGUUAUAGGCUGAGAGAGGGAGAAAGUAAUACUUGGGCCGAAAAAGGCCCAAGGACAGAGAGAGGAAUUUUAAUUUGCUUUCUAUUUAUUUUAACAGGUUAAAUGAACUUUGUGGUAUUAAAAUUAGUUAUUGAGCUUCGAAAAUUUACGAAAAAUUUUAGAGAAUUAUUUAGACCACGUAGAAUAUUACAAAAAUAUUUCCGGCCAUGAUUUUUAAAGGAAUAUUUUAGUUUCCCCAUUAAUUCACUUGAUUAAAUUGCUUUAACUUUUAAUAUAUUUUUUUAGAAAUGCAUUAUAUAAAUUUAUGACGUUUGCUUUGUGCCCCUUAUGACAAAUUAAUAUUCGUCACGAUGUCCCAUUGAAAUACUUUAUGACGAUUUCUAGUUGGUAUUAACGACGAACACCUUUUUUUCAUCACUAAGCCACCCCAUCUCAUACUUAUCAUCAUAAAAUGGAAUGUGCUAGUGACGAAUAGCUCCGUCGUCACGAGGAAUUCGUCACAGAAGGUCAUAUUUCUUGUAGUGGUUAAUUCUUUUUUAUUUAAUCAACCGAUAUAUAACUUUGUUUGAUAACUUAGUUGAUCACUAAUGGAUUUGAAUAUAUGUGGUCUAGUAGAGAAGCACUUGACAGAAGAGAUAAUAUCAUUGAAUCGACUAUUCAUAGUAUUAUUAUUCAACGACCUUAUUAUAUAACCUCCAUAGCACAUAGUGAUCAGACCCAUCUGAUCUCAAAGCUGGCAUCCCCAGUGUUGAUAGUAGGCCCAAUGGGCACAUUGGAAGCAGAGUGAGCCGAGUAUUCAUGGAGAGUCUUCUGAGUUCGGGUGCCGAGAGCCUGAUUUUCGGAGGAAUGACACGAGGUCGGACUCUUCUGGCAAGUUUCUCUAGAUUAUCAACGAAGUUUAUCCACAGAUCAAAACCGGUCAUACACUACCUGUUUUUACAUAAAGAGAAAACAAAUCAAGGUUAACCUAUUUGGACCAAUGUUUUAUUAAACAUAGUAUGAUUAUAGAUGUAUAUAACAUUAUCUUUAACCAGUGCCUUCCCUGACAGUGGUGCUAGAAAUGCUUGUUGGUAUUUCUUACGCUCACAAAUAAAUCCGCAAGCGCACGGAUACCGUUGUAGCACUUCACCAAUGAGUAUUCCCGAAAGUGCCGCAUUUAUAUUUCAGCAGCAAAAACAGAGGUGUAAAGACAUAGUUUAUAUCAAUCUAUAAUUAACUCACUAUAGUCUAGACCUGGUUAGUAUUAUGAUUAAGGGGUAUUAUGACACACAUAAGAUUCAUCUCUAAUUAAUUAAUAUAGUGGAAAAGACAUAAGAGAACUAUGAUCCAACCGUUAUUCCAUAUUAAUCAUGUUAUAUAUAUAUACUUAACACAAUAUUGGUAUUUAUUACCAGGGUUAAACCUUUCGGUUUGGCCGAUUUGAUCGGACCUCACCGAAAUGCUGAAAUUUCGAAUAGAAUUUAGUUGAAUUUGAACAAAUAUUACCAAAAUUCAUGAAAAAAUUUAAAAAUUUAAAACUUUUGGCCGAAGUAAUAUCGUUUCGGUCAGCGCAAGGAGGAGCAAAGGCAGCAGCGGUCGGCGAGCUUCUCGCCGGCGCUGGCAGUGAACGGCGGGGUUUCAUGAGGUGCAGCCAAAAGUGGAUUUGUAGAGUGGAGGAUUGUGAAGCUAAUGGUGGUGGUCUUGUGCAUAGUGGUGCCAAAAUCAGUGUCAGCGGCGGCGGUGAGCUUCGGCAUGCUAGUCAGCUUCGCACUAAGUCACUGCCAUGUGGACCCCACAUAUACAAGAGAUAGGAUAGCUGACAUGUGAGCCCAAGGGUAUUUUUGGCAUUUCACGUGAUUUCUCUCUCCUCUUCAACUGUAAAUUAUUGUUUUAGUCGGCGCGGUGUCCAUUGGCAAAAUACCACGAUUAUGGAUGUUUCCCUCAAAAGUUAGUUUUGGCAGUGUCCUAAGGCUAAAACUACACAAUAGCAGUGUCCUGUAACAAAAUUUCCUAAAAAAAAAAGCACCAUCGCUCAAAAACCAAUAGUGGCAGCUUGGAAAAGGGCCCUGCAGUUCUUCACACUAACAUAUGUGAAACGACUGGCGCAAUUAUUGGUCCAUUCUAAGCAUUUAAGCAAGGAAGAACUUAAAGGUUACUAGUAAUCGUGCACGUGCAAUGCACGUUUUUCACAAUAUAUAUUCCAUCAAUCUAAUAUUUUGCAGACUCAAUAUAUAGCCAAAACCGAUUCAUUUCGAUCCAUAGAAGAAUGAAGAAUCAAAGCUUCCUGAAAUUUACAUUCAGGCUGAAAAGGGGGGAAACAAAACUGUACUGUAUGCAAACAGAGUACAUUGCACAAGGAUCCAUGUAAGGAAGAAAUAAAUCAUUGGAAAAAUGGAAGAAACCUAUCGUCAUUUGAAUAUCUAUACAAAUGACAAUGAAAGAAAUUAGAAAUUCUCAUAGCACAACCAAAGCACAGGGAAUUUUGAAAUAUCGAAGAAAUACAAAAACUGAUAGUACUGAGUUUUGAACUAAUGAGAAUGUAUUAUAAAUCUGCAUGCAUUCCAUAUAUCUUGAAAAUGAAGUUGGAUCCUUCAUCAAGACCAACUUAAAUUUAUUAUACAAUUUGGGGCCUUCAGUUUAAACUUUGCAUUGAAUUCUAUUGAAUUCUUCCUGCAACUGAACACAAUUCAUGGAUCAAACAUAAGAAAUAAAUAUAUUUUUUUAGGGAUAAACGGCAGGAGCUCUGCCAAUUUCAUUAUAGGAGAAGAAGAUAAAAAGAGUUUUUACAGGCUAUGGAUACAAGAGGAAACCAUAGAACCCCCCACAAAACAAGAAGAAACGGAUGGGAGGAUUUUCAGGAAAUGCAUAGCAACCAAGAAGAGGAACUGGGUACUACUCAUCUAGAUUAUGAGCUCCCUCAUAGGCUUUGCAUAUGGCGAUGAUGGAGUCAACGACUUGCGGUACUGUGCUGUAGGCACCGUUGAAGAUCCUUGCGUUUCGUUGAAGCCAAAUUCCCCAGGCUGUGUAGAUGAAGAGGCCAUCAAAACUUCUCCCUUGAUCCCUGAUCAUUUCUCUUCUGCACGCUGUCCACCAGCUAAGCAUAUCCCCAUUGAAGGAGGAAGCCAUAGGCAUGUGAAGCCCGGCUUUCUGCUAGAUGGAUCUCUAGACCUGCUUUGUAAAGGUGCAAUCCAUGAGUAGAUGAGUGGCCGUCUCUGGCUCCACUCCACAGAGUGGGCAAAUGCGGCUGUUAUCCCAGCCGCGGAGAAGGAGCUUGUCCGCUGUAAGAAUCUUCCUAUGGAUCAUGAGCCAACCGAAGAAUUUACAUUUAUUUUCAGUCUUAGCUUUCCAGAAAAAAUCCGACCUAUUAUCUUGAAUACUUCCAACGAAUUGUAUCUUGUAGGCGGAGUUUGCCGAGUAUGUCCCGUUAGAAGACCAUCUCCAAGUGACCGUGUCAUCUGUUCCCUCCUGUAGUUCCACCCGUAAGAAAUAAAUAUAUAAUUUCAGUAGGCUAUCCAAUCCGUUUACAUGUAACAGAUAUGUCAUAGAUAUUAUGUUAUAGUUCAAUAUGAUGCUAUCAAGCCCUGAAGAGUCUGACUCUACAUGCCCCAUUGUUAAUGGAACAUACUACUAAGAAAAGUUGCUUUUGGUCCAUAAAAUCUUGUAUUGUCUAUGGGACCUUGGAUUUAUUUCUAUCCAUAAAUUUAAGUGAAGCAAGCAUCUUUUUAUGGCUCCUUUUUACCUGGUGAGGCUCUCAACAAUCAAGAAUCAAUUUAAUUUAACAACAAUGAUAUAAAAAUGGAUGGUUCAGCUGUAAAAAAAACUCAGUUUAUCAUUUAAUAAGGAAAAUCUACUGCAAAAAAUAUUACAAUAACAAUGUAAAUAAAUAUGCAAAUAUAAAAGAUACAAUGCCACCAAUGUUCAUUUCUUUUAAUCAGGGAUUUUCUACUUAAAUCAGCUAAUAAUCACUUUAAAUGAUCACAUUUGCUGAAAAGGGAAGCUAACUACUGGAAAAUAAAUCAAUGAUAUAUCUCAAAAUAAAUAGGAGCAAAUUUUCUCUCCACACUAAGUUCGAUGACUCAUGUUGCGUGUGAUAGUUGAAACUGAUCAUAUAAAACUAUGCAUACUUUUUUUUACCUCUAUAACUACUCAUGUGUGCAUAUGUAAAAGGGAAUAGAUCCAUUAAGUAGCCCCAAGGGUUAUUACAUGCACCUAGCUUAAAUGCGCAUGCCUUAUGUUAAACAAAUGAAUGGCAGUGAAAUGUAUCAAACAGUGAGCAUCAAUGUUCAUAGGAAUCAAAUAGGAUAGUCAAUGUACCAUACUAUUAGCAAUCAAUAAGUGAAGCCAGAAGGGGAUUUCUCAGGGGACAAGCAUCUAAGUUCAGAACAAAUGGUUGCGAUGGAUGGGAACCAAGAGCAAUUGUGACCUCGAGAUUGCGAUGGUGGCAGAAACGUAGAAAAGUGAGGCGGUCAAUGCAACUCCUCAUGAAUUUGCAUAGGUGUACGUUAAUAGAUCCCUUGAUAUCCUAUUCAAAUAGAGUGUUAGUAUAUAGUAUAUUAGCUUUAAACUGAUCCACCCAAUGGGUUUUGCGAAUGUCAAGCAUGGCUGCAAGCAAUGGAAGCAAGAGAUGUAGAAUCAGUUGUAGCAUGUCCAACAUGCAGGAAUAAAGCUUAUGAAAGUCUUCAUGACUCAGAGAGGCAACUAAGCAGAACAAACAUUUUGUACCUUAUCUUUGAGUUCAACUGAUCCAUCAUGUUUAUGCGGGAAUCAAGCAGGUGCAAAUGUAUGUUUAGCUGCUUGCAGCAUAAUUAUCGACCAAAAUGCAAAUCAAUGGUGCACCAACACGGCAAUGAACAAAGUUCCCUACUCACCUCAGUACCUCACAGUGUCCAAGAGCCUCUUUUAAAGCCAUUAUAUCAAGCAUCAAAAGCACAUCCACAAUUUCUAAUUGCAAUGAUACAAAUUUGUGUGUCACGAUAAAUUAACGAAUUCCAACAGCAAACAACAGUACAUACUGCAGGGAAACUGGAUAUUACUGACCUUAAGUGCAUCCAAAUCAGAUCCCACUUUCGAGGCUUUGAUAUUUACUCAUGGAGAAGCAAGAUCAUCACUGCACGCAACAAAACAAAACAAUCCCAGUUGAAUCAGGCAAAACUGGCUGUAAUUAGGGAGACAGUUCACCAAAUGCUAUCGAGUAUCAAGAGAAAGAGACAGAGACAGAGACAGAGUGGAUGGAUGGACGCACCGACAAGGGCAGCAUGCGCCACUGAAUUACUACUCCGUGUCCUCCAACACGCGCUUCAUGGCACCGAGCUCCGCCGCGCACGGAGGUCAUGAGUCUUAUGACCACUCACAAGCCUAUCGAGCCUGAAACCGCCCCCAUUGCCUCUCCGCGGCGCCACAAGCUUCCUCCUCACCGUCGUCACUGAGUAGGCCUGAUCCAGUGGCCCCACGGUGCCUCAGAGGUUGGAUAUAUACAUGGAUCUGAUGGAGAAGAAGGCCAAACGGGUCUGGUGGUGGAGGAGACUGGUGGAUUCGAUGGGAGCUUGGGGGAGGUGCCAGCCAUUACUGAUUUGGGGAGGUGGUCUCCCAACGGAGCGAUGGUGACCAAGGCGCAGCGGCAUCUCAUCAACAUCGUUUCCAGAGGAGAAGCGAUAGGAUGCACGCCAUCUGCUGCCUGUGACCCUAGCUCCACCUCCGUGCCUGCGUGAUGAUCUCGAGGGCACCCUACACUGACGCUAGCUUCUUGUUGCCCACCUCGUCGGUCGCCGCUGCAUCUGUGGGCGGCUCACACCGCGCCUCGAGAAGCAGCGCUAGGCUAUUAGCAGGAGCGAGGGGGCUCACGUCAUCUGGGGAAGAUGGAGAAACGACAGUGUUAUUGCGAGCGGCGGCGGUGUUAACGCGAGGAGGAUGGCACAUCGAGCGAAAAUAGCGGUGGAGAUAGAAUGGGGCCUGCGAUGUGGGUGGACGGCAGGGAUUAGGGCUCAGGGCAAUGUAGAUGCAGAUGAACGGUAGGGAUUUCAUAAGUUGAUUUGGCCUGUAGGAUUGGAAGAGGUGAACUCCUCAUUUUUAUAUUAGUAUAGAUAUAGAUUGGUAAUAAUAAAACCAUGAGCAUUAAUCUUUCCAAGGCAAUGGACUCCAUCAAAACCUACAUUUAUCAAUGGAACAGUACUCCGAAUAUUAGCUUAAGUUAAAGUUCAUUGAGCAAUGAGCUUAUACAAAAUACGAUUGCAAGAAAGUCACUGAAAUGCAUUAGUACCAAGACAUGGAUCGUGCUGCUAUUGCUUACAAAUAAUAACAACAUAUUGAAUAUGCUUCUUAUAAGCACCAGAUUGUUGAGGUAGUGAAGUGUAUCCUUAAAACUAUGUAGGCAUCAGUUCAAAAAUGGCAGGUAACUGGUAACGCUGCCUCGUUGUUUGAUAGUGCAGAGAUCAAGUGAGCAUUCUUGUUUUUUCUAGUUGUUUUGCCUUCUUGUUGUCUAAAGGAGCAUUCGAUUCUUUCCUUCGAUGAUCUAUUUUAGAGAUUGUGUAAAGCAAACAAUUCCAAACUGUCAUAACGUUUGAGUGGCGAGAGAGAGAGAGAGAUUCAACUACAUAUGAGGCAUGUAAAUAUUUGGAUAACCUUAAACAAUGUGGAGAAGACAUUGAUAAGUAGGAUAAAUCAGAUAUCAAUGAUGACAUAUACAACAUCUGAGAUUUAAUUAUGAGUAUCGGUCAGGAUUCAGGUCAUGAUAUAAUCUUGGGCUCCUAGAAGAAAAAAAAUAUAAUGAAUGCCUCACAAAAUGGUAGCUAGCAAAAGCAUGCUUGUACAAACUCCUAAAUGAAUCAUGUGGCAACUUUAUCAAUAGCUUAGGCAUUGUAUGGUCUAAUUUUGUUCCAUUCAUUACACAAAUAUUGGCAUGCUACUUUCUAACUGCACACACAAAUUCUAAGGCCUACAGUACUGCCAAAUAAACGUUCCAGUUUAUUAAGUUAGGGCUUUACAACACGAAUGGCGAGCACUAUGAGUUACUAACAAACAUAUAUUUAUGUAAUGCAUAAAGACAUCACUUACUAUUUCUGGUUGGUGUGGUGAUUGAUUUUGUUUAAUUGCUCAUGUAGCAAAACGAAAUUGACGGCUCCAACAGGUGCAAGUUUGCAACGUAUACACAAUUGUGGAGACAAAUAGCGAUGAGUGGCUCACUCUUGUCAUACCUUGUAUUGUUGCCCCAAAGAAAACCUUAAUACUUCCUCCAUUUCACAAUGUAAGUCAUUGUAGCAUUUUCCAUAUUUAUAUUGAUGUUAAUGAAUCUAGAUAGAUAUAUAUGUCUAGAUUUAUUAACAUCAAUAUGAAUGUGGGAAAUGCUAGAAUGACUUACAUUGUGAAACAGAGGGAGUAUCAGAUUGUAGAUCUUGCAUUUUUUUUACCCUUGCAUAAGGUAAAUGUGGACAGUCCUGCUUUAGAAACCAUGCUAAAGUAACUUCAUCAUUCUACAGUUAAGGUAUUUACAUAAUCAGGCAACAACAACAAGAAGUCAAGAAGGUAAUAAGACUGAUGAGUGUAUGACAUGAAUAUGAUCGAUAGGAGUCUAACCAGUGUCUCGUGAAAGCUCUCAACCAAGGAGCGAGAAAAAUCUCCCCACCGCUCUGGCCCCUCUUCCUCCUCGGCUCCGGUGGCUCGCCCCGGUGAUGGGAGAAAGAGAGGUCGGGUCCUCCUUGUAGUUAGCUGGGUCGGGUUUUCCCGUAGUUCAAGUUAAUCUUGUUUUUUUAGGUUCAUGUGUAUAGCUUGAGGAGGUCGUUGACGUUCACUUCCUCGUCCUAGUUUCAUGGGGGAUAACAUCGGAGCUCUUUUUGGUGGUCGUCUCUCGUGUUUUCGGGCCCAACCUUGUUGCAAUCAACUAGGGGUGUUCCAGACUAGCUUGGGUUGCGCCGGCCAACACUUCUUUCUCCGGCGAGCAAGCUUCAAGAGCAGUAGCCUUCUUCAUCGCAUCUAGCUGCGACUCUUCAUCAAGCAGUUGGGUUUUGCAUGUUGUACCAAAGAAGCUUUAACCUCUACACAACAGAGGCCCUGUUUGGGUAUGUGUUCUUGGUUUGUUCUACUGCAACUGCUUGUGGUUUCUUUGUUUCCGCCGUCAGAGUGAUCGAUUUGGCUGCUUCACAUGGAGGAUUUGCAACAACGUUGACUUUCCUUGUUAUUUUUUACAGUGUUAUUUUGCGGUGGAGCUGAACUUUUCUUUGAUUGCCAAGGCCCUAACCUCCUAUGUGAGGCCCUUGUUGGAUCAUGCUAAGGCUAGAUCUGCUGCAGCUCUCUGUGGACACCCCGAGUAUUAUACCAUCCAGUGUCCAACGCGACCACCACAUACUAUUGGAGAAGUGGGAUCCAUACACGCAUAAAUAGCCACUCGUCCUCAAUGUGUCCAUGAUCGUGGUUGACAACCUUCUGUUAUAAUAAUCGAAAUGUCGAGUAGUGAGCGCAAGACAUAACCGUAAGAUAGCUUGCCAGUCCACCACGUCAUAUGCUUGUCAACCACUCGAAGGUGGCGACCAAAAGCAUACCCCAGUGACUCGAUCCAAAGUGCUAUCCCCAAUUAUCUCAAGCGAUCAAAACCCGUUACUCAUGCUUAGCUAGUCCCCAGGAAUGCGACUAGCCUCACACUUUCAUCGCAAGCAAUUAAUAAACAUAGCAAGUACCAUAAUAGGGUUAAAGUGCAGCGAGGUACAUGACACAUAAAAGGGUCCGAGGUCCCAACAUACAACACAUAAAUAUAGCAGCGGAAGUCUCAAUUAGAGUUCAUAAGCAAAAGAUAAAACCGGUGGUGCCACAACUCCACUAGGGCAAACCAACCGAGCAAGAGCCAAGCUGCAAGAGAUCACUCAUUGCCCUCGCCGCCCUCGGCAGAGCAAUGACCACACAAGAAACAUAACUCAUAACCAGAAUCCUCUCCUGAAAUUGCAAACAUCGGGUUAAGUACAAGAUUGUACUCGCAAGUCUUACCCAAAAUUAUAUAUACAUAAGGGAGAGAGAAGUAUGCAAGCUUUCUAGCCUAUAGUGGGUCUCUAGGUUCAACAUUUGCAUAAAGCUAAUUUUAUUGAGCAAUUAAUGAGUAAAAUAAGCAAGGACAAGUAAAUCUAGCAUCAUUUUAAUUUAUGGACAGCAAGUAUAUAAUUCUGAAAUGUAUAAGCAAAUGAGCCCAAAACGGCGCUCUCAUCAUCAACCAUGGACUACCAAAGUCCAUACCAACAUGGCACAACAUGCCAACACCACCAUCAAACAUAAUCCCAUCCAUAAUAAUCCACAUUUGAUGCUAACAUAACUGACUAACACAUCAAGCAUUGUCCAUAACUAAGGACGCGGCUAUUCGAAUAGAUUAUACUCUGACCAGAGGUGUACAACUGGACCCACACGAAAUGAACAAAGAUCAAAUGCUACACACCCCGUCGAGUGCGGUACACAAGUGAUUCAAGCUCAUUACAUGCCCUUUCUUAGCCCCACCCCAACCACCUAUACCACGCUGGGGUUCUCGAUGACUCAGUCACGUGCGUGCGUGAUGUGACCAAGGCGGGCGCGCCACGCGGGAGGCACCCCCGACCAAACCUAGGCACCCGAGGCCCUCCAAAGGCUACCUGCCUCACGACUCUCCAACGUGGUAUAAAUGAUCACAGUAGAACUAGUAAGAACAAGCUGGUCCCAAAUAAGGCAUGUGGUAAGUACGAAGGGUGCUUAAAUAGAUGUCAAAAUGUUCGGUCCUUAAUGACCUAGACGGGGCUACUUGCAUCAGGGGAAACCAACCUCCCAUCAUCGCCCUAUCACCCGUCCAAGUCCAACAUAUUUCAUCAACCAUUAUUUAGUGUAAGUGCUCAAGUUUUAUGCCCAAUAAUGCAAGUUGUUUAUAUACCACAAUUAAUAGCACUGUCCAUCCCUAUAGUUCUAUUAGCACUAAGCAUGGCUAAGCAUUAAUGAAUAAGAAAUCCCAAGUAAUCCCAACCAGUGGUAAUAGGAUAUAAGGACAGCAAUAACACAAGAACUAAAUGCAUAAAUAGGUUCUACACAUACACCAUAAACCAACAAUAUUCAUAUCUAGGCAAUGCAAGCAUAUAUAUACGUAUAGAUUGCAACCAAAUCAUUUCUAGAGAAAGUAUAGGUUCUAUAUGCUUAGGUGCUUGCCUUGCUGCUGAGGGUAGUCACUAUCCUCCUUGGGAUAUGGCUCGUUACUCUCCGGAAUCUCCGAAUCUAUCGAAAAGAAGCAAUAUGCGAAUAAGAGCCAAAUAAACAUGCAUAUGCAAAAUGAUCGAUAAAUUAUGAAAUAAAUACAGUGGGUAGAUAAUCACCAGAUUAUCACUUAUGGUUUGGGAGAUAUGAAAAUGACAAGCUCUCAGGUGC
rnacentral:lncRNA from 1 species